rnacentral:lncRNA from 1 species
AAAGACCAUGGUCAUACAACAGAGACAUGUCGAUCCCUCCAGUAUCUAGUUGAAAGGCUCAUCAAAGCAGGACAUUUAAAACAGUACCUCCGCUCAGAUACUGGAGGAAGGGACGUAUCUCAGCAUCAUAACUCUGAGGCCCCGAGGGCCCCAGUCGCCCCCAAGGCUGUCAUAAACUAUAUCAAUGGGGGCCCGUCUGACGAGGAAUACGAUUCCAGGCGUAAAAGGCAGAAAUUGCUGCGGGCCGCGUCAAUACGCGAGCGCAUUAAUUCCAUCCGGCCGGGUCUUACUGGAGAGGGCCCUCGCCCCAUAGAUGGGACAAUCAUUUUCCCACCAGUAGAUCCCACCCGGACGCUACAGCCACAUCGCGACGCCCUCAUCCUCUCUCUAGAAAUAGGAGAUUUUGAUGUAAGACGUAUCUUGGUUGAUCCAGGCAGCCGAUCUAGUACAAGCAUCAGUCAUUGGCCAUAUGGGACAUAGCCUCGCGGGUCUCGAAAACCCCGGACGAAUCUUAUCCGGAUUCAACGGGUCAUCAACAACAUCCUUAGGAGACAUUAUACUGCCGGUUCGAGCUGGCCCAGUCACUCUCAACGUACAAUUCUCGGUGGUACAAGAGUUGUCACCCUUCAAUGUCAUCUUGGGACGCACAUGGCUUCACUACAUGAAAGCCAUCCCUUCCACAUAUCAUCAAAUGGUGAGUUUCCUCACCAAUGAAGGGCAAACUGACUUGUAUGGCAGCCAGUUAGCCGCUCGCCAGUGCUACCAAAUAGCACGUGAAGCAGUCGCUAACCAGAAGGAUGCAUCUUCCCCUGAACCUAGCAUUGCGCGCGACCAAUAGCAAUUAUUGGGUCCGGUGGACAAGGAUCCCCCGGUAGCAGAUCCCUUACAAACAAUCCAAAUCUCAGAAGAGAAUGAUCACCUCACAAACAUCAGUUCCCUCAUGACACAAGAAGAAACCCAGAGCAUACAAAAUAUCCUUCGAAGCAACCAUGACAUCUUCGCAUGGACACAUUCGGAUAUGAAGGGAAUUCAUCCCUCUAUCGCCUCUCACAAGCUUAACGUCUUUCCAGCAGUCAGACCCAUUCGACAGAAGAUUAGACGCUUUCACCCGGAUAGACAAAGAGUUAUCCAAGAUGAAAUUAACAAAUUGUUGGAAGCCGGAUUCAUCAGAGAGGUAUCUUAUCCGGAUUGGUUGGCAAAUGUAGUAGUGGUACCAAAGAAAGAGGGCAAAUGGCGAGUCUGUGUUGAUUACACCAAUCUCAAUAAUGCAUGUCCAAAGACAGUUUUCCCUUACCACGGAUAGAUCAAAUUGUGGAUUCCACUUCCGGGCAAGGGAUGCUCUCUUUCUUGGAUGCCUUCUCCGGAUAUCACCAAAUUCCCAUGUCUCCGGGUGACGAAGAAAAAACAGCAUUCAUAACGCCACACGGCCUCUAUUGCUACAAAGUCAUGCCAUUCGGACUCAAAAACGCUGGCGCCACGUAUCAAAGNNNNNNNNNNNNNNNNNNNNNNNNNNNNNNNNNNNNNNNNNNNNNNNNNNNNNNNNNNNNNNNNNNNNNNNNNNNNNNNNNNNNNNNNNNNNNNNNNNNNGGCAAAUGUAGUAGUGGUACCAAAGAAAGAGGGCAAAUGGCGAGUCUGUGUUGAUUACACCAAUCUCAAUAAUGCAUGUCCCAAAAGACAGUUUUCCCUUACCACGGAUAGAUCAAAUUGUGGAUUCCCACUUCCGGGCAAGGGAUGCUCUCUUUCUUGGAUGCCUUUCUCCGGAUAUCACCAAAUUCCCAUGUCUCCGGGUGACGAAGAAAAAACAGCAUUCAUAACGCCACACGGCCUCUAUUGCUACAAAGUCAUGCCAUUCGGACUCAAAAACGCUGGCGCCACGUAUCAAAGGUUGAUGACUAAAAUCUUCAAACCUCUGAUAGGCCGCUCGGUCGAGGUAUACAUUGACGAUAUCGUGGUUAAAAGCAAAACUCGAGAGCAGCAUAUCCUCCAUUUACAAGAAGUAUUUUACCUCUUGCGAAAGUAUGACAUGAAGCUAAAUCCUUCCAAAUGUGCCUUUGGCGUGAGUGCUGGCAAGUUUCUGGGAUUUAUGGUCAGCCAAAGAGGCAUAGAAGUCAGCCCGGAUCAAGUCAAAGCAGUCAUGGAGACACCUCCUCCCAGGAACAAAAAGGAGUUACAACGCCUCACAGGCAAGCUCGUUGCGUUAGGACGUUUUAUAGCCCGCUUCACUGAUGAGUUGCGACCCUUCUUCUUAGCGAUACGAAAAGCUGGAACGCAGGGAUGGACGGACAAUUGCCAAAACGCGUUAGAAAGAAUUAAACAUUAUCUUAUGCAUCCACCCAUCUUGUGCAGCCCCAUCCCAAAAGAGAAGCUAUACAUGUAUCUGGCUGUCUCAGAAUGGGCAAUCAGCGCCGUUCUAUUCCGCUGCCCUUCGCCAAAGGAGCAGAAACCUGUCUACUAUGUCAGCAGAGCUUUGGCAGAUGUAGAAACCAGGUAUUCAAAAAUGGAGCUAACAGCCUUGGCUCUUCGAAGUGCUGCUCAAAAGCUCCGCCCCUAUUUUCAAGCCCACCCAGUGAUUGUACUGACCGACCAGCCCCUUCGUAGCAUUCUGCACAAACCAGAUUUAACUGGGCGAAUGCUACAAUGGGCCAUCGAAUUGAGCGAAUUUGGAAUCGAAUUCCAACCCAGAUUAUCCAAAAAAGGCCAAGUAAUGGCCGACUUCGUGCUCGAAUAUUCACGAAGACCCGACCAGCGCCACGAAUCAGGUGAAUAGGAGUGGUGGACUCUACGAGUUGACGGAGCCUCACGCUCACCAGGCUCUGGAGUUGGGCUCUUAUUGCAGUCCCCAACUGGGGAACAUCUGGAGCAGGCCAUCCGGCUGGGAUUCUCCGCGUCUAACAAUGAAGCAGAAUACGAGGCCAUCCUGUCCGGAUUGGACCUCGCUCUUGCGCUAUCCGUCUCCAAACUCCGAAUCUACAGCGACUCCCAACUAGUGGUAAGGCAUGUCCAGAAAGAAUAUGAGGCUAAGGACUCACGCAUGGCGCGAUACUUGGCCAAAGUAAGAAGCACCUUACAGCAAUUCACCGAGUGGACAAUUGAAAAAAUUAAGCGAGCUGACAACGGGCGCGCUGACGCCUUGGCUGGUAUAGCUGCUUCCCUCCCCAUCAGAGAAGCCAUUCUAUUGCCUAUCCAUGUACAAGCCAGUCCCUCUGUCGCAGAAAAUUCCACUUGCAACACCAUUGAGGCAGACCAAGCGGAUGAUCAAGAAUGGACGCAUAAUAUUGCAGAAUAUCUCCGGACAGGAACUUUACCCGAAGAUCCUAAACGAGCGCACAAAAUCCGGGUGCAAGCUGCCCGUUUCACCCUGAUUGGGGGGCACCUGUACAAGCGAUCCUUCACAGGGCCUUAUCUUCGCUGUCUUGGGCAUUCAGAGGCCCUGUAUGUGCUAGCUGAGUUACAUGAAGGAAUAUGCGGAAAUCAUACGGGAGGACGAUCCCUAGCACAUAGAGCUCAUUCACAAGGAUACUAUUGGCCAACAAUGAAGAAAGACGCGGCAGCAUAUGUCCAAAAUUGUGAUAAAUGUCAAAGAUACGCUCCCAUUCCACAUAUGCCAUCAGCCGCAUUAAAAUCGGUCUCAGGCCCAUGGCCUUUCGCGCAAUGGGGCAUGGACAUUGUGGGACCCCUCCCAGCAGCACCUGCCCAGAAGAAAUUCCUCCUUGUCGCCACUGAUUACUUCAGUAAAUGGGUAGAAGCUGAAGCAUAUGCAAGCAUCAAAGAUAAAGAUGUUACCAAGUUCGUAUGGAAGAACAUUGUUUGCCGCUUUGGGAUUCCCCAAAUCAUCAUAGCUAACAAUGGUCCACAAUUUGAUAGCAUUGCAUUCAGGAAUUUCUGUUCGGAAUUGAAUAUCCGGAAUUCAUACUCCACGCCACGUUAUCCUCAAAGCAAUGGCCAGGCGGAAGCCACAAACAAAACUCUAGUCAAUGCCUUAAAGAAAAGGCUGGAGCAAGCCAAAGGGAAGUGGGUGGAGGAACUACCCGGCGUCCUGUGGGCCUAUCGAACCACACCCGGACGACCAACAGGAAAUACUCCUUUUGCCCUCACAUAUGGAAUGGAUGCAGUCAUUCCCACCGAAAUAGGUCUUCCUACUAUCCGGACUGAUGCAGCAAAGCAAAAAGACGCCAACACGGAACUAGGAAGAAAUUUGGACUGGGCAGAUGAAGUCAGAGAAAGCUCGUCCAUCCGGAUGGCAGAUUAUCAACAAAGGGCAUCAGCGCAUUACAAUCGAAAAGUCAGGCCCAGAAACUUCAAAAAUGGUACGCUAGUACUUAGAAAAGUUUUUGAAAAUACUGCUGAAGUAGGCACGGGAAAGUUCCAAGCCAAUUGGGAAGGACCUUACAUAGUGUCUAAGGCAAACGAAAAUGGAUCCUAUCAUUUACAAAAGCUAGAUGGCACUCCGUUACUCAGACCAUGGAAUGUGUCCAAUUUAAAGCAGUACUAUCAGUAAAAAGUAUACACAAGUGCAAAUGAGAAAGAAGUAUGUUUUAUUGAUAUGAAUAAAUGUAAUUACAAAGAGAUCUCCGGACCACAAAAAAAUACAGAAGGAAAAAUUACAGCAGAAAAGUUGCAAAAAGGGAUAAACUAUCAGGGAGCGGGCUUCUCAUGGAGCUUCUUUUCUUCACCCGGAGGAAUUGAAGGGGUAUCUCGCUUAAUGCCGUUCUUCUUCAUGCAGCAGCGAUACCCAAAGAUAAACGUAUCAUCCACUUGUUGCUGGUAAUCCGCUGCAAGUUCCUCUCUUUCCACAGCAAACUCCCGUUCAAGUUCCUCUUUUUGCACUUCCAGACGCAGCUGCAAGUCUUCCUUCUGUUUCUUUUCAUUCGAAACCUCGGUCCGGAGUUGACUCACUUCAUCCCUCAGCCGGGCUGGCUCACCCUCCGCCUCAUGUAGGCGACCCGCAGUCGAUUCUUCGCGAUUCUUCGCCUCAGCCAGCUCCGCUCGGAGGGCUUCAUUUUCCUCUCGCAUGGUGGAUAAAUUGGCCUCAGCCUCCUCCAUUCUCAGACGCAGCUGAUUUUCAAUCUCUUGGCGCCGAGAGGAGAAGGUCCUCAUAUAGUCUGCAGUCUGCAGCAGCUGAGUAAAAAGAUCGUGUUGUUGAGACAUGCUGCGGAGGCCCCUCACCAACUGACACACAAACAAGAAAAGCAAAAACAUAAAUCAUACUACAACAAACACAUCAAUGCAACAAAAAGUCAAAAAACAAAAACACAAGACAACGGUGUACCGUUUCUAUCAUAUCAAACAUCUUAGCAGAGGGCUUGAUGGCUUUCCAGUCAGGAGUAAUCUGCUUUAACUUAACUUCCAACUCCGCGUAGCUGAAAGGGCUAGCGGGAGCGGCAUCGUCAGCAGAUUCCUCCUCGGAUGAGGAAGGAGAGGGUAGCUCGUGUCCCGGAAUCGGAGCCCCCAUAUUUUCGUCCGGGCACAUAGGUCCGGAUGCAUCCUCAGCCGGAAUUAUUGCCGGAGCGGCUGAGGUCUCAGUAGCCAUCUCCACCUCGCCUCCAUCCGGAUGAGCGUCAUGGGCAGAAGCGCAGCUAAUUUCAAUCUCUUGCUGCCGCUCUUGAAGCCGCUUAAAGAGUCCGGACUGUAGAUCGCGCGUCAAACGCGGCUUCUUGAGGGGAGGCCCUUUCACCAGGACUAUGGCCAAGCGAUCCGGGUCGUCGGAAGGCUGACUUUGGCUUUCUGCCCCCGCUUCCUCCAAUGGGGCCGUUUCAGCUGCAUCAUCAUCCGGAUUAAGGUUGCCCGGACGGUUGAUGGAUGCAGCUUCCUCAGCCACGUUGGCCAGACGCGCAGCCGCGACUAAGGAGGGACCUGAGUGAUUCAACCCCGACAUGCGUCCGGGGCCACUUGAGAUAGAGUGCGGAGCAGCAUUUACUGGCUCCUCUAUCAUUACUUCCCCCUCAUAGGUAGUUUGUGGAGGAGGAAACUCCUUGGGAGGAGUGGGUUCCUUCGCAUCCUUCCCAUGCUUCUUCACCAGCUUCCCCCUUUUUCCUGAAGUUUUCUUCGGAGGAGAGUCCGGACCCCGCUUCUGUCCGGGAGCCUUCCGGAUAGUGCCUUUAGUCUUUUUCUGAUCUCUAUCCUCCAGGAGCUUUCGCCGCCUUUCAGCGUCAGCCUCUUUAGCUUCCUGAUAGAGGGGGAGCUCCUUCACAGUAUAAUGCUCCCCAGGCACUAUCUCAUCUUUUGCCAGUUUCCUAGGAAGAAUAUUGAUAACAUAUUCCUGGGGCUCCCGGACGACCUCUGUCAAGUUCCGCGCGGAAAGCAAUGUUUUGUAGGCCCUCUCCUUGGGAUCUAUUUCAAAUAAUUUGCAGACACAGACAAAGGACGCCUUUUCCACCCAAUCCACAAGGUGGCCCCUCAAUUCCAAACCUGCAUUGUCAGCAACAAAAGGUGAGAAUUCCGUCCGAAAAAAUUAGAAAAAAUCAGCAAAGCAAAAUCCGGAUAAAAAAAAUCGCAAAACAAGAUUACCCGGAAUUUUUAAGGUAUAAUUCGGAGAAAAAGGCCUCGACGGAUGUUGCGAUAGCCCCGCCCAUCCACCCCAGACUGCCACCAGCCCCUUCGCCCCUCCCUUUGUCGAAUCUGGCAGUUCUGUCACCAUUUGAAGGGAGGGCAGGUGAGCGGACACACUGAAGAUAUCAUUCUUUGCUUUCUUCAGGGAAUAGACAAAGAACAAUUCCAGUAGCGUAAGGUCGAGGCUGUACAGCAUGUUGAUAAUGCUGCAUCCCAUCAGCACCCGGACAAGGUUGGGAUGAAUGAAGAUGGGUGGAAUCUGAGAGAAGUGGAGGAAUUCCUUGAAUAAGGCUGGCAGAGGGAACCGGAGCCCCGCGUUGAAUUGUUCCUUUGUGAAGAGGAUAGCGUUUUUUCCACCUUUCUCAGUAGGCAUAGCCGCCUCCUCGUUCACCAGGUCUAUCAAUACGUCAUGGGGGAUCAGGAAUCGCUCCCGGAACUCCUUCGCAUUUAAUUUGUCUAUCGCCUUUUCGCUAGCUUCGCUAACCCGGACAGAUGAAACAGCCUUUUUUGGAGUCAUUUUUCACCACAAAGCUAGAUCAAAAUCUACAUACAAAAGCAAUACAACGAAUCAAACCAAGCAGUCAGAAAAUACGCAAACCCUAACCCAAAACAGUCAGAAAAAACCCCCUCAAAAACCCCUCCAAACAACAACAAAAUACCAACAUUCAACAACAAUUGGAAACGACUCGUCAAAAACAACGCCCAAGCAAGCCUGAAAACAAAUUUAAAGACCAGCAAAUGCAACCAAAGGAAUGUCAGUAGCAAAGAGGUACGUACCAAAUAGAGCUCUGAAGAAGAAGAACGGUUACUCUCUCGGUAUAAAAUCACCGGCAACAAACAAGCGAGGUCGUUCGAAGUUUUUUCUCAGAAAAGCAAAGGACGCAGGAAAAAGUAAGAAGAAGGAAGGCUCUCAAGAGAAUGCAGUAGAAAAAAUACAAAAAGAGGUACAGUGCCCUAUUUAUAGCAGGACAGCCCCUCGGAAAGCCAAACAACAGCCAUGUUAUCAUUGAAACGACAUAUUGUCUGGGGAUACGCAAGGUCGGCGGCUCGUCAUAAAUGCCUUUUUGGCUUCCGCACCCCCACUCGCCACGUGGCCCAGUCAGACGAAGGGACUUCUUCAGUUUUCAAAAGCCAGUUAUUUUUAACCCGCCCAUUUUUUGGGCAAAAUAGGCAAGUUAAAAAGGGGGGCAAUGUAGGGACCCCUCCCCUUGGGAAACACGUGGCACGCAGCUCAUAGUGACGCGUGGCACGUGUUAUCAGCUGGACCAUCAUCAUCCGGAUUCCCCUAAGGAUACGCAUGGUGCAAGUAUCCUAUCCGGACCGCCUCAAGGAAAGGCAAACGACGUUUCGUCUUCUCCUAUCCAAGGAAGAGCAAACGACGCUGGCAGAGCGUACACAUCCGGAUAGUCUCCACAACACAUCCGGAUAAUCAGCAUGAGCCAUCCGGAUAUAAAUCUUCUGGAUGGUCAAUUAAAGUAAAGCGAGUCUUACACGCAAUCACAACAAGCAGCCAUGACCCACAUCCCAUCACUUGCAGAAUGAGAAGACAAGAGGAAGUGACAGCAAGUCACUUCCCACGAUCAUUCUGUAUAAUCGCUUCCCACGAUCUCUGAUAGCCGCAUCACCUACCAUGGUCUCUGACAGCCAUUCGUAGGAUGAUAGUGCUCCUACUAACACCUAUUGUCAUCAUCACAACAGAAAAGAUCUCCUCACCAUUAAUGAGAGGAACAGUACCCCUGAAGCUGGAUAUAUAUACCUUCGCACGAAGAAGAAAGGGGAUCCCCUGGUAACCUCUUGAUACCUAAUAAAAGGCCAACUGAUUUAUAUAUCUCUCUUUCACCAUGGCUAACAAAACCAUCGGAGGGUGCGUCCGGACACCCUGUCCGGAUGCCUUUUGCAGGUGUAAUCACUAAAUCAAGAACCCCUUGUGUGUUGAGAAUCACGUGUCCAUCCCUCUAACAGCAACGUGGAUCACCGGAUACGCGAGGCGACAACAGAAGUACACAUGCCUUUAUAGUCCAAUCCCUUUUGAAAGGUUCAAGUGUGCUUAUAGGUAUAAAACCUCUAUUAUCUGGUUCAUCAAUGAAAAACAUUAAAAAAAGGAAAAAAUAAUCAAAAUUGGAAAGUUAGUAAAAUAAGAAUAGAAUAAUAUGAUAAAUAUAUUAGAAAUGUCAUUGUAAAAAAUUGUAAAGUGCAAAGUUAACAGAUUCAUAGUUUCAAUAUCCAUAGGGAGCUCAAACUUCUUUAUAGACCUUUUUUUUUUUUGGUGUAAAUCCUUUGCAUUGUUGUACUUUUGUAGUUAGUUUCUUUGAUAAGCACUUUUGUUGUUGAGAAAGAAUCCGUAGCCAUUACCUUGAAUCUUCAUAUAUGAUGCUCCAAUAAAGAUCCAAUCUUUAUUGACACCUUUGAGGAAUUUUUCUCUUGUAGUCCUCCAUAGAUGAUAAAAAAACAAAACUUUAAAUCAUAAAAGAAAUCUUAUGUUCCUAUAAUGGACUUUAUAACCAGUCUAUGAAGAAACAAAGGAAAAAAAAAUAUCCCAUGCAAUCAUCACAAACAAUAAUAAAAAAAAGAACAUUCAUGCAUCCCUUAGCCAUGGGAUAAUAUCAAAGCUGGAAAAAAAAUGUUAACACACCUUAAAUAAAUAUCUAAGCAUGCUUAUAACAUUAUGCUCUAAUAUCAGUUGUUGGCAUCUUAGACCUAAGCAACAAAAGUAAUACCAAUUUUUAAAAAAUUGAUAUUUAGGGUUAAAGUACUAACCUUUUGGUUUGGAUGUUCCCAAACCUUAAAUUCCAAUUAUCGAAGACAACCCUAAAGUUGUUGGAAAUCUCAUAAACCCAUGAUCUUUCGCCCGAUGACUCAAUUUUGUUCUUGACACACUUUCGGUGUGGAAGGAAUAAGGGUGGAGGCUAUGACUCCCCUUUUCUCUGAAUGGUGGAAAACAAAAAGUUAUAGAAACCCUAACCCCUAUGGGGUAUUUAUAGGGUUUCUAACUAGGCUUGAGUGACUUGAGCCUACAUGGGCUUAGGUCACUUAAUCUAGCCCAAAAUGGGUCCUAAUUGAUUAAUUAAUACAAUAGGACAUACUCAUUAAUCAAUUAGCCUAAUAUAAAGACCUUUCACUUACCCAUGUGUAACCAUACGUAAUUACCAAAACGUCCUUAUGCACAAAAGUGAACCUAGAGCCAAUCCAUCUCUCAUAAUUCAUGCCAACAAGGUAUAUGAGCUCAAAGUGGGGACCACUAGGACCCAUAGGAGUACUAGUUCCCUCAAAAUCCAAUUUUGAAGUUGAUUCAAUAUUCAACUAUAGAGAAUCAAUUAAACUCCAGUAUCCUAUAUAAAUAACAACAAGACAUUACGUGUUUGGGUUCGUGACUUACUAUCCACUACAUGCAGACUCCCUAUGAACUAGUGUUCGUAAUUUAACAAAGUAGUGUUAUCAACUAUCAAAAUUACCUCCCAAAUCCUUGAGUUAUAAAUUUCACUUAUUAUGUGAUCAAAUGAUAUACUCUAACUUUAAGAAGUAUAUAUUAAAAUCCACUAAAAGAAUUACUGUGGUCGCAAAUUUCAUGAUCACAUAUCCUUUAGAUUACCCAACGAGACACACUAUCUCAACUUCCAUGAGAUAUCAAAACCCCAAGUAUAAUUUCCAACAUACCCUAGGCCAUUAUUUGGGUUUGGGAACAAUCAAAACCCCCUCUUCUAUGAAAUGAUUUGGGUUUGGGAACAAUCAAAACCCCAAGUAUAAUUUCCAACAUACCCUAGGCUACUACUACUACUACUACUACUACUACUACUACUACUAUUAUCAUUGUAUAUUGAAUUUUGAUGAUAACAAAAUAGAAUAUUGGAAUUUGAUGGUUUUUACUAAGCAAAUGUAGGGAAUAUGGAGCAUAAUGAACAACUAAUAACUAUCAAAGAUAAAGGAAGAAUUUUAAUAAGGAAAGUAGAAAUGAAUGAUUAAAUGAGAGUAUAUCAUUUGAUUGCAAGCUAGAUUUACUAGUAAUCAAAGUAGUUUCAUGUAUGUUAUUUCCAAAAAUUGUACCCUCAACAAAAUUUCUUCUCAAAGAAAGGCGCCUUAAUUUAAAUCAUGAAAACGUACAUUUUCUAAGCCUAAUCAUUAUUUUUUGCCAAGCCUUGCUUAAAGAACUUUUAAACUUAAAAGGACUUUAAAAACCUCAAGGAAUUUGAACCUAUCAAAGAUAAAGGAAGAGCUUUAAUAAUGUAAGUGCAAAUUAAGAAGUAUUUGGGUUCUUAAUUAAGAAAGAUAAAAUAAUCACACAUGGUAUAUCAGAUUUUAAGGUGGUUCAACCAACCAUGCUCAUAUCUAUGAUAAGAGAAAAUCAUUCCACUAUUUGGGUUCUUGAAACAUCUUAUAUUUAUCUGUUCCUUGUAUCCAAAUCUUAAACCACGAGCUAUCUCUCUUAAUUUAUUGGGAAUCUUCUGUUUUUUCUCACAUCUGUAUUUACCUCAUAGUUUCUAUAAUCUCUAUAGUCUAUCUCCAUUUUAUAACUUUUUCCUCUCAACCUAUAAUAUUUAUACAAAUAUUUCAAUAAUUUUUCUUAUUCUACGAGAAAAUAUAAUAUUAUAAUAAUAUAUCAACUUAAAAAAAAUUAUAUAAUAUUUUUUACAAAAAGAAAUAUUUACUAAUUUGAAAUUUGAGACACUUUUCAACGUUUCUGAUAUAAAAAAAAAUCCCGUAAAUUUAUCAAUAUUUUUGGCAAAACCAUUUUCUAAAAAAGCAAAUUUCAAGUUGCUGUAGAAGUUAAAAAAAAAACCAUGUAUAUAUGCUAGAUAAUCACCAGUGCUAAGUCGGAGAAAUCAUGAUAAAGCAAUUCAUAUCCCCCAUCCUAUUCAUGGGUGUGGAGGUUAAAAGAGUCUUUUCCCUUCCCUUCUGUUGAAACAAGCUUUCCAUCAACGGUCCUUGUCAACCAAGUCCACCUCAGUGGUAAUGUCAGGUUUUGUAAACGGAGGAGAUUCAACCAUCCAUAUUCAACAUCAACAUUGAGCUGUCAAUUGCACCCUAUCAAUUCCUCUACUCGCUUUCAUGCCAUUCUUGCUCUAUCUCUUCCUCUCUUUGCGAGACUGGACAAUUUGUAAUAAGAAAACCCUUAUUUUCUUAAUUACUCACACCCUAACCCUCAAACAAACACCCGUUUGAUAAUGUUUUCCAAAACAAUUAUUUCUUUCCACGUACCCUUCACAACUCUUUUUUUUUUUUUUUUUUUAUAAUCAUGAAGAUUAAACAUGUCAUUUGAACUUUAUGGCGUGUAUAAAAUUAUAAAUAAACAAUGGAUUGAGCUUCAAGCCAUGAGGUUCAAUAAAUUUGAAUCGCCCAAAAACUCCUCGAAACCAGAAAAGGCACGAAGAAAGGAGUAUAUAUUAUAAUAAUCAUUGUGGGUGGUCACAAAAUUUUUUAUUAUAGUGAAUAUUAUUGUAGCUUUUUGUCUCGGCUCACGAUAAAUACGGAGCCUAUCACGUGUAAUAAUUCAACCACUAAACAAAUUAAAUAAUGAUAUAAAGGCGUCAACCACUGUGGCAGAGGAAAAGAAUGUUAGCCAUAACAAUGAGAAGAAAGAGGUUGGAAGCUAAGCUUGUAGCUGGUAGUAAUAGAGGAGAAGCUAACAAACAAAUAAAUCCACGAGGAGACAUCAGUUCACGCACUAGAAUUCAAAGGAUCUGAAAAAGCAAAAGGCGUGUGGUUGAGUCCCCGAGGGUGUUGAGCUUGUCAACUGUGACUGCUUUCCUUUUUUUGGGUCAAAAUAAUGUUUUUUCAAUUACCAUGCACAUUCAACGACAACCUCCCGCCUGCCAUUCCCAAUCCGCCUUCCCUCUCACUGUCUCAUUAACUUUUCAGAGAAAACCACUCUGCAUUAUAUAAUGGGCUGCUUGACAUUGAUGCGCUAGCAUUUCAUACUGUGCUUUUAUUCGGGCAGCAAGAAGAUGAAGUUCGGGAAGGAGUUCACGGCACAGAUGGUGCCGGAAUGGCAGGCAGCAUAUAUGGAUUACAAUUAUCUCAAGACACAGCUGAAAGAAAUCCAGCGUUUUCAUGCAAGGGAUAGGGCACCGGCUCGGUUGGUGAAGCGAACGUCAUCGCUUUACAGAGCUUUCAGUGGUCUAAUACAGAGACAGAAGUCACAAAACCAACCCACAAACUUAACCUCGCCAGACGCGGAGAGCCAAGUCAUUGUGGUGAAUUCUGUGGCCCAAGAUGGCUCACAGGGCUACGAGACUAGGUUUUUUAUGUCGGGAGAAGAAGGAGGAGAAUACGAGCUGGUGUUUUUCAGAAGGCUAGAUGAUGAGUUCAAUAAAGUUAAUAAGUUUUACAGGUCUAAGGUGGAGGAGGUCUUGAAGGAGGCUGACGUGCUGACCAAGCAAAUGAAUGCCUUGAUUGCUUUUCGGAUAAAAGUGGAGAAUCCAAAUGGUUGGGCUGAUAGGUCAAAUGAGAUUACUCGCCUUUCUUCUGAUGUUGCAGCUUCAUCGGCUGCAUUGUCAGCCUCCGCUCCAUCUGGGGCCAGAGCAGCAAGCAGUAAGCAUUUCUAACGAAGCUAAUAACAAUGUGAAAUCCCCACAAGUGUUGUGUGUGUAGUGCUCUUUGGCUAAUUGAUAUAUGGCCGACAAACAACUUCGUUGGCCAUGCAAAUGAGAUGUUGGGAUGGAUGCCUUAUAUAUAUGCUUAAUGUGCAGGAAGAGUUUUCAAGGACUUUCUACUAGAUGUCGAACCCACCAGCAGGAGGAGGCAACCAGAUGAAUCGAGCGAUGGAAAGGAUGAAACCAAGGAGGACAAUGCUAUCCACCAAAACAUUGAGAAACAGAAGCCAAAUAACUUCAGGGCAGCUAGACCUGCUCCGUUACAAAUACUCGAACGUUUGAAAAUCAACAACACUCUUGAGACUCCUCGAUCAACCAUUAAAGGCCUCCUCAAUAUUCCCAAGUGGACAGAGCCAAACUUCAAUACAGAGUGUCUGAAGAAAGUUGAACAACGGCUUAAGCAGGCUUUGGUUGUAUUUUAUAACAAGCUGCGGCUUCUAAAGAGCUACAGGUAAUGAAUGCUAACUGUGUUAAUCACUAAAUUUGGUAGGCCUCCCUUAUUUCCAUCAAUUUCUGUCUAAUAUUUCUCUUUACCAAUGAAUAAAUCAGCUUCUUGAAUACCAUGGCAUUGUCCAAGAUCAUGAAGAAAUACGACAAGGUAUGUCUUCCCUCCUAAUGGUUCAAAUGUCAAUAGAAGCAUUUAAGUUUCUCUAGAUCUUUGUAUGUCAUCCAAUGGGCUGUGUGUAAGAAGUGCAAAUCAAUUUGAGAGCGGUUCCAAUUCCUUUCGUUCUCUUGUUGCAUAGGGUUGGCUAUUAGACUUUUAUAUUAAUUUCUUGCCUCAUUGUUGCAGAUCACGUCAAGAAAUGCAUCAAAAGCUUACUUGAAAAUGGUGGAUAGCUCCUACCUUGGUAGCUCUGAUGAGGUGCAGAUCAUAAAUAUUAAUAAUUUACACUAGGAAGAAUUUGCUUUACACUUCUCUUGAAAAAGUUGAGUUGCUUAUGAACCGGAAAUGUUUCCAGUGAUGGUUAAGUUGAUUAGGCGUGUGGUAUUACAGGUAACCAAACUCAUGGAAAGAGUGGAAGCCACAUUCAUCAAACAUUUCUCAAAUGCAAACCGCAGUAAAGGCAUGAGCAUAUUGAGACCAAAAGCAAAGAGAGAAAGGCACAGAGUAACAUUUUUCAUGGGUAAUUUUUACAACCUUCAACAUGUUGUAAACGUCUUAUGAAAGGAUUACACCUACAUAGCCCAUCUUGAAUUCGCUUUGUUCGUUGGAAAAUUUUCAGGUUUCUUUUCUGGAUGCACAGCAGCUCUGAUAGUGGCUCUUGUUUUGAUUGCACGGGCUCGCAACUUCAUAGAUCAUCCAGGGGCAACCCAGUACAUGGAAACCAUGUUUCCCCUUUACAGGUACGGACGCUCACUCUUCAGCUUAUUAUAUUGUAUCGGCACCUCUGCACUCCGGUCAUCUCAACCCAAAGAAAAAUCUUAUCCCUUUCAAUUUGUUGGACGGUAUGAUUUAUAGAUAUAUAUAAGGCUAGGUUGCUGUCAGCCUAGAGACCUAGUUAAACAAAUCCGGCCCAAUGCUUGCUGGAUACCGAGUCACUUGGCCCAGUGCUUGUCCAGUAAAAACGAAUCUUUAAAUCUUAAGCCUCGUUUUUUAACCUCUCAAAGCCCAAUAAAAUCUGCAAUUGAUUGACAAGUCAUUUUAAAUUUUGUGCAGCCUGUUUGGAUUUUUUGUCCUACACAUGCUUGUGUAUGCUGCUAAUAUUUACUUCUGGAGGCGGUACCGAGUCAAUUAUUCAUUCAUAUUUGGUUUCAAGCAAGGAACAGAGAUGGGCUACCGAGAAGUUCUCCUCCUCAGCUUUUGUCUGGCAACGCUAGCCCUGGCUAGUGUGGUCUCAAACCUCGACAUGGAAAUGGACCCCAAAACGAAGGACUAUAAAGCAGUCACUGAACUUAUCCCUCUGGUACUAGUUGUGGUAAGAUAUUAAAUUGAACCCCCCAAUUCCUUUAGCCCCCUUUGAUUUCUGCAGAUACACUCGUUAAACCGAUUCCUUUCAUUCUCUAUGUAGCUUGUACUUAUCAUACUCCUCUGCCCAUUCAACAUCAUCCUUCGCUCAAGUCGAUUCUUCUUCCUCACAUGCUUAUUUCACUGUCUCUGUGCUCCUCUUUACAAGGUAAAAUGAAAAAUUAUGAUGUACUCAUAAAAAGGUUGAAAAAAACUUGAAAGGACAUGGGUUUGUUUACCUGUGAUGUGUUUCUGCAGGUCACACUCCCAGAUUUCUUCUUGGCAGAUCAACUCACUAGCCAGGUACAUACAAUGCCUUGUGCCAUAGGGUUGACCAUACAACACCUUUUUCUGUUGCCUGAAAUAAUAAAAAUAAUAAUAAUAAUGUCUGUGUUGCAGUUGCAAGCCUUUAGGAGCCUGGAGUUCUAUGUUUGCUACUAUGGUUGGGGAGACUACAAACUCAGACAGAACACUUGCAGCACAAAUGAUGUCUUCAAAGCCUUCUCUUUCAUUGUAGUUGCAAUUCCAUACUGGUGUCGCCUCUUUCAGGUACGAGCUCUAUCAAAUGAAUUAAUUGUAAACUGAACUUGGUCGCAUUCUUCAGAUUGCCAUUUCAAUUGAAAAUUGAACAUGAAAAAACAUUGAUUUAUAUCAACCCUGCCAUGUAGCUUACAAAAAGAAAAAGAAAAUAAAAAAAGGUUCUCUGAAACCUUCAUCAGUCCCUUCAUAUUAGCAAUUGUUACUGAAAGAAUGAUACUUCAAUUUUUCAGUGCCUGCGAAGGCUGUUUGAGGAGAAGGAUCCGAUGCAAGGAUACAAUGGGCUGAAAUAUUUCUCGACCCUGGUUGCCAUUAGUGUGAGGACAGCUUACAGCCUUGACAGGGGGAAAAUAAACUGGAACAUUAUGGCCUGGAUUUUCUCGGUCAUUGCAGCAAUCUGUGGUACAUACUGGGACCUGGUAGUUGACUGGGGGCUUCUGCAAAGGCAAUCCAAGAACCGCUGGUUGAGAGACAAACUCCUCAUCCCCUACAAAAGCGUAUAUUUUGGAGCUAUGGUGAGCAAGUACUGGAAAUUAUGAAAUUCUCAGCACUUAGAGAAAGUAUUUCAGUUAAAAUCCAACCCUGACAAUCUUAGACAAAUCUCAUGAAAUACGCAGGUGCUGAAUGUUUUGUUGAGAUUUGCCUGGUUACAGACAGUGUUGAAUUUCCAGGUCUCUUUCCUACAUAGGGAAGCCAUGAUUGCAAUUUUUGCUAGCUUGGAGAUCAUCCGUCGUGGCAUAUGGAAUUUCUUCAGGUACUUGUCAGGAUAUGAGAAAAUUCAUUUGUGAUGCAUACUGUGAGUGAUAUUUACCCUGCAAGAUAGUCACCAAUUUCUAAUAAUUAUUCCUUCUGUUGAAUGAUCAGGUUGGAGAACGAACAUUUGAACAAUGUGGGUGCAUACCGCGCAUUCAAGUCAGUACCAUUACCCUUCAACCAUGAUGAGGAUGAUGACAAAGAUGAUUAGGCUAUAGAAAUAGUUUCCAAAGAGCGUAUAAAAAAAUAGAAGAAUGUUCAGCAAAUGUCCAAGUGGGUAGAAGCAGCACAAAAAUGUCAAUUCCUUGUGAAUGUAAUUCUAUUCAAUUGACUCAUAAUCGCAGUUCUUUUGUCCUAUGCCACCAUCACCUUCUUAACUCUGGAAUACAAAAAAGGAAAUGGGAAGCAAAAAAGUUCCAACUUCUCUUCGAGAAACAUAUUUUUUAUCAAACUGAAAUGUUAUUAAUUUAAAGAAUGAUGCAGGUACAAUUCCUAUUAUGUCCUCUAUUCUUUCUUCGUUGAAAAUCAAGAAUUUCAAGAAGCUUAAUCUUAAAUGAACUAUUGGGCUAAGUUUGCCUGGCCAUGAGCCCAUGUAUUAGGCUAUUUUAUAUUUGGGUAUUUCCUAAGCCCAAAUAUAGAUAUAUGAGUAGCAUUAGGUCUUUAGUAUUAUGAGAGUAGGGGAUUUGAUUGAAAAAAGGAAAGAAAACCAGGGUUGUUUUUUUGGGCAGUAUUAUAGGGUUGAAGGGUAAAGUUACAAGUUUCUUGAUCAACCUUUCUGGGGGAUUUUUGUGGUAUGUUUUCUCCUUGAUUUCUUUCUAUUCAUUGUUAUUUGGGGUGAUGGAUUCCCACCUCAAGCAUUGAGAAAUUUAUAAAAGUUUUCAAUGAACAAAGAGGCUCUAAAACCCUACAAAAAUGAAAUGGCAAGAACGAAAAACUCCUAAGGUGCCCUUAAAGUUACACUAUGGAUCCAAACUCCCUCAUAAAAGUCUCCAAAAGUGACUCAAAAAUCGAUGUCGAAGUCGAGUAGCAGUUGAACCACCAAGGAGCAUAGGAAUGAGUACAAAGGGAAAAACCAUAUGAGGACACAAUGCAUAUAGUAUCCAACAAUAUAACUGAAACACGUGUUACGAGCUGAAAAGAUUAUGUCAUGUGCCAUGGAAGAGGGGAAACCCUAUAAUAGCAUGAUAAAGAAGCAAUAAGCACAAUGUAACAAAGUGAGGAAAAGAGCAACUAGCGCAAAGCUAUGAGGACAAGGUGUGCAUUGCUAAUGAAUAUGAAAUGAACAACAUCGGGCUAUGAUGCAAUGAACAACUCAGGGUUGUGGAUGCAAUGAACAACUCAAGAAGAAGGACAUUGUACACCCAAAAUGGGAGAUUGCGGUCUACGACUCUAAGUCAAAUCACUAAAGGAUGACUAAGAUGAGGGUGAUCAACUCACUACAAGGGAUGAUCUAAAUGCCUCAAGAGAGAGGGAUGCCCCAAAUGAAACUCAAAGGAAACGAGUAGUGAUAAUGAAACUAAAAAAAAUAUAUGAAAAGAUGCCACAACUGAAAUUGAAAAGAUAACAAACUUAGAACUAAAUUUCAAUUAAUAGCUUUGGGCUGUGAUGGAAUGAACAGCACCGGGCUAUAAUGAAAUGAACAACUCAGGGCUGUGGAUGCAAUGAACAACUCAGGGCUAUGGAUGUCAUGAACAACUCAAGAAGAGGGGCACUGUAUGCCUAAAAAAUGGAGAUCAUGGUCUACGACUCUAAGUCAAAUCACUAAAGGAUGACCAAGAUGAGGGUGAUCAACUCACUAAAAAGGAGGAUCUAAAUGCCUCAAAGGAGGGGGAUGCCCCAGAUGAAACUCAAAGGAAACGAGUAGCGUUAAUGAAACUAAAAAAUUGAAAAGAUGCCACAAUUGAAAUUGAAAAGAUAACAAACUCAGAACUAAACUGAAAUGAACAGCUCUGGGUUGUGGAUGCAAUGAAUGGCACCGGGCUAUAAUGAAAUGAACAACUCUAAGAUGUGGGCACUAUAUGCCCUAAGGAGGGAGAUCGUGGUCUAUGGCUCCAAGUCAAAUCACCAAUGGGUGACCAAGAUGAGGAAAAUAUCAACUCACUAACAAGAAGGAUUGAAAUGACUAAAGGAUGGGGGUAUGCCCCAAAUGAAACUCAACGAUAAAAGGAUGACACAAAUGAAACUAAAACAAGAAAAUGCCCUAAAUAAAACUGAAAUGAUAACAAACUCAUAACUAAUGUGCAAUGAACAACUCUGGGCUAUGGAUGAAAUGAACAACACUGGGAUGAAAUGAAAUGAACAACACUGGGAUGAAAUGAAAUGAACAACUCUAAGAUGUGGGCAUUGUACGCCUAAAGAAGGAGAUCGCGGUCUACGACUCCAAGUCAAAUCACCAAUAGGUGACCAAGAUGAGGAAAAUAUUAACUCACUAACAAGAAUGAUCGAAAUGGCUAAAGGAUGGGGGUAUGCCCCAAAUGAAACUCAAUAAUAAAAGGAUGACACAAAUGAAACUAAAACGAGAGGAUGCCACAAUUGAAACUGAAGCGAUAACGAACUCAGAACUAAGAUAAAAUGAACAACUCUAGGCUGUGAAUGCAAUGAACAACUCAAGGUUGUGGAUGUCAUGAAUGACUCAAGAAGAGGGGCACUGUAUGCCCAAAAAAGGAGAUCGCGGUCUGUGACUUCAAGUCAAACCACUAAAGGAUGACCAAGAUGAAGGAAAUAUCAACUCACUAACAAGAAAGAUCGAAAUGACUAAAGGAUGAGGGUAUGCCCCAAAUGAAACUUAAUAAUAAAAAGAUGACACAAAUGAAACUAAAACGAGAGGAUGCCAUAAAUGAAACUGAAGCGAUAACAAACUCAAAACUAAGAUAAAAUGAACAACUCUGGGUUGUGGAUGCAAUGAACAACUCAGGGUUAUGGAUGUCAUGAACGACUCAAGAAGAGGGACACUGUACACCCAAAAGGGGAGAUCACAGUCUAUGACUCCAAGUCAAACCACUAAAGGAUGACCAAGAUGAGGAUGAUCAACUCAUUAAAAAUGAGGAUCUAAACUACUUAAGGAUGGGGGUAUGCCUUAGAUGAUGCUCAUGGAGAGAGUGAUAAUCUAACAAACUAAAUGAAGAAGAAACAUGAGGUUUGCAACCAAGAACACUUGAAACAAAAAUGAAAACAAAUGAAUAUGAUCUAUAACCAAAACAACUAAAAUGGAAUUAGAAGGAAGGAAUGACUAGGAUAAUGAACUCAAUGAGAAAUGGUACACACCCAAGAUGAUAACUCGUAAAGAUUAGCAAAUGGAAUGAACGGACAUGAAGUCAACAAAUAUCUAACAAUCUCAAUGAAUGGGGUAUGCCCUAGUGUGAUGACUCAUAAGGAUCAAUAGACAGAUCGAGCAUCCAUGAAGUCAACAAAAGACCUGAUAAUCUCGAUGAAGGGGGUAUGCCCUAGUGUCAUAAGGAUCAAUCGUGUCUUCGUGUUUGUCUGACACAAGACCAUGAUAUAAGCCCAUGUCUUGUGUGACAUUCCAUUAGCCUUACGCGCUUGCACAUUUAUAUAAUGGUAUUUGUGGUAUUUGUGAAAGAUCUCUAUAUCACAAAUACCCAACUGAACAAUGGCUAUAAGCCCAUAUCUGCUAUCAUCUGAAAAGAUCAAUCAUCAAUGAGUCUAAAGUCUGCAUGUCUCAAAGAUGUAUCUGAUAACAAAUCCAAAAUAUGACCCAAUACUAAAGAAAAUCACUGUCACUCAGAACUUGGUCAUAAAAGCAUGAACUGUACCAAAACUCUAUCCAAUACUCAAACUGCAACUGCCAACAUGACAUAUGAGAUGACCAACUGAGAAAAAUAGAAUUCUAAUCAAAUACUCUGAUAAAGAUGACAUCAAACUAAACACUUUGAUGAAAUAUCGAUAUACUGUCCAAGAAGAUCUACUGAUAAGAAAAACUAAACUGAUCCACUCUACUGAAAAACAUAAACAUCAUCGCGCAACUAAUUGGCUCAAAAUACUCCUCGAGGAACUGUGGUAAUUAGAGAUGACUUCGACUCAACGAUAAUCCACUAAGAAAUCAAAAUGAUAAAUCUAUCAAUGUCCCAAGGAAAAUACUCCAAAUCGAAUCUCAAAAGGACAACCAAAAUUAUAAGAGGCCUGAUAAUCUCAAGAAUAGAAAUAUGUCUCUGAUAGAGCCCAACUGAAUCUAAUGUGGAUAUGAUAACCUCGAAGUGGGGGAAAUAUGCCCUAGUAUACAGGAUCUACCCAUCACUCUAAGAACUAUUCCAACUCAACAACAAUCCAAAUGGAUGAUCCAUCUCAAAAGUGCUCUACAUGAAGAACUCGGAAUGAUGAAAACUGUCAAUAAACCCAACAAUACUCCAUUGAGGACUACUUCCAUCUCAUCAACACAACUCCAUUAGGAAUCAUGGUGAUAUCAAGAAAGUAUGGGCACGACUCACUAGCUCAAGAGAGGCUCUACUAGGGAAUGAGGAUAAAAACAGGUUGUCAAAUCAAUGAAAGAUCGACUAUCUCAACGAAGAGGAGGUAUACACCAGUGUAACAUUUAACGUGUGAUAGAUUAGAAAAUUGGACAACCUCAAAUCAUCCAUCAUCAAAUGCGUGAUCCCAGUCAUCCAAAUCCACACAUCAAAAGGCGUCUCUCAGAAGGAGAAGUAUGAGGAAGUCUAAAUAUCAAAAGGUGUGGGCUUGAUUGAAUGGCCCAAGAAAGGCUUCACUAGGGGAUCCUGAUAAGAUAACAAACAGGUCAUCAUCUUAGUGUGUAUCUUGUAAGUGGAGAUGAUCAUGCAACUCUAUGAAGAUCUAUAAAUCUCAAUUGAAAUGGAAAUAUGCCUCAGUAUGGCAUCAAAUGUAUGGUAGAUCAGAAAAUCGGAUGACACCAAAUCAUUCAUCACUAAGUGUGUAAUCCUAGUCAUCCAUGUUUACAGUUGAAUAAGAUCUAUAGAUCAAAUGAGCGUAUCCCCGAAGAAGAAGCGUGAUGACAUUUAAAUGCGAAAAAGUGUGAGCCUGACUGAAUGGUCCAAGAGAGACUCCACUAGGGUAUCAUGAUAAGAUAACAAUAGACUAUCAACUCGACAUGCAUCUCGUGAGUGAUGAGGAUCAUGUGACUCCAUGAAGAUCUAUAAAUCUCAACCGAAAAGGAAAUAUGCCCCAGUAUAGCAUCAAAUGUAUGGUAGAUUGAAAAAUCAGACAACAUCGGAUCAUCUAUCAUUAAAUGUGUAAUUCCAGUCAUCUAUAUCCAUAACUAAAUCGGGUCCAAAUAUCAAAGAGACAGACUCCCAGAAGAAGAAGCAUGAUGAUAUCUAAAUAUCAACCAAAUCUCAAACACUUGUCGAAGUAGGGGCUGUCGAAGAUGACAUCUGAUCCCAUGACCUCAAAGUGGUCUUAAGACACGAGACGUAAUGUAGGCUAGGGUGAUAAGGUAACAGAAAUGAAGAGAAACUAGGUCCAAAUACCCAAUGAUAAAAAACUCAUGCCCUCAUGUAUAAAAUGCAACAUGUAUAGAAAAGCUCAUGAGCCAUGGACUUGAGGGUGCCCAAUGUGAAUAUAAUAUCAAUAAUGGAAUAAUGAAGCAAAUCAAACUGAUUAAUGAGAUAUGUGAAGAUGAUGCAAAGGAAAUGUCAAACUGGCAUAAGUUAAUGUAAGAAAAGAACAAGGGGGUGAAGCGAAUAGGAUGAAUCACAAGCAAUGACGAGGAUGAUAGCGAAACAAUGAAUAUAUGAAGAAAAGUGAUGAACAACUCAAAUCAAUCAUGGAGUGAAGUCACAUCAACAAUAAAUGUAAUGAUAGAAAGGACAAUGACCUAGAGCCCCUAGGAGAAAGUCACUCAUCUCACUCUCAAAGGGAUAUGACAAAGUGAAUAUAAAGAAAAGAGGAUCUUAGAAAGCUCACAUAUGGACUCUCAACAACAAACAUACUCAAUAAAGUGACCCUCGGAUAUCAAUAUACACACCCAACGAUGGAGAAUACUAUGCACAUACACACAUGUGCUUAUUUUCAUUUUCUUUUUUUUUUCCAUCAUUUUUUUUUACAUAUAUACAAACGCAAAUACCUUGAACAUGAACAAAAUAAGCUCCAAAGAUGAUAAAAUCAAUAAUGGAUAGACAAACUCUCAAGUGCUAAAUGUACCAUAAACUCUUUAUGACGAGAUAACCUUCUCAAACUAAGGAUCUCUAAAUCAAUGUCCGUAGGAUAGAUAGUGAAAAUAAUGUGACUAUCCUCUAUGUAAUGAACUGAGGAGAAUCACUACUCAGGGUGGAGAGAAUAUUAAGCAAAACAAGUAGUAGAUAGAAUAAAGAAGAAGAGAUGAAGAACACAACCAAUGAGAUAUGAUGGAAUGCAGUAGUGUGAUGGUAGGAAAAAUAAUGAGAGAAAGAUGCACCCGUAGGCCCAAGGCUCAUGAAACUCCUAUAUGAAGCAUGCAUACACCAAAGGGCCCUUAUCCUAGUGUAGAAAUGCAAGCAAGGCAAUAAGAAAGAAAUGCUCAGAUGCACAUGUGAAGCUCAAUGGGCUAGCAAAGGUCUGUUUGUCAAAAAAGAAUAACAAGUAUAUGGCUAACCGAAAUGAUGGUCACCCAUCCUAUGACCAUGGUCUCAAAGAUAAUACUUCUUCAACUAAUCUACAUUAGUUGGCUCUGAGAAUCGGUUUCCAUCUAGAUCCAUCAACCAUGCAGCGUCCUCUGAGGCCAACUCCCUAAUGAAAUAAGGUUCAUCCCAAUUGGGUCUGAAUGUCCCUCGAGGAUCUCCUGGAAUAGAUGAAUCUUAAUGACCUAUGAGGUAAGAUGAACAAGAUGUGCAAAAAGAAAGUCAUCAUAAGAGCCACACAAGUACAAAAAAAAGACUCAAAUCUAUAUGUAAAAAAAACUAGGAACAUUGUCAAAACAAGAGACAAAAUCUAGUAAUAUGUCUAAUGAAAAUGGUGGGCCUACAAGGUCGGACUCUACCAUAACCGGGCUAGCAAUGCCCUCAAAUACAUAAUCAAAAUAAGCAAGAAAAAUAUAUCAGCUCUGAAUCAGGUGAAGUUGAAUCUCUUCUGAACUCCUGAUGACAAAGACUCCAAACAUAUAUAAAAAAAGAUGGAUCGUCUCUAGCUAAGCAAUGCUAACCAUCUAACUAACAUCUAAUGCAUCCACCUCAAACUCAUCAUAAAGAAUUGCCCGGUCUACAUGUCUCUAGUCUAAGAGAAAACACUAGUAUCCUCCAUGAGAUUUCUAAUCCAGUAUGAUAGGCUCUGACUCAGUAUCAUUUGAUCUCAUCAUCUGUACAUUGUCAUCAUCAACAUGAUCAAUGGAAGGAAUACUAACUGUAGAGGGGGAACCACAUGAGUAGAAUGAGCAAUCACAGGGUCGGAAGUCACACCUAAAUGAUCCAAAUUGAUCGAAUCCCAAUCAAUAACAUCUUGAAUGGCAUGUCGAAGAGCAGUGCACCAAUUUGUGUCAUGUCCUUGUCUUUGGUGGUAGGAACAAUAUAGGUCCAUCCUAAACUGUGGUGGGAUUGGCUGAGAAAGAGGCUUAGGCUCCAACGAGGUCAAUAAUCUAACAUUCAUGAGCUUUUGAAGAGCCUAGUCCAACAGCAUUCCUAACUAAGAGAAACAUCAUGAUAUCCUCGGAGCAAAAGAAGUGCAAGACUGUGGAGGUUUGACUUUGGGAAUGGAAGUAGAAGGUCUUCCUAUGAACCGAGUAGCAUAGCUUGUCCGUGGGAGAGUAAAAUUCGGGGUGGAAUCGACUAUCUAUAUUGAUAUCGGGAGUAAGGAUAAUAUCCCAUAGCAGCAUGUGAGGGUGACUAGUGACGUCUGAAGGUCCUCUGUCUGGUAGGAGAAAUAGUACUGACAUUUGGCCUUUGCUCUUCUGAUGGAUUCUUCCCCUUAGAGUCAAUAGGGAAAAAAUCUGGCCAUAAUCUUCUCGCAAUACCGUCUUCUACACUAAAAAGAGCCAUGACCAAAGAUCCAAAAUCUGUAAAAGGUACUCUAAUCACAUGUCUGGCAAUCUUGGGCUGUAAUCUCCUCACAACCAUCUGUAUCUGCUCUCUCUCAGUAGGUCGGUCAAUAACCUAAACAAACUUCUCCCUCCAACGGGAGAUGAAAUAAGAAAUUGACUCAUCAGACCCUUAUUUCAAUGUGUUUAACUCAUUCUUCGAUACAUCUACACCAGUAUUAAAAGCGAACUGUGGUAUAAACUCUUGAGCUAAGUCCUCCCAAGUCCUACGACGAGAGGAAUCUAAUGAUGCAUACCAACAUUAAGCUGCGCCACUCAAAGAUAAUGGGAAUAGAACAAUCAACUAGGUCUCGUCCAAUCCAUAGGCCCUUAUAAUGUUGCUAUAGAGUCUAAGAUGAAUGCGAGGACAACCGAUGCCAAUAUAUCUGUCUAUAUCCGGUAUCCUGAACUUGGCAGGUAAAUUGGCCACUGGUAUCCCAUCAAAAUCGUCGUAAGAGACUGAACUAUCUAACACCCUAAUCUGUCUGAUCUGUUGCUCGAGACGAUCCAUGAGAGCAUGUACAUCCUCAGAGACUGUGGUCUGUGCUAUAACAGGUGGAGUAACCCCAAACUGACCAUGUAGCAUGAAAGACGAGGCAUGUGGCACUGAUGGUCCGGGAGGUGGGGAUUAGUGUAUACCUUGUUGAGUGUCAAGCUUUUGAUUGAGACUAUCUAUGACCUCCUGAAUAGAAACCAUAGUGGUUGUGAACUAAUCAACUAUGACGGCCUGCGGAUCCAUAUAUGUCUAAUCAAUGAUGCAAAACAACCUAUCGUCAACUCUAAUUCAAGAUGGAAAACUGAAACUGAGACGAAGAGCAAAUCCUAUAAAGCAUGGGGAAACGAGAUAAGGCACGACAGGAAAAAAGUACAGGAGAUAUGCUAGACUAAACUAGAAGAAACAAGUCAACACAAUGCAGAAGAGUGGUCCAAUUGAAACUUAAGCUUGCACUGAUCUUUGAGGACUCUCUACUAGAGAUCAAAAGAGGGAGUACUGGAUCCGAACUAUAACUAAAGAGGCUUUGAAGGCCCUCAGAUGCACCCAUGUGUAAGAGAAAAAAUCCUAAUCGAAUGAUCUAAGGCUCAACCUAUAAGGUUAAGGUGGCUCUAAAAAGAAUAAGGGUGGACUUUAAAGGAUCCCUAACAAAAACGAUCAUACCCUCCACCAGUACGCAACCCUCUGCACGCCUUCAAAAAAACGGGCGUUUCCAUGCAAGGUGGUCAUCACUUCCACACAUACACUACCCCGACAUCUCAAGGGGUUUCCUAUGGUGAAAGCUCUCGCAACUCUCAACACUCAGUAGUCAACUAAAGUGCACAGUGAGUGGUGUGGGUACAUUCGAAAAUCCUAUGAAGCUAAAACAGAAAAAAAAAAAAACACUAGUCACAUAAAUAUCCAUGAAACCUAGCUCUAGGCUAUAUAGGUCUUCAAAGAUCGGACUCUAAUCAACAUCAAUGUGUCCAACUCCUCCAAAAUGCUCCCAAACAUCGAUAUAGUCCGUCGCUAAACCCUACUCCUAACUGCUAACUCUGUCAAAGGAACAAGUACACAUAAGGUCUCACACUUGCAAAUGUAAGAAUUGAAAUAAAGAAAAUGACCGAAACCAGAGGGUUGUAGGUAAGAGGAUAGAAAUGCGACCCACAUAGACAAAAAACACAUGCAUCACACAAAAGAAGAGCAGUCAUGCAAAGAACAGUUAUAUCACUCAUAUCUACACACAAGUUAGGUAGAGAUAGGAUAAACAAGAUAGGUAUAUAGCAGAAUGGACAAUAUGUUGAGACAAACAAGAUAAUAUACAACAAAUAGAAUCAAUCAUGCCAAAAUGAAUGAGAUAUACAAAAAUGAUAAUAUACAUGUCAAGGAAAGCAAGAUAAUCAUACAACAAGAAGAGCCACUAUACAAAAGCAGGUAAGAGAAUCAAUCGAUAUAAUCAACAUGUGAACAUCUCCAAUGAACAAUAAUAACUAAACAUGCAUCACGGAUAAACAUAUCAAAACUCUCAACAUGUAAUCAACACCCAAUCAUACAAAAACAUAUAGAGAGGGGUAUCAACUGAUCGACCAAUCAAACGCCACAUUUUCCUCAACUUGAGUUCAAGUUUGACCCUCUAAACAUUCCCUAGUGGAGUUGCCAUUUUGUGGACCCCGUAUUUCUGCACGCAUGCGUUUCCCACUUAAUGGCGCAACUCGCUUUUCAUUCAUUUGGUGAAAAUUUGAUUUUUUUGAAAAAGGCUUGGAGUCGCCACUUAUUUUUGUUUUAUUUUUUUUAAGGGAAAACACAAUAAGAAAGAAAACCCUAAUUGUGACUCCUUAAUCGGAAAGACAGUCUGUGAAAAACCAAAACCAAAGUCGGGUCCAGGGAUCAGGUUACCUAUUGGAAAGGUACGGUGGUGAGUCGGAGCACCUCUUUAAGCCCGUAUACAUACAACCUCUACUAAACAAAUUAAGGGAUUUGUGGUAAUUAAUUAAUUGAUCAUAGAUACCAAGAUUGAAUAAACGAAACAAUAUACACAAAGAUGAUGACAAAACAAAAUUACAAGAAUGUACAAAAUAAAUGACAAUAGAAUUAUGCAAAUUGAUUUAUUGAAUUAAUAAAAAAAUUGAAAAAAUUUAGUUUUUUGAAAAUUUCAAAGGAUUUUAUUAAAAACAAUUUUGAAUGAGUGAUUUCAAUUUAUUUAUUUAUAAAAUAUUUUCUUCAAGUAAUUUGAUUCAAUUUCAUUUGUAUUUAAUUUUUAAAAAAAAAAGUUAUUUACACUUAUUGUAUCAAAAGAAUCUAUUACAAAAUUUCAAUUUGGCAACAAAAAUUAUUUUUACUUGAUUUUACCAUAAAGGAAUGAAAUUUUACAAUUUAAUUUAAAAAAUUAUUUUGAUUUAUUUUCAUUUAAGAAAAGUAACUUAUACAAAUCAUAUAUAUAUAUAUAUAUAUAUAUAUAUAUAUAUAUAUAUAUAUAUAUAUAUAUAAAUUUAUUUGCAAAAGAAUUUUUAAUUAAAAAAAAAGAGACUUUUAUAGCUUUAUUUACAAAAAUGUUAAAAUUCAAUCCAACCUUUUUAAUAAUAAAAAAUUAUUUAAUAGAAAAGAGAAAUGUCUUAAUCCCUUUUUUAUUUAUCAACAUUAUUAUUUGGUUUUAUUAAAAAAAAAUAGAUUGAUUGAAGAUGAGAUUUUAUCUUUAUUUGAUUUAAAGGAAAGUUUUUCAAUUUUAUUAGAACUUAAAAACAAUAAUAAUAAUAAAUAAAUAAAUAAAAAUAAAUAAAUGAAUAAAUAAAACUUUGAUUCUAUUUGUCUUUAAAGAUUUGGAUUUUAUAAAUAAAUAAAUAAGAGUUUAUCCGAUUUUAUUUAAAGAAAACCAAUUUUUCAUGUUUUAUUUACCAAAAUGUGUUUAUUUUAUUUAUUUUAUUUUUUUUAUUUUUUAUUUUUUAUUAAAAACAUAACCUUAUCUAAAAAGAAGAAUAAAACCAAUAUAUACAAAAAUUAAUAAAUAAAUAGGAGGAUAUGGAUAAACAUACAACUUUACAGUGCAGUGCAAUCCCAUUAGCAUUGGCUCUCCAUAACUCCCCAAACAAAGCUCAAAAAAUACAAACCAAAAUUUCUCAACCUCACUACACACAGAAACUCAAAAAAAUACCAAGAGAUCGAGAGAAUUUAGAGCCAUAUCCCCCCACCUCCUUUCAAGUUGCCAGUGAUCCUUUUAUCCCAAAUCAGGUUCCACCAACUUUCGGCACAUGCCCAUACCCUACUUCAACCACCCCAACUGCUCUCAUUUUGCUCUUCCCACUCUCAACACAAUGCUAAAACAUAAAGAAAUACAAGAAAUGUCAUAGCCCAUUGAAAAUAUUUUAAUCAAGCCCAAUUUAAUAUCCAAAAUAUACAAGCCCAAAUCACAUAAGUUAGCAACCUAAAUCAAUAACUAUGCAAGCCCAACAUCUCAAAUAAAAAAAUCAAGUCCAAUUAAGAAAAUAGGUCCAACCUAAAAUGCAAUCUAAAUAUCAACAAAACCAAAGCCCAAAUAAUAUUGAAAGUAGGCUCAAACCCGAAUUCAAGCCUAAAACAGUUACUAUGUAAAUCAAGAUGGAAAUUUCCUUUUUACCAUUAAUCUCACCUUGAAACCAAACAACGAUGGUAGAAAUGAUGACGAUAGAGUUGAGCGGCACGGCAGCCAUGAGUCACUCGGCUGGAAGUAAAAAGGGAUGAACGCUCUUUACGGAAACCAUGGAUGCAAUAUUUCAUAUCAGAAAAUCUGAGAAAAUGAAAGCGAAAAGAUGUACGAAAAUAGAGAGAUAGAUAGAUAGAUAGAGAGAGAGAGAGAGAAAGAGAGAAAGAAAGAAAGAAAGAAAGAAAGAAAGAAAGAAGUGUGACUAGAGGAGAUUGACAAUUGGCAGUGGCGCCAUUAGCACUGAUGCCACAGACAGUGGUGUCGCCGAUAGUGGUGUCGCCUGUAGUGAGAGGGGUAGCGUCGUGGGUAUGAAAAUGGGAAGGAAGAGAAAAGAAAAUAUAAAGAAAGAAAGAAAAUAUAAAGAAAGAAAGAAAAUAGAAGAAAAAUGAAAGAGAAAAAGAGUGGGAAUGGAUGAAGUCUGUGAGUGGGCGGAAGAAUGGGGAAAAAAAAUGGCCUUUAGGGUUUGACUUUUGGAAUGGAUGGUGGAGAUUAAAAAUGAAAAAGAAUGGGAUUAGUUCUCACAUAUGGUUAUAGAAAGUUGGGCCUAGGGUUGGGCCAAAAUUAAAAUGGAAUGAGCUUAAAUAAACACAAUCAAAAUAAGCUCUAUAAAUAAAUAAAUAAUAUUAAAUAAAAAUAAAAUAAAAUAAGUGAGAAUGGGUAUGAGACGAAUUUUGGGGUUUACAGUAGGGGUUAAGGGUAUUUGAGGGAUUAAUAAAGUAUAAUAUUCAUCGACUUAAUUUUUACACUUUAUUUGAGUCUUGAGCUUAAAUGUGCAUAAUAUAUGGAUCUUUAGUCAAUUUUGAGGCUCAUCUCACCUCUCAACACAAUUCUCCCAAUAAUAAUAGGCUCACAUGCUUGUUUAUUACUCUUAACAAGCCGACCCAUUUAUUACACAAGUAAUAGGAUACAACCUGUUUAAUAAAUCGUUUAAGUUGAUCUGAGUAAGAAUUAAUACGGAAAACUCAUUAACACAGUUUUAACUUGUUAAACCUAUUAACACAUUUUUUAACUGAUUUUAAAUUUAAAAUUUAUAAAUGUAUUAUUUUAUAAUACUUUUUAGUUGCUUUAAUUUUUAUAAAUCUUAAUUAAUUUAAUUAUAUAAGUUUAAUUCUAAUAUAUUUAUAUUAUAAAAAAUUAUAAUUUUAAUUCUACACUUGUUAAGUCUUUUAAUUAUAAAAUAUUUUUAAUUUUUAUAAUCAAAUAUAUAAAAUUUUACUUAGUUAAUUAUUUAAACUUUUUAAUUCUAUGUUACUUAUAAUUAAUUUUUUUUUAAUAUUUAUAAUUUUUAAAUACAUGAAACUAAUAAAUUUAUAUGAGUUGACCAUACAUGGGUUGACUCAUAAAUAUGUCAUUUGGAAUAUUUGGGUUAAACGGGUUGAGUAGUUAAAUCAGAACACAUCCCAUUUACAUAAAUAUGUAAAUUUGACAUGAUUAAAUAAAUAGGUUAUUUUAACAUGAUUAAAUAUUUAGGUUAAAUGGGUUGAAUAGUUAAACCCGAACACAUCUCGUUUAUUAAACAAGUUAUAGAGGUUAAGACAAUUACGGUGUGAAUAUACUUAAUCCAAACCACUAAAAUUUGUAUUGUUUUUAAGUCAUGUUAACAUUUCAUGUCAAAAUUAUCACCCUUAAACUUCAAUAAGUUUCUAAAAAUUAGAAUUAGAUUUAGUUUCUAAAAGUCAAAGAAAAUAUUUUAUUUUGAGUUAUUGAUUUAAUUUUAAUUUAUUCCUACAAAAUUUCAAUAUAUUUUUUCGGAGUUUUUGUUUUGUUAAGUAUAAUGUAAUAUUUGAAUAAGAGCAAUAGAAGAUAAUAAAUUUUUAAUUCUACUCAAUUACUUAUCUACAUUUAUAUAAUUAUUUGUAUAUUUAAUCAAGCUUGUUACUCUAGCAAAUUAGUAUCAAAGCCACAUGAAAAAGAUAACAAGUGGGAUAUAUUUGUUUCAAGCACCCCAACUCAAUAAAGACAAUUACGAUAGUUGGAGUAUCAAGAUGAUCAAGACUUGACUUGGUUCACAAGAUGCAUGAAAGGUUAUAGAGGAAAGUUACAAAGCCACAAGAUGAAACCACUGUAUCCUAAAUCAAAAGGAUUUUUUUUAUAAAACAAAAAAUAUGAUAAAAAAAGACAAUAAACUCUUGUCAUCAUCUAUCAAGCAAUGAAUGAAAAUACUUUUCAAAAUAUUUCAAGUGCAACUGUUGUCAAGAAAGCCUAGAAGAUAUUUUAAAACAUACAUAAAAGAGUUGAUAAACAAGAAAAAUUCAUCCCCAAACUCUUAAAGGAUAAUUUGAAGUUUGAAUAUAAAAAAUUUGGAAUCAAUCUCUAAUUAUUUUUCUAGAGUAUUGGUUGUUGUGAAUUUAAUAAAAACAAAUAGUGAAAAUUUGUAUAAUGUUCAUGUGAUUGAAAAAAAAAACUAUAAUCUUUAUGUUUCAACCAAGUUAUGUGUAAUGCAAGUGAUACAAACCUGAAUGCUCAACAGAGAUAAUGCAUAAAUGGAAUAGUGAAAGAAGAACCUGAAUUAUAAUAUAAAUAUUAAUGAAAUUCAUUUGUUGUUAUAUCGUGCCAUGCUUUUAAGGGUUAUAUCUUAACAAUCUCUCAGUAGCCCUAAAAGCAUAUUGGGCACCAUAGAAAGAACCUAUCCCACAGUCAUAUCAUCUAUUUUAAAUCACAAAUCAAGUAGUAUUUUCUCUCUAUGUGUUUUCUUUUCCAAUGGUUUCUUAGUUCUUUGGACUGUACCACCAUCUCAUUGUUAUCACAAAACAAGAUCGUGAGCAAUACAACCAAGGUAACUACCCCUAGUCCCAUGAGGAACUUCCUAAACCAGGAAAAUGUUGGAAUAAAACAUUUAAAAGCAAGACAUAAUGUAAAAAAAGUUAAUUUUAACUACUUUGUCCUUAUUUGCAUUUAGGCAUACAUCACUUACAUUAUAGAUGACUUAGGUUCAUUAGGAGUAAUACGGAAGAUCUAGGUCACGGGUUCCUUUGUAAGUUGAUGAGUUGCUCAUAGUCGAUUCAUGGACUUAGGCAAUCUAUAUGAGAUUAUAACGCAUUACCUCCUAAUUGGAUGGACGACUUGUCUUAGUCAUUGGGAUAGAUUUUCAGUAGUAAGUGUAUUAAUGUGUAUAGUUACACAUUGGAUGGGACUUACAGUGAUGUUGAGAUUUUUGUUUAUUACGAUAAAGCCCUAAAAAACACGAAAUGAUGUAAUAGAAUUUAGAUUCAUUAAUAAACUUAUUUAUUUAUGUUUUUGGUUCCUUUUAUCAUCCCUUAUGCAUUAAUUGGUUAGUUAAGUAUUCAUGACAAUAUCACUUGAAUUUGUAUAUGACUUGGGUGCAUUAGAAGUUGUAUAGAAAAUCCAAGUCAUGGGUUUUUUACAAGGUGAUAAUCAUGUGAAACAAAAUUAACUUGAUUAAGGAAAACACCCAAGAGUUGGGAUGAAUAGGUUGAUUAUUUUUUUUAAAAAAAUAUUCAAAUUAAAUAAUAAUUGAAGCACUUGAGAAAGGUGGGUUUCUCCCUCUUUCUCUUAAGGAUGGCUAGGUUUGCUAUAUCUUUUUGGAAAACGAGUUAUAAAAGUCUAAAAUCCUAAUCCUUUAAGGGGUAUUUAUAGGCUUCCAUGUGAACUUAAGUAACUUAAGCCCAAAUUGGGUUUGGUCACCUAAUCCAUCCCACUUAGGUCUUAAUUAAUGAAUUAGCUUUAUGGGCUUUAAUUAAUUAAUUAGCCCAAUCCAAAAAGUUCAUUCACAAGAUUUAGUGCAACUUGUGUUUUUACUGAAAUGUCCUCAUACACUUGUGAAUUACAAACUUAGAAUCUCUCAAACAAAACGUGCCACCAUGAAAAGCAAGGAUUAUUAGGACCCAUAGGAAAAUACUAACUCCCUCAUAAUCCAAUUUUAAAGUUAACUCAACAUUCUACUAAAGAGAAUCAAUUGCACUCCAAUAUCUUAUAUAAUUACAAUCAAGCAAAGUUGAUCAAGUCGAUGACCUACUAUCCAUUGCAUAUAGACCCUAUAAGGUGGUGUUCGUAAUCUAAUAACCUAGUGUUAUCAACUUAUCAAAAUUACCUUUCAAAUCCUUAAGUCAUAAAUACUCCUAUUAUGUGAUCAACUGACUUAUUCUAGCUCACAAAGAACAUCAAAUUCUAUUAAAAGAAUUGUUAUGAAUAUAGUCUUCUUGAUCACAUGCCAUUUGGAUCAUCCUAGAUGACAUAUUAUCGCAAUCCUUGUAAUAUGGAUGUUCCUAAAUCAAAUCCCAUCUAAUGAAGAUGUUAUAGGCAUUGUAGAACUCAUCUAUCCCGUGCUCUUCGACCUAAUUUCUCCCUCCAAGGAUUUUUGGCACAAGAAAAUUAUGAGCUUUCUCUCUCUCUCUCUCUCUCUCUCUCUCUCUCUCUCUCUCUCUCUCUCUCACUUCUCCCUUCUUUGAGAGUGGUUAGGGUUCCUUUAUUUGGAAUUUCAAAAAAUUGAAAAAAAAAAAAGAAGACUAAAGUCUUAAUCCCUAAGGAGGUUUGUAUACUUUUCCUUAUGAGCUUAAGUGAUUUAAGCCUAAAUUGGGUUUGGGUCACAUAAUCCAGUCCACUUGAGUCCUAAUUAGCCUAAUGACCUCUAAUUAAUUAAUUAACCCAUUCUAAAAAGUCAAUUCAUAAAAUCUAAUGCAAUCUUGCAUUUUUACCAAAACGCUCUUAUGCACACUUAUGAAUACCAUACCUAAAAUACCCUUAAAACAUGUCACCAUGAACUAGGAGCUCAAGUAAGGAACACUUAGACCCAUAGGAAAAUAUUGGCUCUCUCAUAAUCAAAUUCUGAAGUUAACUCAACACCUCACUAAACAGAGUCAAUUGCACUCUAGUAUCCUACGAAAUCACAACGAGAUAAAGCUUGAGUCUAUUACUUACUAUUCAUUGCAUGCAAACUUCUCAUGAAUUGGUUUUUAUAAUCUAACAAGGUAGUGCUAUCAACCUAUCAAGAUUACUUCUCUAAUUCUUGAGUUACAAAUCCUCCUACUAUGUGAUUGACCGCGAUUCUCUAUUGUCUAAAAUACCAAGCCUAAAUUACUUAGCAACUCUGGUUAAGGAAACAAGAGAAAGAGUCACUACUAUUAUUUUAGUACUCUGGGUAUUGUUCUCAAGGACCUAUGGAAGUUGUCAAACUAGGUCUAAAAGAUUGAUUUUUGCUAAAUUCUUGAAUUGGAAAAAUAUAAAAAUUUGAUUUGAAAAAAAUUGAAUUUAAUAAAAUAAACCUUCAAAAAAAUUGUAAAAAAAUGAUUGAUUUCUAAUUCAAAUGGUUCAAGAUUGGGGGUUCCACAAUCCAACUUUGGGUAUGCGGUCUCAGGCAAAACUCAAAAUAUGGGGUAUUCAAAAUAUGGGGUCAAACGAGAUCAACAUGAGUUCCAUAACUUAGAGUUGCAUCUAUAUCCUAACUUUUAAUAUUUCAUUCCAUUACUAAAAUACCAAAUAGAUAAAUAAGUAUGAAAAUUGGUUUUAUGUCUAGGAGUUAAGCCUUUACCACUUUGUGUAGAUUUGUCUUAAGGUAGAUAACAAUAGCAAAACCUCAUAUAAUUAAGGAUUAAGAAUUACCAAGAAUCCCUAGUAUCAAGGAAUUGACUAUUGUAUUAUCCUCUAAUUCAAACUAAAACGAGAACAUAUUUAUAUUUUCAUUUUUUUAUGCCUCAACCUUUCAUUCAUUUCAUUUUUAGUUUGAUUUUACCCAUUAUUUUCCUUUGACUCUAACCUUAGGUUUUCAUGUUUCACACCCUAAGAUAGUUUUUUAGCCUCUCAUGGUGGCGAUUUCAUUCACACAAUCCAUAAAAGAAUAAUAAAUAACCAUUAUUGAAUAAAAGAAAUUAGAAACAAUUUAUUAAAAUAAAGAAAACAAACCGAGAAUCUUCAAUGUCAUCUUAUUUUCCUAAGAGAAUCCAGGAACAUCAAAUAAUUCCAACACACCUAAAAAAGAAUUUUAAUGUCCUAUUUACAAACUAAAAGUUAAGUUGACACAUGACAAAAUCCUAGAGAACAUGUAAAAUCUUCUUUCCAAAUCAAUGGCUCUCAAUAAAAGUUGUAAAAAUUUGAAUCAUGAGAGCCUUUAAUGAAAAGAUGUUGAUUUCGCAUGAGGAUGAUCCAUUUUGCAUGGUCAUGCGAAAUAUAGAUGGAUUGGCAACAUUCUAAUGUCAUUUUGGCGCAUUAGGCAUGGUCGAGCAAAAAAUCGCAUGUUCAUGCCAAAUUUAUUUCCAAGUUGCUGAAAAAACAAUCUUUAUGUUCCAUUUCUCAUGAUCAUGCAAAAAUUUCGCACAUUCAUGUGAAACUAACACUCCUUAGAUUCCUCUUUGUGUAGUUCUCUUCAAUCAUCCAUAUCUUCUUCAUUUCAACUCGGAUUUGCACAUCGUUUAUAGUGUUGGAUUCUUGAUUUAUUGAGCUCCAAAAUGAUAUAUAGCAUACCUAAAAAUGACCUCAAUAAGUACUCUAAAUAUCACCUCAAAUUGAUAGUAUAUGUUGCUUCUAGAAUUUGAGUUCCAAUUGGAAUGUAUGAACUUUACGCCAUAUUCUUCAACCUUUUUUCUUGUGUUUGCUUGCUCUCCAACUCUUUUCAUAACCUUUAUUUUUUAUCUCUCAUGCUAUAAAUUUCUCCACUUUUAUUUAUCAAAAUUUUCCUCAUGGUUCACACUCUUGGAGCUCAUUCUAAUCAUAUCUAGUCUCACUUCUACCAUGACUAAAAAUGGCUUCUCCAACUUGCAUUCUUUUCAUCAUUUAAAACUAAGAUUUAGCUCAAGAUAUAUGUUAGAUUCAUGAGUAGGGUCUUAGCAACAAUUCAAGUUAAGUUGGGUGAAUUGAGUCUUUAUAUUUGCAUAAUCCCUUUCUAUAUGUGCCAUUAGAGCACAAUUUGUGUCUCUAAUCAAUGAUCAACUAACAUACUUUGGUUCCAAGGAGCAUAUGUCAAAUUCCACUAAAGAAAUCAUUGUGGUCAUAGAUUCAUGAUCACAUGUCUUUUGAAUCACCUAAUGAGACACAUGAUCUCAAUCUCAUGAGAUAUCAUGGUAUCUCUAUUUAGGAUACCUAUUGUGACCAGCCUCCAUUUAUAGUAACUUAAUCUGUAAGGAUAUAUGACCACAUUAGGGUCCUACCCAUAAGUCAAAGCCUAUUGUUGAUUUUAGUACAAACUCAAUACCUCUUAAGGUUGAGAGUUCAUGUAACAUAGUAACAUGGUGAAUCAUGAUUAUUUUAUAACCUUAUAUCAUGAUUUACCAUAAGUCCUAUUCAAUGUGUAAUCAUACAUACUAGUGUACUCACAAUGGGAACCUCAUCCUAACAACCAAGGACCAUUCCAACAAUUAUGAGGUAGUGCACUAUAGUCUCUACUCGAUUACAUAAAUCCAUGAAUUGACUAUGAAUAACUUAUCAUCUUAUAAGGAACUCGUGACUUAUAUCCUUUGUGCAACUCCUAAUGUACCCAAGUCAUGUCUUAUGCAAGUAAUAUAGGUUGAAUGCUCAAAAUAAUGUCAAGGCAUAAAAAGGAAUAACAAUGGGACAAUAAAGUAUAAUUUUGUUACAUCAUGUCUUGCUUUUAGGGACUUAAUCCCAAUAAACUCCCACUAGCCCCAUAAGCAGACUAGGCACCGUAUAAAGAGUUUGCUCCACAAUCACAUCAGCUCUCUAAACUAUCUCACAUAAAAGGUAUUAAUUCUUCUCUAUGUAUUUUCUUUUCUAGUGGUACCUUAAUUCUUUAUACUGUGUCACUACCUUACUGUUUUCACACAAUAGCAUCUUGGAUGAUAUAAUCAAGAGAACCACCCCUAAGCCAAAAAGUUUCCUUUAUUGCUUCAAAAGCAACAAAAAAAGGCCAUUUAGAGUAUACAUAUACCUAGAGGAUGACUUGCAAGAGUGGUCAUUAGACUGAAAGUCUAAUUAUCAAUACCUAAGAAGUCCCAACUCAUCGCAAAGACUCACAAGCACAUAUUCUUUUAUUCUCCUAAGAUACUUGAGCAUAUACUUGACAUCUGCUCAAAACUCUAAUAAUAGAUUGGACUGAUAUUUACUUACCAUCCCUACAACAAAGCAAAUAUCCAGUUUAGCACAUAACAUCACAUACAUAAGGUUACCCAUUGUAGAGACAUGGAGUACUACCUUAAUGUGAUUUUUCUCCUUAGAUGUCCAAAGACAUUGAUCCUGAGAAAUACAACUCCAAACUUAAAAGUAGCAAACCCUUCUUGGAGUCCUUCAUUAUGUAGUUGAUCACCAAAUGCUUUUUAGUGUAGGUCAUAUAGCGUAAUUUUCCUAUUCUUGCAAUUCCAAAAGACCUUAAACUCAAGAAUAUAUUGUGCUUCUUCUAUAUUUUCAUCUAGAACUAAGUAAACAACCAAAUCUUGACUAACAACAAUAUCCCUACAUCAUUCGCAAUGAGUAGACUAUCAUGCUUUCUUACGCCUUCUUGUACACACAAGGCCUUUUGCUAUGAAAAUAUCUAGUUGUUGUAUUUCAUAAAUGAGAUGCAUCACAAUGGAUAGAAGCACUCCAAUGGAUUUGAGUAUGACUAUUAUUGAAAAGGUUUUCCAUAGUUGAAACAAUGUUUCAAACUAUAACCUUUAGUUGUAGAGCCACAUAAAUCUCAAACUUUCCAUCUACUCCUUUAUUCCUCUUAUAAACUAACUUACACUAUGGGUUUUAUCGCUUCAAGUGCAUUUACGAGAACCAAGACUAUGUUAGAAUACAAGGAUUCUAACUAUCCUCUCAUAGCUCAUUGCCAAGAAUGAGCAUCAGUACUGCUAAUUCCUUCAUCCUAAUCCGUGGAAUACAAAUCCUGCUAUAUAUGAUGAGAUACUAAUGUACUAAAAGUAAUGGAAAUGAUAAGUGCUUAUGCCUUUGGAUCUAUAGUAUCUUGUGCAAUGUGGAACUAUCUUGUAGUGUUCUCCAGUCUAUAUCACUCCUUGCCUCAUUUCUCAUUAUAUUUUUUUCAUAAAAAAAUCUAACAUUUGCAUCAACAAACACCUUAUAAUGAUCCUAUUAUAAAGGUAAUGAUUCCCAAUAAUAUCCUCAAAAGGAUGUGAGAAAUAAUGAGAAAUCAAUCAUCGAUCUCACUAUAUAUAUCCAUCAAAGUUUGAUUUCUUCUUUCCUCAUCAAAGUUUAAAAGACAACUCUUCCAUUAAAGGGUGUAACAACCAAAGGCAGUCAAUAUAAUUAGUAACCACUAUCGAAGUGACUCAUGCUAAUCAAAUUACAUACCUAUAUGUAACUGAAGAAUAUCACCAUUAUGAAACAACUAUAAAAGAAUGACUGCAUUCCAAAGCUAGACAUGUGAAACAAAUUCACACUUUCUUUAUUUGUUAUCCUCCUCUCUUAACCAUGGUUGACUUGAUCAUUGAAGAAAGGUAGGCUUAAUCGCCCCCCUACUUUUCCAACAUUCUAUGUUCAUAUUUGCACCUUUCAAAGACCAUCCAAAGUGGAAGGGGGACACAAUAAUUAUAUAUGAAAAAAAUAUUAGCAAAGUCGUUUAGGAUGAGUGUUAGUGAGUAUUUGGCAAAACUUAAGACUUAUUACUUAAUAAUUUAAGUUGACUUUAGGUUAAAUUAUUCUUAAGUUAUUAAUUUAAAACUUAUUAUUUAUUUUUUACUUUAAGUAUUAAAGUUGUUUGGUAAAAAUAAUUUAAAAUUUAUUUUAAGUUAUUAAAUUGACAUAUUUAUCCUCAUUAGUUGUAAUUAAUAUUUAUUAUUAAAGCUUUUGACUAAUAUUUAUUCUCAUAAAAGAGAGUAAUGAAAGUGAUGUCAUAGUUGUUAAAUAUAUUUUCAUGUGGGUAAAUAAGACAAAAAAAAAUAGGAUUAAGAAUAAGAUAACUAUUUUAACUUAAUACUUAAAGCUAUUUUAACUUUAUGUUGUGAUAUUAAGUUAUUUUACUAAAUAUACUUGAUUUACUUAAUAACUUAAAUUAAGUUGUUAAAUUACUUUAAGUCAUUAAGUUGAUUUACCAAACAUCGUCUUAGUUUCUUACUUUCUUAGUAAUUGAAUUGAUCUCUCUUACAUGACUUUUUAGUUCUAAAUAAUUCUUUUAAUUAGUAAAUUCUAUGUAUCAAGUGUUGUUUGAUUUGUCAUAUAUUUUUCUAACGCAAAAUUUAGAGAAAUUAAAGAAAAUUUAGAAAAACAUGUAUAUUUGAAAGAGAGAUCAUGUUUAAAAUUGUUUAGUAUUUAACAAUAGACAAAAUGAAAAAAAAAAAAAAGAAAGAAAAAGGUUACAUUCUAUUUUAAUUUUUAUAGUUUUUUAAAUAUAUAUAUAUAUAUAUAUAUAUAUAUAUAUAUAUAUAUAUAUUUCCAUAUUUUCCUCUCAUAUUUAAAACCAUGUGAAAAUAAUUUUAACUUGUUUUUUAAAAACAGUUUUUCAUUACACUUUAUUAUUAAAAAUAAUAUUUUUUAAAUCCAGAUAAUAAAAAAUAAAAAAAUAAAAAACUCGCAUGACCAAAUAGGUUCAAAAAUUGUUAAAAACAGUUUUUUAAUUUAAAAAUAUAUAUGUAUAUAUAUUUAGACCAAGGGACCAACAUUUUCUAUUGUUCUUGUGUUUUUUUAGGAUUGCCAUUAAAAUUACCAGUGCUCGGAAUUUGUUGCUGUGCUUUUCCUCUCCAAACUUCACACUCGGGGAACUGCAUGUCUGAAGAGGUGCCCAACUCACGACGAAUUGAUGUUCAUGCAUACUAUGAUGCUUGGAGAAUUUAUCAGCUGAAUAACAUUUUAUUUUGCAAUGCAUCUAUCUCAAACAAAGCAUGAAGGGGUGUAGAGUUUCUGCUGGCUUUUACAUGUCAAAGUUUUGGAGGAAAGGAUGGGACACAAAAAAUGCCUAUGUACGUAUAAAAUAAAAGGAAGGAAAAACAAAUACCUUACAUGUUCCUAUAUUUUUCAUCCUUAUCAAAGACCCGCCAGUAAUAUCCUUUCUUUUUCUUUGUUUUUUUCAUCAGCUCAGACACAAACAUGGAGGAAUUCAUACUACAAGUUGAAGUAGGUUCUAAUUGUUUCAACAUCCGCAUAUGUUUCAUGAUAUGCAUUCCACAGUUCUACCUAAUAUAGAUUACAAAACAAAAUAAUAUUAUUUGAGACUAGUAUUUAUAAGUAAACUGUAUAUAAAAAAAUGUUCUUAGAUAUAAUAACUCACUCAUUGUCUUGGAAUGGAACCCAAAAAGACCUUUCAAUGGAAACUUUAAUAAAACUUUCCCAACUUAAAUUAAAAAAUUUUGGCAUAAUACUCCAUCAUUGUUAACAUGCGGCAUAUUUAUAUAUAUAACAAUAUAAAUAUUGUCUAUUUUAAGUUUACAAGAUGUUCACUACUUUAAAACGCAUAAAAAAAAUUCAUCCUUAUAUAGUAUUAUGAACUUUUUCUCAUAUCCGAUGUGAAAUAUCAUAAAUACCUUCCAUGUAAAUACAACAUGCUCGUUGUAUCCCACGAGAUUACAAGGUCAAAUAGACAAACAUUCUCAACGGGGUCAAAUAAACCCCCAUAUCAGGGUCAGGAAUCGAUCCUGUUAUUAUUUGUAGUGAUUCACACCCAAUUGUGUAGAUAUUAUCCAUCUGGGUGUAAAAGGGUUCUCUCGACUUUAAAAAACAUCAACAUAAUUAAGAAGGAUUCAUAAUUAUAUAAUGUAAAAAACUUUCUCCCCUAUCCAACACACUAUAUGUCCUCAUUCUUCAAUAAAUUGUUAUCUAUCAUGACUCCAUGCUCAAAUUUUUAUUUUUAUUUUUAACCUUCAUCUCCAUUUUUAAUAACCCAUAUAGGGAUCUAGAAUAUGUUGAUACAAUUUGUUAGUAUCCACUUAUCAUCAUAUAAAUAAAAAUACUAAGUAAAUAUAUCGUACUUGGGAUUGUCAUAGCUGCCAAUUUUUCUUAAACGUCAUCUCAUUUCACAUGUCUCCUUAUUUCCCCGGGCACAAAGAUGUUGACGAGGUUGGGUAGAAAGCGGGCACGGACAUUUUUCUCAAAGUAUUCAAUUAGUUUACAUGAAUUUUCAUAGCAUGUACAAAAUAAAUAAUUACUCUAAAAUAUAAUUUUAAGUACCUUAUCAUCAAUAAUAUUUGGAUGCCACUUUACAUCUUCAUUUUAAAACUCUUUAAUACCUUUCACGAGAAAAUUGAAAAUAAAACUCAUGUCAUUGCACUUACUAUAAACGGUAUUGGGAAUCAUAUUGCAAGAGUGGAUAUUGUGGGAGAAAAGAUGGAUAACUAUGGAUAUUUUAAUACAAUAUGGGUCAGAUUUAUUAAAAAUAAAGUUUAGAAUAUCAUGAUUAAUAUUAUUUUACAAUAAUUUUUGGAAGGAUGGUUCUUUCAAAGGAAAAAAUAUAUAUAUAUAUAUAUAUAGUAGGUAAUUGAUAUUAUAUCAUCAAUAGAAUGAUAUCCGCAAAUAAAAUUAUGAAGGGAAAUAUUAUGUUGUAACACCAUGUUUGGUAUGGGAGGGAAUGAAGAGUAAAAAUGAACAUCAUAUUUUUUUGGGAAAAAUGGGAUUUAAUUCACUAAUAUAAAAAUAUAUGAAAAAAAGAAUCUAAAAAAUUUUAAAUUAGUAUUAUCUUCAUCUAUUUAAAAAUAAUUUGAAAUAUAUUUACCUUUUAAUGAGUCAUCCAAUUAUUUUAAAAAAAAAUGUUUCUUUACUUGUCAUAUCAUCCAAAUCAAUUGACAACUACACUCCUCUAUAUAAAUAUUUCCAUUUCUUUUAGAUAUUUUAUUAUUAUUAUUAUUUUAUUAUUUGAGAUUUUUUUUCUCAAGAAACGUUAUAACGUAAGAAUUUGAAAUAUAUAUAUAUAUAUAUAUAUAUAUAUAUAUAUAUAUAUAUAUAUUCUAAUAUUAAUAAGUUAAAAAUAAAUUCAUAUUCUUGAUAAAAAAAAAAAUAAACUAAUAAUAAAUUUAUAUUUAUUAUAUAAUAUUAUUAAUUGUUAAAUAUAAUAAAAAAAUUAAAAUUUGUUGUAAAAGUUUUUCAGAUAUAAAAUGUUUAUAAUAUGGUUAUACUUAUAAAAAUAAAUAAAUAUUUUAUAUUAAAUAAAUUAAUCAUAAUUAAAAUAAUGAUAUAUUAUUAAAUUUAUUAUUUAUUAUUUAAUAAAAAACCUUAUUACUCUUUGAAUAAGUAAUUAUGAUAAAAUAGGAUUUAUUUGACAAUAUUUCCUCUUAAAAUUCUAGGAAAUAAAAAAAUAUAUAUUAAUACUAUUUAAAUAGGAUUUUUUUUGCACAAUAUUUCUUAAACUUUUAGAAAACUAAAAUAAGAAUCCUACGAGAUGUUUGUUUCUAAAGAAAAAAAAUUCAAAUAAUAAAAUAAUAAUAAUAAUAAUAAUAAUAAUAAUUGGAUAAUUCUUUUAAAAUGUAUGUAUUUUAAACAAUUUUUUAAAUAGAUGAAGAUAAUACUAAUUUAAAAUCAAAUCCCACUUUUCUCUAUUUUUUAUCAUUCCUAUAUUUAAAUAAUUUAAAUGACAAUGAGAAUGGAAUAAAAGAUGAUUUUUGUAGGAAUGAAACUCCAUUGAUAAAUGCGAUAUCAAUUGUGAUAUCAAUUGUGGUAUUUUGUUUCCCUUGAUAAUGGGAAUUAUAAAUAACAUUUUAAAAUUAUUAUUUUACUCCCCGGAACUUUCUAUGAUUAAUUUUAAUUUAUUAAGGAUAUGUUUGAUUCUUAAAAAAUUGAAGGAAAAAAAUGAUGAAAAAAAAAAAUAAAGAUGAAAAAUAAAAAUAAAAAUAAAAAUGCAUUUUUUUUUUCCUUUCAUUAAUACUUUCUAAUAAUCAAACAAAACCUAAGUAAAUAUUAUUUUUCUUAAUGUCAUUAUUUAACAAAAAAAUAAACUCAUAACUCAUAUUCUUUAAAAAUAUAUAAAAAAAAUUAUUUGGACAUUAUCAUCCAUUUAUUUUUAUAAUUCAUAUUAUUAUUAUUACUAAAAUUGAAAUAGAAACAAAUAAUCCUUCCAACAUUAGCUAUAAAUGCAUCAAAUUCAUUUUUUUAUUCAAGCUGAAUUAAAGAAUAAGCUUGGAAAAUUUCAUAAGCAUCAGAUGAGCAUGCCUCCGAAUGGAUCUCAACCAGUUUCACCAUCCCACAUUUUGAGCACAGUCUCAUAAGGCAAAACGACGUCGUGUCAACUGCAACGACGAAGAACAGCCAUGCUCCGAGGAUCACAAGUGGUUUCAUAUUAUCAUUGAGCAGUCAUCAGCGACGCUCCUCCUCCAAUGGCCGUGAUAAAAUCUGGGAGUGGGGCUAUGAGCUUCACCAAGGCUCUGGCUGUUUCUUUGAUAUCUCUGCCUUUUCUCUUCACACUCUUCGUUCUCUACCGGAACCCACCUUCUGAUCCAACCCCAGAUUUCAGAGAAGCUAGGGUUUUGGACGUGCCACCCAGGAUUGUUAAUGCGUUGAAACUGGGUACGAAAACAGUAUUCAAUGGUUCGCUUUUGAUUUUUGUUUUCCAUUGUAUUUGGAAUAUUACGUGAUUGUUUGUUUAGUUGAUUUUGGUUUUGAAUGAAGUGAUUAUUAUGGGAUUUGAUAUUCCUGAUCAUGGAACUUGUUUCAGUUUUUUGAGCUAGUUUUGGGUUGUGAAAAUUUUCUCCUCGGCUGUUUUUUGGAAGUGGUUUUUUUUUUUUUUUUAUAGAUAACUUUUUUACUAAUUUUAAUUUUAUAUUUUUUAUAGCAAAACCCAAUAUCAGAAAAUUAUUUUCCUUAAUAUUUUUUUCUUUCCCUGAUGAUACUUUCCUAUAACCAAACAUAGCGAAAAUGAUUUUUGGAACUUUGGAAAAACCUAAUUUUUGUAAGAAAAACACUUAUAAUCCUCUUGAAACCACUCCCAAAGGCACUCUUAUUAUGUAGGAGCAUGGUAUGAAUCAAGGUUUACUUGGUUCAUUUCUCUUGUAAUUGAUAAAAGUUUUUUGUCAUGACCGAUCGGCUCUAAGACACUCCAUUACUUCUAGAACUUAAGUGACUUAAGUGGUGUUUGUUUUUUUACUUAAUUCUAAAUAGAACUUUAAUACUUAAUAGUGUUAAAUAUUAAGUUGUUUGUUUUUAUAGUAUUUUAUUUCUAUUAAGUAUUAAAAAAUAAAGAAAAAUUAAUAUGUUAUUUUUUCUAUUUAGAAAAAGUUACGUAUUUUGACUUUUUCUAUUUAGUAAAAAGUUUAUAAUAAAUUAUGAAAAAAUAGAAAAACAAACAACCUAAAUUCUGAAAAUAAAUUAUUUUCAGUAAAAGGCCAAAAAAACAAACACCACUUUAGUAUCUUGUGAGUGUCAAAAGGUUGAUAUGAGUAUUUUAUUCAUUAGGGCUCAUACAAUCUGUACCAUGAAUUAUUGGCUGAUUUGAAUGCUCCAAUUCAUAUGAUGUUAUGCUAACCUUCUGUUUAAGCUACCUGCUUUCAAUUUUUUUUUUUCAGUUCAAUAAACACUGAAACAAGUAUGGUUCCAGGUGCUUAGCUUAGACUGAACACUUAUUUCAUAUGGCGAGGGUGCCUAAUAAUGCUUCAUCUUUUUUCUUUUUUCCUUUUUUUUUUCUUGAGUUAUAUAAAAUUCAAAACCAUUUUUCAAUUCACUAUCUCAUUGGAAAUCUCAACUGGCCUGGGGGUUGUUUGGAUGAAUCCCUCUUUUCACACAUAUACACUCAUGUACAUCACAAGUGAGGUUGGAAGGAAAUGGCUCCUCCUCGCAGUAAUGGUCGCGCCCAAAACUUCCUCUGAUAUAUGCACUGAGUAAGGUUGGAAGGAAUCAACUCUUCCUCUUAGUUAUGAUCAUGCCCAGAAAUCCCCUUUGUUGACAAUCUUUGAGUUAAUAACAGCACUCUCAGCAUCAAGAUUAAGUGACACUCUUUCUAUAUUCAGAAUUAUGAAAACAGAAAUGUAUCUGACCAGCUCUUAAAAGAAAAAAGAUUUCAGUUGCCUGACCCUGAAAUUAGUAUUCUCUGUCCUGUGUUGUUUGCUAAUAUGUAUCCUGGUUACUCUAAUUCAUAGGUCCAGAAGAUAAUUCCUCUCAACCUGCUGACAUGUCUAAAGACAGUCUGCUUGGUGGGCUUCUUGCUGCUGGAUUUGGCGAAAAAUCUUGCUUAAGCAGGUACCAGUCUGCCUUGUAUCGAAAAAUUUCACCUUAUAAGCCUUCUUCCUAUCUUCUUUCCAGAUUGCGGAAGUAUGAAGACCUCCAUAAACAUUGUGGACCCCAUACCAAAUCCUACAGGAAAACCAUAAAACUACUCAAGUCUGGCCACAGUGUUGGCCCAACAGAUUGUAACUAUGUUGUGUGGAUAUCUUACAGUGGCUUAGGGAACAGGAUCCUCACCCUGGCUUCUGCAUUCCUUUAUGCUCUUCUCACAAACCGUGUCCUGCUUGUUGACCGGGGAAAAGACAUGGCUGAUCUAUUCUGUGAGCCAUUUCCUGAAAAAUCAUGGUUACUGCCCCUGGACUUUCCCCUACUGCCUAAAUUCAACAGCAUUAACAAAGAAUCUCCUCAUUGUUUUGGGAAGAUGCUGAAGAAUAAUAUCAUAAAUUCCUCAACAGAACAACCGCCACCAUUUUUAUAUAUCUACCUGAGUCACGAUUAUGGUGAUCAUGAUAAGCUUUUCUUCUGUGAUCAGGAACAAACCCUUCUUGGGAAAGUCCCUUGGUUGAUCAUGAAGACUAAUAACUACUUUGUCCCAUCUCUCUUCUUGAUGCCUUCUUUUGAACAAGAACUAAGCAAAUUAUUCCCAGAAAAGGAAACUACUUUCCAUCACUUGGGUCGGUAUCUUUUCCACCCUUCAAAUCAAGUAUGGGGACUGAUCACAAGGUUCUAUAAAGCUUACUUGGCUGAAUCAAAUGAGAGGAUUGGCAUCCAAAUAAGGACUUUUGACUCUGGAACUGCUCCUUUCCAAUAUGUGAUUGAUCAAAUCAUGGCAUGCACUCUAAAGGAGAAACUGCUGCCUGAAGUCAAUAGACAAGAAACUUUUGUUACCCCAGCUGAAAACCAGAAAUCAAUAGCUGUUCUAAUGACAUCUUUAAAUUCUGGGUACUCUGAGGCUGUGAGGAACAUGUAUUGGGAGCAGUCAGCCAUGAGUGGGGAGGUGGUCAGCGUAUACCAGCCAAGCCAUGAGGAAGUCCAACAGAGUGAGAAGCAGGGGCACAACAGGAAGGCAUGGGCAGAAAUGUAUCUCCUAAGUACGACUGAGGCAUUGAUAACCAGCGCAUGGUCAACCUUUGGCUAUGUGGCUCAGGGUCUUGGAGGUGUGACGCCUUGGAUUCUGUACAAGCCUCAAAAUCGGACAGCUCCUGAUCCACCUUGUGGCAGGGCAAUGUCAAUGGAGCCAUGCUUUCAUGCCCCUCCCUUCUAUGACUGUAAGGCGAAGACAGGAGUCGAUACUGGUGCGCUUGUUCCUCAUGUAAGACACUGUGAAGACAUGAGCUGGGGCCUCAAGCUGGUUGGUAGACAUAGAGAGUUGUAGUUGCAGUCUUUAUGUCGAAAUUCAUCAAUCUCUUAUGGUUUUGGCCGUAGAAUAAAAUCUUUGCCAUUGAAGGUUCUGCAGAAAUACAUGGUAUUUUUUUUUUUGUCACUACGUUCCCACAGGAAGUCAGAAGGGAAAAUGGAAAGGAAAAACCCUCAAAGCCUGACCUCCAAUCAAGGGAGCAUAGGACAAAGAUGAUAGCAACUGAAACUGGAGCUUGAAAUUUGUAGCAGUUUUAGAAUACGUAGAUGUGAUGGUCUUUUUCUACUGUUGAUUCCCAGGCCAGGAUAUAUCUGCAGAUCUCAUUUAAUGGGAAUCACUUCAUUUCAUGAAUUUUAUUGCUUUCUUUAAUAUUUGGAAAUUCCCACGAGUUCAUUGGAGCCAGUUGCAGACACCAGACUGCAUUGCAUUGACCUCACAAAGGAAAUAGAACGUUUCUUAGUCCUUGUUGGGACCUGGACCUCAUUGAUUUUAAACGUACGCAUCUGAAGGGCCUUGAACUUGGGGCUUUUUUAACUUUUGCAGUAAUUUUAAAAAAUUAUUAUUAAAAAAUAAUAGUUAAGAAAAUAUUGAUACAUCUACGAUAGUUUUGACUACGUGGAAGGUGUCCUUUGAAAAGACACCUUCCACAAUUUUCAAAAUCAUGAAAGAAUUGAAUUUAAGCUAAAGGUGUCUCUUCAAGAGAAGAGACACCUUCUACAAUUCCAGAAAAUUGGAUUUAUAUUAAAGGUGUCUCUUGAAAAAACACACUUUUCACGUAUCAAAAAAUCUAAUAUGCAUUAAAGGUGUCUCUUGUAAAGACACUUUCCAGGUGGCAAAAAAUCCAAUAUGCAUUAAAGGUGUCUCUUGAAGAGACACCUUCUAUAAUUUGACAAAUUUGAAUGUUUUAUGAAUUUGAUUUUAAAGUUAAAGAUGUCUCUUGAAGAGACACCUUCUACAAUUCCUAAAAAUUUCAAUUUAUACAAAAAGUGUCUCUUCAAGAGACACCUUUAGAAUUCCAAAAAAUUAGAUUUAUACAAAAGGUGUCUCUUGGAAAGACACUUUCCACAAUUCCACAAAAUCCAAUAUGUAUUAAAAAUUGUGGAAAUGAUUUUAAAGCUAAAGAUGUCUCUCUUCAAUGUAUGAAAAUUGUGGAAAGUCUCUUCAAAAGACACCUUCAAUAUAAUUCCAUUUUUUGGGAAUUGUGAAAGGUGUCUCUUGACACCUUCCACAAUUUUAAAAAUAUUGGGUUUAUACUGAAAGUGCUUGUUCAAAAGACACUUUCCACAAUUUCCAUUCAAACAGUGAAAAAUUUUGAAUUUAUGCUGAAGGUGUCUCUUCAAGAGACACCUUCCAUAAUUACAAAAAAAAAUGGAAUUAUAUUCGGACACCUUUCAUAAUUUUAAAAAAAUUGGGUUUAUACUAAAAGUGUUUCUUGAAGAGACACUUUCCACAAUUUUUCAGCAAUUUUUUAGUGGAAAUUUCGAAUUUUGAAAAGGGAUAUUCUACAAUUCCCAAAAAAUAGAAUUAUACUAAAGGUGUCUCUUGAAGAGACACCUUCCAUAAUUUGAAAAAAAAAAUUGAGUUUAUACAGAAAGUGUCUCUUCAAAAGACACUUUCCACAAUUUUCAUUAUUUAAAAAAAAAUUCGAUUUAUACUGAAAGUGUCUCUUCAAGAGACACUUUCCACAAUUUCCAUACACAUUCUAUCUCUUAAUUAGUGUUACCUACCAUACAACCAAGUGUUUAUAGUUUAUCACUUAUAUACAUUAUAAUCAAUAUUUUGACAUUCAAUCCAAAACCAAUGAAAACAAGUAAACCAAAUGUCAAAAUCAGCAUCUUUCCAAAAUAGUAACAAUACUAUUUUGUGUAAAAUAAGUCCAAAAUAGAUAGAAUACUAUAGAACUUAUGUUAAUAAAAAGUUAGUUAAUCCAAAAUAUAAUAAGUAAAAACAUACAUCUUGAGUAUUUGUCCAAAAUAAUGAUAUGCAAAAUACUAAUAGCAUCCAAAAUACAAGUCAUAUGUAGUAACAUCCUCAAUGUGUACCGCACGAAGGAGCCUUCCUCUUCCGUAGUGGACGUCUAUGAUGUGCAUGCUCCACUAUUGGCUUUAUGGGGCUAACAUGUAACCCUCCAUGAGCUCCACGACCACGUCUCCUACCACGUCCUCGACCAUGUCCUCCACCACGAUUAGUCUUUUGUCCUUGUUGAUCAUCAUUUGCUAUAUGAACUAACUCCUCAUGAACCAAUGUAGCCUCUAUUGAUGGUGGUGAUGAUGCAACAAGUGGUAUUACAGGUGGGGUGGAUGGCGCCUCCAUAGGUGUAAAAACAAUAUUAAAAAAAACAUUUUAAAUAAGAAAUUAAUUAUAACUAUUUUAUAAUUGAAUGAAAAAUUUUCAUUUAAUUGAUUAGUAAAAAUAUAUCAUAAUUUUUUAAUAUUAAAUAGAUUUUUUUUACUGUUGGGGGAUUCGAACCCCCAACAAAAGGUUCAACAUGCAUCCCCAACUCCAUUAGGGUAAACUUGCCCCAUGACAUAUAAUAUGCACUAAAGAAAUAUAUGUUAAAAGUUAGGAUAUAAAUACAAUAUUUAAAAAAAAACUUUAAAUAAAAAAAUUAAUUAUAACUAUUUUAUAAUUGAAUGAAAAUUUUUCAUUUAAUUGAUUAGUAAAAAUAUAUCAUAAUUUUAUUCAUAGUGUUUUUAAUAUUAUUAAUAUAUUAAAAAUUUAUAUAUUUAUCAUUAUUUAUUUUAUAAUAUAUCAUAAUUUUUUAAUAUUAAAUAGAUUUUAAAAUUAAACAUGUUAUAAUCUUAUAUUUUUUAUUAACAUGUACAUACAUACAAAAUUGAGCCUUUUUUGGCCACUUGGGGAUAUAUCAUAAUUUUUUAAUAUUAAAUAGAUUUUAAAAUUAAACAUGUUAUAAUCUUAUAUUUUUUAUUAACAUGUACAUACAUACAAAAUUGAGCUUUUUUUGGCCACUUGGGGGGAUUCGAACCCUCAACAAAAGGUUCAACAUGCAUUCCCAACUCCACUAGGACAAACUUUUCCCAUAAUAUAUGAUAUGCACUAAAGAAAUAUAUAUCAAAAGUUAGGAUAUAAAUACAAUAUUAAAAAAACACUUUAAAUAACAAAUUAAUUAUAACUAUUUUAUAAUUGAAUGAAAAAAUUUCAUUUAAUUGAUUAGCAAAAAUAUAUCAUAAUUUUAUUCACAGUAUUUUUAAUAUUAUUAAUAUAUUAAAAAUUUAUCCAACAUGUAACAGUUACAUUCUGAUUUCGUUUACCUUGGAGUUUAGUCUAAUUUUCACUAUAUCCGUAUGGAUAUCAAUCUAACCGGAUGAACAAAUUCAAUCUUAUCCAAAUCUAAAUUGUAUCACAGAUACCCACACCACCUUUACUUUAUUCCUUCAACUGAUGUAUGUGGAUUACCUAUUAAAGAUCAACAUACCUUCUUGCAACAGCUGAAAGCAAUGAAACAAAUAAAAAUUUUUCUUAUUUAUUUUUAAUUUUAACAAAUAAAAAGAUAGUAUUUUUUAUUUUUUAUUUUAACAAAUAAAAAGAUAGUAUAUCCAUUUUGCCCAAUGAAGAAUCUCCUUGGAUUUGAAUUUGAAUUUAAAUUUGAAUUUCAAUUCUUGCAGGUACUAAUCUAAUCAGGUUAUGAUUUUUUAUUUUUUUGCAACCCCCGUUUGAUUCCUAAGAAAAUCCAUUCCCCAUUCGCUCUCUGGGAAAAUUCAUCCUCCUUUAAUUUUUGAGAAAAUCCAUGCAAAACCCCCGAGAAAAACAAAAAAAAAAUGCUUUUUUUUUUUUGCUCUCUAUGCUUUCUGGAUCUGUUCUAGGGGUCUCUUUGCUUUUGUGCCAUUGGAUUUAAAUUUCACAAACCCUAAAUCCACGAUUUUUGAGCUAGGCUGAAAAACACAACAUUUCCUUGCAAAUAAUGAUUAGAUUACCAAAUAGCAUCUUAUGUUUUUUUUUAUAAAAAAAAAUUGGACAGAUUUUGUAUCCUGUGCGCGGGCUGGACUGGUAGGAAAUAUCGGGAAAUUUAUUUUUUUUCAACUUUCCCACACUUUCUUGGUGACCAAACACAACCACACUACCAAAUAUAACCACAAAACUUAUAAAAAACACCGAGGGCAAUGGUUUCUCAGAUCUGCACUUCACUUCCUUCCUAUUGGUAUUGAGGCAAGAUUUCCAUCCCAUGAUCAGCGUGCAAGAUAAUGGGUUUUCGGGCAGAGGAGUUUUGAUGCAGAGAAGAAAAAUGGGCUGGAAGGGAAAUGGAAUGAGGGGGAAUGGGUUUUCAAUUCUCAUCCUACAUGUUAUCCUACGUGUUCAAAAGUGUCGUAGAAUUGGAAUUAUUUUCCAAUCUACGGUAUUUUAAAAAUUAUUUUCCCUGAUAGCAAUACAUUUAUCAAGAAUCCCUUGAACUUGGGAUCUCAAAACAAGAGACAUAUAGCCUCCUGCCACCAGACCCAAUAUGCUUUGCUGUUACAAUAUCACAUAACAUUAUAGUAAAUGAUAAUAAUAAUUGUGGCUAGUUUUUUUUAUUUAUUAUUAUUAUUAUAUUUAUUCAUUCAAUCAUUCAUUUAUCUGUAAAUUAAUUUUAAAAAUAAAAGGUAAAUAAAUUAUUUUAACUUUGUUUUGGCUUCAAAAAAAGAAAAGACAAUGAUUUUAUUUUGACUUCAAACAAUAAAAACUCCAUCCAUCAAUAACUUUUAGGAAUAGAAAUUCAAUUCAAUAGAAGUGGUCAUUAUUUUUUGUGGUUAAUUUAUUAUUAUAUUCAUUUUAUUAAGAGAGUAAUAAUUCUAUUAAUUAUGGGUCAAUUUGAAAUAUAAAAUAUAACUUUGAAAAUAUACUAUUUUUUAUUACUUAUAAAUUUUAAUAUUUAUAAAUUAAAAAUUUAGUACUUCAAUUAAAUUUUUGUAAUUUAUAUGAUAGAUUUAUAACAAUAUAGUACAAUAUAAAUUUUUUACUAUAAUUAUUAUUACUAAUUUAACACAAUAAAUAAAUAUAUUAAAAGAGUUUAAACACAAUUAAAAACUUAAAAAAAUAAAAUUCUAAAUCCAAUUAAAAAAUUAAAAUUUAAUUUAAAAUGAACUAACAAACUAUCGACAUUUUAGAAGGAAAAAAAAACAUUAGCAAUAUUUAUUAAUUAAUAUAAAGAUUUAGCAUUUAAAAUUUUCAUAAAAUUUAAAUGAUGACUAUUAUAUUUCAUAAAAGCUUUAACAACAAGAUUGCAUGGAUCAUAAUAAGUAAUAUAAGGAGCUUUUUUAUUUACAUAAUUAAAUAUUGUUGUGCUUAUAGGCCAUUAAUUUUUGUCUUGUGGUACAACUUUAUGGGUUGUAGCACAAAGAUAUUUGCUUAUUAUUUCAAAACUUAGCAACCAUGAUAGAUCAAUUAGAGUUAAUGUUUGGAAAUUGUUAUUGAAAAUGAUUUGUUAUCAUUUAAAAUAUAUAUAUAUAAAUAUCAUUUUUAAAAAUUAAAAAACAUGUUAAACUUUUGCAUAAAAAUAGUUUCUGAAUUUAUUUAUUUGUUGAGAUAAAGUGUUAUUUUUUUAUAAUAAAUUUAUAGUAUUUUUAGGUAUUUUAUGGUGUAUUUCUUUAUAUUUUAAAAUUGCAAAAGUUUUUUUUUAUUACUGAUAACUUUUAGUAUUUAUAAAUUAAAAUUUUAGUAUUUAAAUUUAUACUUUUAUAAAUUAUAUGAAUUACUUAAAACCUACUAUAUGCAUGAACAUACAUGUUCAUACUUAAAAUAUUAAUUUAAUUUAGUGGAGUUGAAUAUUGAGUUGAAAAUUUAUACUUUAUUAUUAAAAAUAUGACUUGGGAAGUGAUUGUGGAUAUGUGCAAUUUUUAGUAAAAAAAAUAUUUUAAAUUUGUAGUAUGUUAUAUUGAUGAUAUUAUGACUUGGGAAUUGAUCGUAGAUAGAUGCAAUUUUUAGUAAAAAAAAAAAAAAUUAAAUUUGUAGUAUGUUAUAUUGAUGAUAUUUUAUUUUUGUAACUUCAAAUAAUAAGCAAAUCAUUAUCAAAGAAGCUAUUGGAAGUGUAAGUGCAUAUUUAUUUAUUGCUCUUACAUGGUAUCAAUGGUCAAGAAGAUAAAAUUAACUUUUAAAGGUAAUUAAAUUUUUAUACAUUUUAAAGAUUUUUUCUUUAGUGUUUUUCUAUAUAUUAUGUUUUUGAAGUCUGUCUAAUUAAACAUAUUAGUUAUUUAACCAAACUUUUCGCAAAUGUUUUGUGUACUUAUUGUGUUUUAUAUGCAAAAAGUGUUUUAUUGUAUAAUACUUAUGCAUAUUUUUCACAAACUUUUAACAACCAUUUUGUAUACUAAUGUGUUUUGUAUACAUAUUAACCCUUGUUCGUGCCUAUAUAAGAUACAUCUAGUUAGUUAAAUAUAUCCAUUAUAUUAAAGCAAGAUUCAUUUAUUUUAUUCUUAGUAUUAACAUAUUUUGCAAUUCUCUUGUCUAGUAUAUAUCUUCUAUUAUACUUAUUGAAAUAGAAAAUCGAGAUUGGAUGUCAAAAGAUAGCAGGUCAGUCAAGUAUAAAGGAGUUGAAAACUUUAUUAAUCUUGCAUUAAUACAUUCAACCAACCAUACCUCAACAAAAUGUUCAUUUUUAUGUUGUGGAAAUUUGUUAUAUUAAACUCCUCUAGUCAUUAGAAAGCAUAUGUUCUUUAAUAAAAUAUAUCUUAGUUAUCAAGGAUAGUAUUGGUAUGGAGAAAAAGGUCCUAGUGGAGUAUAUCCAAAUGUCUUAUAAUGACAUUAUGACAAAUGUUAUUAUAAUGAUGUUAUGAACACAAUAGAUGUGGUUAAUGUUGCACAAGUUAAUUGUAUGAGUAAUUUUAAUGUAUUUAGGAAGUUACUUGAAGAUGUAGAAAAACCUUUAUAUUGAAACGCACAAAGUUGUUAACAUUGGUAAAACUUUGCAACUUAAAAGCAUGUCAUGGUUAGUUUGAUAAAUGAUUCUCAUAAUUGCUUUAGUUGCUUGGAGAUAUGUUGUCAUUAAAUAAUGAGAUGUUGUUGUCCAUGUAUGAAGCUAAAAAGACUUUAAAGGCACUUGCGAUGGAAUAUCAGAAAAUUUAUGCAUGUCCUACAAGAAUGUUAUUACAUGCUCAAUUUGUUGAAAAUCAAGGUGGAAGAUAGCAAAAAGGAGAGGAAGAUUAAGAAGGUAGUUCCUACAAAUUUUUUAUGGUAUUUCCCAUUUGUCUAUAGAUUCAAAAAGACAUUUCAUUCCUAAAAAGUUAUUGAAUAUCUUAUAUGGAAUGCCAAAGAUAAAGAAUAUGAUGGUGAACUAUGUCACACAUCAAACUCCUUUGUGUGGAAUCUAGUUGACCAUAUGUGGCUUGAUUUUGAUUUCAAAUGGAGAAACCUUAGACUAGCACUCUCACCAGAUGAUAUAAAUCCUCAUAGGUUUAUGAGCAAUAGACAUAGUUGUUGUUUUGUUAUACUGAUCGUAUACGACCUCCUUAAUUGUGCAUGAAAAGGAAGUUUAUGAUGUUAUCAUUAUUGAUCUCAGAGUCAUGACAACCUGGUAAUGAUAUAGAUGUGUACUUUAGUCUAUUAUCAUAUGACUUUAAAACUUUGCAAGAAAAAAGAGUAGAGACUUAUAAUGCACUUUUGCAUGAAGUUUUUACUUUAAAGAUCAUCCUUCUACGAAUAAUUAAUGAUUUCCCUUCACAAGAAAACUUGGUUGGUUGCACUAUUAAAGUAUAUUAUCCAUGUUUAAUAUGUAGAGAGAGAACAUAUUCCCACAGAUUAAAGCAUGGUAGGAAGAACUCAUAUAUGGGCCAUUAACUAUUUCUUCUAUAUAAUCACCCUUAUCAAAGACAAAAGAAGGCAUCCAAUGGUGAACAAGGUUUGGAUGCCUCACAAAAUCUUGAGUAGCGAAGAAAUACUUAAAAAUCUUGAUCGCAUUCCUAUUUCAUAGGGAAAUAUGAAGGUGAAAUCUCUUAUAUCUAAAGUGAAUACAACUCAUAGGAAAAAGAAGUUUAUAUUUUUUAAGUUGGAAUAUUGGAAAUCUCUUCAAGUUCAUUACCAUUUGGAUGUUAUGCACAUUGAAAAGAAUGUCUGUGAGAGCAUUAUUGGUACCUUGAUUAACAUCCUAAGGAAAACAAAGGAAAGAGUCAAUGUUCAACUUGACCUAGUGGAAAUGGGUUUAGGGUCUAAACUUUCUCCAAGAGUUGACUCAAAGAAGACCUACCUUCCUCUUACAUAUUAUUUACUAUCCAACAAUUAGAAAAAAAAAUAGUUUUCCAAACAUUGUCUAAUUUAAAGGUUCCUAAAGGGUAUUGCUCAAGCUUUAAAAAUCUUGUGUCUUUAAAGGAAUUGAAAUUGUUUGGUAUAAAAUUACAUGACUACCAUGCAGUCAUGCAACAACUAUUGCUAGUGGCACUAUGUUUGAUCUUGCCAAAGCAUGUGAGAUAUACUAUAUUAUGUAUAAUUUUCUAUGAAUUGCGUACAAAAGUUGUGGAUGUGCCAAAAUUGAAUGAAGUAUACAAUGAGCUAGUGGUCAUGUUGUGCUUAUUUGAAAAGUAUUUUCCACCUUCAUUUUUUGAUAUUAUACUUCAUGUAAUAAUGCAUUUGAUAAGGAAAGUGCGACUAUGUGGCCCAAUUUGCUUUAGAUGGAUGUACCCAUUUGAAAGGUAUAUGAAAGUUCUUAAGAGAUAUGUUUACUAUCAUAAUCAACUUGAAAUAUGCAUAACUGAGUGUUAUAUAGUAAAUAAAGUUAUUGAAUUUUGUAUUGAAUAAUUAUCAUGAACUCAUGCAAUUGGAAUUCUAAAAAGUAACAAUUAUGACAAAAAAAAAAUUGGUAGACCUAUAACUAGUGGUUGUUAUAUCAACAUUGAUCAUAAGUUAUGGUCGUAAGCACAUUAUUAUGUGUUAGAGAAUGCAACUAUUGUCCAACCAUACAUUGAGUAAGAAAAACAUACAUUUAUCUUUUUAUAAUUUCAUAACAUAAUGAAGGAAUCCUCAGUUAGUAUUCCUUAUUUAUAACAUUAUAAGGAGCACAUGAAUUGGUUGAAGUCUCAAUACCUUGACAAUCUUAGAGACAUAUCUAGUUGCAAAAAGAAUACAUGCAUUGUUUUUUAUAUAUUAACUUAAAGGAAAUAUAAUUUCUUAAUUUUUAGAAAUUUUUUUAUAUGUUGAAAAUAUCAUAAGUUUUUAAUAUGUUCUAAUUGCACACAAGUUGAAGAUGUUAUCCACAAUAAGCUAGAUAUUCCUGACACCUCUAGGUGAUUAGCAUAUAACCAUACUCACUAGGUGGUCAAGUAUCCUAGAUAUAUUAUUCAUGGGUGUCAUUAUCAUACUAAGGAAUGUGAUGAGACAUGUGUCACCUAGAAUAAUAGUGUUAGCAUUCUAGUAUGAACCAUGCAAAUCGCAAAUUCUAAGGAUAAAAACCCAAUUUUUGGUGAACUUUGCUUUCAUGGGGUCAUUACUAAGAUAUGAGAUCUUGAUUAUAGCAUGUUCAAAGUUCCAAUUUUCAAAUGUGAUUGCGUUGACAAUAAAAAUGUUAUAAAAGUUAAUGAACUCGGAUUCACGUUAGUUGACUUUUUUAGAAUAAGUCAUAAAUCAUAUUCGUUUAUUUUAACAUCACUAGUCAAGCAAGUCUUUUGUAUUGAAGACUAACAUAAUCUUAGAUGAUCAAUAGUUCUCUGAAUUCCUCUAAAAGAACUCAAGGAUAUGUAAACAUUGGAUAACAUGAUUGAUAAUUGCAUGAAACAUCGCCCCUUUAUAAGUUCAAUACUAGAAGUUCAAUCAUUUGAUGUUGUGGAUGAAUUAGGUGAAAUAUACAUGAGAGAAGACUAUGAUAAAUAUGGAUUGAAAACAAUUCAAUAAUUUCUUGUACCCUUAACAUGAGAUAAAGUAAAACAUCUCAUUUAUUGUUUUUCAUGACUUCACAUUAGCUUAGUUUCUAUAUGUUUUAUAUUGCUCGAUUUAAAUUUCAUAUAUGCAUCAUAAACAUAUGUCACUCAAAGGCAUUGAGUGAUUCAAAGGCACCACUUUGAUCUUCAUUCAACUAUUCUUUUGUUAUCCAUAGAACUAAAUUUAUAUUUUUUUUUAUAAUCAAGUUUUGAUUUUAUGCUCACAUAGCUUGAAACUCUCAUUCUUGAUUUUGUUUUUAUUAAAACUGAAAAUCAUAAUUGAAAAUAUGUACUCAUUUAUUUUAUUAUUUUCCUCACAAAUCAAAUUCUUCAUAUAUAUAUAUAAGAAAUCCAAGAACAAGAUAAACUUUGAAAGGAAAUUUGGAGCAAUAUAUCUAGGAACAACCAAUUUAAUUAUGGAAAUAUAUGUAAGGCUAUAUUGAUCUUACUUUAUGAGUCAUGUUACAAGUUUUGUUGUUAAAAUAUGAGUUUUCACAUUUAUUUGAUAUCUUCCACAUAAAUAUGAAUCCUAAAGGAGAGGAAAUCCCACCCCGCCCCCCCGCCCCCCAAAACAAAACAUAAAGGCUACAUUGAAACUAGAGAUUGCAAAAAAAUCGAAGCAAAGGGAUAAAGCUUAAUAUUUGAUACAAUAGCUUUAGUAGUUAUAUUGGAGAAAAUUCAAUUGAACUAAGUUAUCUUGGAACAAUAACUUGAACCCAUGUGCUUACAAUUAUUGAGAAUUGAAGGAAAUCCCUUAAAAAGACUAAGGAGAAGGGGGAUUUAAUGAAGGUAAGUCCAUUUAUAGCUUUAAUAAAUAAAUAUUGUAUACGUUUAGUAACACAAGUUAAUAUAAGUUGUUAUUGUGUAGACAAACUUUAAUGUGGAUAAAAAAAACUCUAAAAGGUGUUGUUUCAUAUUAAUGAGCAUCAGGUUUUGGACAUUUAAGCACAAGUUGAUAAAGAAAUAUAUUCUUUCAAGAAUGAACUAGAAAAGUUAAAAAUGUCACCUUCCAUUUACCUAUUCAUACAAGAGGCUCAUUGGAGACAUCUUGUUAAAAAUACAAUUUAGAACGUUUUAAUGUUAAGCAUAUUUUUAUUAUAUCUUCAAUUUUCAUAUUUAUACGGUUUGAUCAUGUACUAAUUUUGUAUCUAUACUUUAUAGGAAUAUCACAAUAUUAAGAAAUUUAGGAAAGAUAAGCACAUUUACAAUCAUUAUCUUGGAAAAGAAGGACAUGCAUGUCUUGAGUAGGAUAUAGUAAGUUAUCAAUAUUAGUUAAAAAAAAAAUGGAGUAUAUAAUUUAUUCAUAGAAAAAUUACUCUAAUUUUUUAUAUCAUUUAUUAACUUAAUCAUAUUACACUAAUGACAUUUAUUGUUAAAAAUCUUAUAGUUAUAAGUAGAAGAGGCUAUUGAUAGGGUUGGUAAAAGAGUUUUAUAGAAGAAAGUAUAUGAGAAGAAAGAAAAGUUUAAUAAGGUUAGAAAAUUAGUUAUUAACAUGAUAGUAAGUUAGCAUAUUUAUGCCUUUUGGAUUUAUAUGGUAAUGGUACAUAAUGAUAUCCUUAAGUAUUAGUAAAGGCUUAAUGUUAUCCUUUUUAUUAGUUGUCAUAUUAUAUUGAUGCAAAUAUAGUAGUCUAAUUUGAAAAUUAAUUUUGAAACAAUAUAUAUCAAUUUGUCUAUUAUCUUUUAUAUUAAACUAAUUCAUUUUUUAGCUACCUUGAAUUGGUUCUCUUUGAUUAAUAGGUAAAUUGUCUUCAACAAAUUAUUACUAAUAUGUCUAUUGUAAGACAAAUUACUAGAAAAAUGAUAUGACCUACCUCCAAUUUAUCCAAAUAAUAUAUUAUGUCAAGCGUUGGGUAAGCUUGAUCAUCCAAGAUGCAUGGAAGGUCAAGACUACUUGGUUAGGCCUAACUCAUAAUUUCAUUAACCAUCAAAUGACAUGAAAAAUAAAAAUAAAAACAAAAAGUGGGAAAUUAUAUGAAAGACGAUGCAAGAUGUUGCAAUAAGACAUGUUGUGUCUCUACUCCCACCCAUUCUAAUAUGGGUAGUAACAACAUGAUAUAAGAAUUUUUUUUAUAACCAAUUGUAGCAAACAAGUCAAUGUUUAAAGUAAUAAAGGAGUCUCAACCACUAGAACUAUCAUUGUAGCACAAGGUAUACAUUCCUUUAUUAAUAAUACAAAAUUGAUAUAAGUGAUAUAAAAUCUAUAUAAAUGAUAUUAUUUGUUGUAUUAAAAGCAAUUAAAUGCAAAUUAAAAAUGAAAAGAAAAGAAAUGUUGUUGCAACUGAUACACUAAUAAAAGAAAAAUGAUCAAAUAGGUUGGUUGUAAUGAAUGUUACACACAAGCUAGAUUCUAGAUUCCACUUCCAAAUUUGUAUGAGAUUAUCAAUGUUAGGUAUGCUAUUAGCUUUGAACUUAAUUAGCCAACGAACCUUCUCAUAUUUGAAAAUGAACAUCCUCAAGUAUGUCAUUUUAUGUUAAUGGUAAAUUUGGUUGCAACUUAAUGUUUUGUUGUUUAGGAGUAUAUGUUACUAACAUUCCUUCCAUUUUCAUAGAUGUUGGAUUAUGGAGAAAAGAAAAUGGCGAAGGAACCAGCUAUUUGACAAUCUAAACCUCAAAAUGAUACAAUCAUUAAAAAAUUUUAGAAAUUUGUGGAUAAGUGUCUUAAAAAUGAGAAGACAUACCUAGGAUAACUUUUCACUUCACUAUUUGGUGAUGAAUUUCGAACAUAUUAUCUAGAUAUAGGUGUUAAUACAUCAUUUGAUUUCUAGAGGUGUCAUCAAACUGCAUUUCUUUCUAUUGAUAAUGUGCAGUUUUUAUUUUCAUUUGUAUUUUUUAUUUUUAUUUUUUAUUUUUUGUAAUAUGAGUUAUUCAUGUUGAAGAGGAUAAGACUAAUGACAACUUUCUAUUGGUGUUUUGAUAAUAGGCAGAUGCACGAUCAACUAACUACAUAUCGUCAAAAAGGAAUUACUAUUUGUAUUUGUUAAUCCUUUUACAAUAUCACGAGUGAACUUCAAUACUCAUCAAAUAAACAAUUGUUAUGAAAAUGCUUAGUAGAGUGUCAUAAUGUUGAAUAUAUUUUUAUGCCUUACAAUCUCAAGUAAGUCACAAAUAUUACACUUAAAUUUAAAGUUUAUAAUUGAUUUAUGUUUCUAAUUACUUUUGUUUUUAAUAUUUUAGCUUUCAUUAGGUCUUGGUAGUGAUUGAGCUAAGGAAAAUGAUAAUUCACUAUCUUUACCUGAUGCAUCACAAACCAUGGAAGGACUUAAAAGGAUAUCCUAAACAUAUAAGCUCUUCCUAUUAUUUUUCGUAAUAUUAUUUUUUUAAAAGAUAAUAUUAUAUUCAUCUUAAAUACAAUUUUUUUUUAUUGUUUAUACAUAUCAAAACAUAUGACAUUUAACUAUUUUUAAAAAGUACUCAUUGAAAUUAUUUACACAAGGCUCUUCGAAUCUCUAUAAAGAAAGCAUCCAAGAGAGAGCCAUCUUGGCAACUAGUGUAGGUGACUUUCAAAAUUUUGUCUUACACAUCCAAGUUAUGCAUCCACAUUUAUAUAAAAGAGUACUAAUGUUAUCUUAUAAUUGAACAAUUAGUGUCCAAGACAAGAAAAAUGGUUUGAAUGUGACUACUUUGUUACAAGAUUCAUUAAAAAGAUAAUUGUUGAUCCUAUAAUUAUUACCUCGAAGAUUUUACUCAUUUAAUGAAUUGUACAUAAUUUUAUACAUGCUUUUCAAUUUUUGUGUAUACUAAUGUUAUUUUCUCAUUUGAUAAUAAUAAUAAUAAACAUAUUUUUAAGUAGAAUUUGAUGAAAUUAAAAGAAAAUGGGCUAUUUUUACAUUACAACUAAUAAUGAAUCAUAUUGAUGCAUCAUGAUCAUGCAUGGUAAGUCCUUUUAACUGUUAUAUGAACUUUUCAUGGGUAUUAUAUAGCAUGACUUAUAUAUGAACACUGUUUUUAAAUCAAAAUGAGAAGAACAGAAAAAAUCAGAACUAUGAUAACAUCAAUGAGUUUUGACCAAAAAUAGGAUGUUUAAAAUAAUCCAUAAAGUAAACAUGAUUCCAAAAUAAUGUCCAAUCUAGUGCGUCUUUGCCAUAUGGAUCUUUCAUAAAAUCUUAGUUGAUGACUAUCAUUCUAAUUUUUUUUAAAUGGUCAAAACCGUAGUCACCAAUCAUGACUUUAAUUUUAAGCUUAAAACUAUAGUUGGUGAUUACGACUUUGACUAUUUUAAAAAAAAAUUCAAAAUCUAAGUCACCAACUAUGAUUUGAAGCUUAAAGUUAAAGUUAUUGAUGACUAUGGUUUUGAAUUUUUUUUUAAAUGGUCAAACUCAUUGUCACCAACUAUAGUUUUGAGUAAAAAAUAUUUUUAUAUAUAAAAUUAUGUUGUUUAGUUUGAAAUAUUUAACUUUAAUUUUUUUAAAUAAAAAUAUUAUAUUAUUUUUAUUUUAUACUUAUUAAAAAUACGUGAGUGAUUAAUUAACUUAUAUGAGUAUUUAAAAAAAAUUAUAUAUGAAAUUAAAUAAUUGGUAUUUUUAAUUUGUUAUAAAAAUAUUUUUGUUUUAUUUUAUUAAAACAAUUGGCAUUAUGUUUAAUAUAAAUUAUAAUUAUUUAAUUAUCUUUAAAUAUAAAUUAAAUAUAAUAAAUUAUAUUUAUUUAAAAUAAAUAAAUAAUGAAAACCUAUUUAGAAAAAAAAAACAAAUAAUAUAAAUUAUUAUAUUAAUUAAUUAUUUUUUAUAUACUAUAAUGUAAGUGGUAUAUAAUAUCACAUAUAUAUAAGUUCAAUUUAAUUAUGGACAAAUUAUUAUAUAUUUAAAUGAAAAUUUAUCAUGUUUUCAUUUAAAUAUAUAGAUAAAUUUUCAUUUAAAUAUAUAAUAAUUUGUCCAUAAUAAUAAUAAUAAUAAAAAAAGUAAAUAACUUAAUACAAAUGAAAAUAAACACAAAAAAUGAAAAACAAUCCUCAAUGAGUGUCACAUGAUAGGACUUUCAUUUUUUUUUGUGAAACCCUAUGAUACAAAGACAGAUUUAUCGAAUCUAUCUGUGAAAUCUACAAUGUCUCCAUAUGUGUAGGUUGAGAUGGAGUUGAUAAAGGGCAAGACUCGAUGUUUGUGUGGACCAUAGCAUCGCCUAGGUGGGCAUACAUCCAAUUAUGUAACAUGUGCGAGUGUAUGAUGUAUGGUAGUCUCUAUGGGAAAAGGUGUAGGUGAUGGUAGGAUGGUAGAUGGUCGGGCAAUCUCAAGUACAAUGAUAUCUAAUAUGGUUAGUGUUGGCAAAUAAGAGGAUUGGUCAUGUCCAUCAACUCCCUUUGUGUUCAAAUGUCGUGGGCGCUUGAGUAAAUGCACUAUAAGGUUAGGGUAUACGUCUUUCUUGACAACAAUUACUUUUAGGAGAAUUGGUAGCACUUGAGGUCCUACAAGUGGUAUAAGAGCCGAGGUCACAGGUUUGAAUCCCUAGAUUGUUGCUAGGGGAGGAGAUUGUUGACAAAUCGAAGAAUUGGUCACGUCCAUCAACUCCCUUUGUGUUCGAAUACCAAAUAGGCUUGGGUGAAUGCACUAUAAAGUUAGGGUGUACACCUUUCCUGACAGCAAUUGAUUUUAGGAGAGUUGGUUGCAUUUGAGGUCUUACAGUUGGUUUUAGGAGAAGUAAUACAAGGCAUGAUAGAAUGACAUUUGGUGUUGUGGUCUUUGGUGCAAUAACAUUUGAUAUAGUGGCUUCUAAUAGAGGAAAUAUAGGUGAUGAUGGUGAGGUGACAUGUGGUAUAGUGGUAUCUUCAAGAAAAGGUAAAGGUGAUGGUAGAUUAGUAGAUGGUAUAACAAUAUUUGGUGCAAUGACACCUUAGAUAUAGUGGACUUUAUGGGAUGAAAUAGAGAUGAUGGUAGGGUGGUAUCUUAUACGACAUGCUCUAAAGGAGAAGGUCAAAAGUGAAGGUAAUGGUAGGAGUGAAGAGAGAAUUGUGGAAUCCUCAGGUGUAAAUGAGGUGGAUGAUCUAGAUGGUGCUAACAUGAUCUCAAGUGGAUGCAUAAAUCAUCAAGGUUGUCGACCAACUCUCUCAUUGUCUCACCUACCACCUCUCCCUUGACCUUGAAUAGGCUGCAUCCUUACUAUAAGGGUUGACAUAGGUGGUCUCAUUGAUGGGCCUAAUGAUGUAGACAACUUAUGGAUUAAACAUAUGCGAUGUUCCUUUCCAAUAAUGUGCAAAAUAUCAGUAGCAAUCUAAUGAAUGUCACCUAAUACACCUAAAGUGGCCCCAAUAGAUUGACUAGCAAUCUCAACCAUACUAGUGAUCUAAGAAACAAAAAAGUGAAACAUUUGAAUAUGAUUUUCUAUUAAUAUAAUUUAACAAACCAUUUCUAAGUAUAAAAAUCAUUACCACAUUAAGUAGAUGUUGAUGUACUAUUGUAUUUCAUUCAAUCCCUAUAGAUAGGGGAUGUAAUAAAACGUUGUGUAAUACAUCGGUACCACUCCAUGUAUGAAUCAUGAAACUCCAUAGUACUUGUCAUAGGUGGUUUCAUCGCAUACGCUUUGCAUAACUAGCUCAUAAGGUAAUAUACUAUGCAUGGAAUGCCCCCAAUCAUACUUAUGUCGUCCUCGCCUAUCCAUAAAAUAUUGAUCUUGCUUCAUCGAACAAGAUGAAGGUAUCCUUUAUUGGAGGCCAAACUAUUACAACACUCACUCCGAUCAAUGCCACUCGACAAUGUCAAAGCAAAUAAGAGGUGACGUCGUCCACCAAAUCUCCUGGUCUACUAGAGAUAUCGUUGGAAGAUGAAGACUAAGUCUCCUAUGUAAGACUCCCAUAAAACCUGUAAAUAUCGACAUUUGACAUCAAUAAUGUUAAUACUUAUAUGGUUAACAAAAAACACAUUACAUCUUUUGUGUACUUGGUCAGGGGUCUAUGGAUCUAAUUGGUCCCAAUAAAAUGUCAACACAUGUGAUGGGUUAUAAGCCCAUGAUAAAGGUAUUUUCCAUCUACAUCCCAAUGGAUCAACUAGCAAAACCUCAUCUAAUAAUGUCUCAUCUUGUAAUCCCUUGUUCUCAUCCAAUAAUCCCUAAUGUACCCCAAUAGGACUUUCAACUGGUAAAUCAUCGAUUACAUCAUAAUCUAAAUGUUGAGUUGUUGGAAGGGCUAGUGGUUGACUAAAAUUGGGUUGACAUAAGUAGAGUAUCUCACAAGACCAGAACUAGAUAAAAUAUGACAUUAAUAAUGUUACUUAAAUUAUAAACUUGAAGCAACUAGAAAUUUUAAUCUAAUGUGACACAUCUAACAAUAUCGGUAACACUACCCAAACUUACCCCACACAACUCCCUAUAUAGGUAUGCUAGGAUCGCAUUGUCCUAACUAUACAUAGAUUAAAUCAUAAGCUUUAUAAGCCUUUUAACAAGGGACAUAGCCAAUGAAAACACAUUUAAAAGCUCAAGAAGUAAAUUUAUCCUUAUAAGGCUCUAUCUUAGUAACAUAACAAACACAACCAAAGCAUUUUAAAACAUUAUAAUCAGGUAAUUUGUCAUACAAAAGCUUAUAAGGAGUUUUCCAAAAAAAAAAUGGGGCUAAGAAGUAUGUUAAUGCUCAAAAUUUCUUUGGUAAAUGUUACUAAAACAUAAGAGAAUGUGGAAUUUGUAGCAAAUGUUUAUGUUUUAUUUCAACAACACCACUCUAUUAUGGUGUGUAAACACAAGUUGUUUUAUUUAUGAUGCCCAAAGUGGAAAAUAAUUUAUGAUAUUCUAUAUUGACAAACUCUAUUCCAUUAUUAGUUUUAACCUAAAUAUGAAAUUGAGUUUGAACCAUUUUGAAAAAAAAUUCCAAAGUGUGAACUAUUUGAUGUUUAUGGUAUAGUAGAAAAGUUCAAAUAGCACAACUAUAGUCAUCUACAAUAGUUAGAACAUAAUGUGCUCCUGAAAUGGAAGGUUGUUUAUAGGGUUCCUAAAUAUCUAGAUGAAUCAAAUAUAAAAUAUGACAUGCAUGACUUUGAUUUUUAGGAAAUAAUAGUUUGUGUUGCUUUGAUAGAGGACAAAUAUCAUAAGAAACAAAAGGUUCCACAAAAGAGCUUUCAAGGAAAUGUAAAUGCUAUAAAACUAUAGAUGAAGCAUGCCCAAGUCUCUUGUGCCAAAGAAACUCAAAAGGUACUAAAGCUUUAUUUAUGUACUAAGUAUCUGUAAAUAUCAAAAUUUUUAGUGAAAUAAAUUAUCACUAAAUUGAUCUUGAAAAAAAUGUGGCUCCUUAAUUUGACAAAAUUCGGGAUCAACAAGUGAUAGAUCCUACACACAUUUGACAUGUGAUGUAUUUUAAAAAGGUAACACAUGAUGAAAUUAGGAAGACCACAAAAUUUAGUCUUCCAAAUAAAAAUUUUCAAUUACAAUCAAAGGAGAAUUAAAAAUAAACAAAUAUCGUCUUUUUGAGAAACUCUUACAGAAAACAAAUAUUCCAACUAAAGCCAAAAGAUAAUAAAGAAUAAAUAAAUAUUCUCUUGUUGGCAAAUUUCCUUAAUGAAGAAGACAAGUUGCUAAAAUCAAUUAAUGAAAUUCUUUGAAUUAAGCAAUUAAAUCUUGGGGAAUUCCAAAAUUUAAUUUCUUAAUUUCAUCCAUAAAUAGGGAUGACUUAUUUCAAUAAAGAGACUUAUGAGGGAUAGACAAAAACAACUCCACAUGGGAAAUGAGGCUUCACAAAGAAGAAAAGGCUUAACAAAAUCUCUCUACAAGUCUAAAAAAUCAUAGAAAAACUACAUGCGUGUUCUUCGCCUUUCAACAAAGUCAUUCGGGAAUAAGCCACUCUAAGCCCUCGAUUGACUUUGAAAACAAAGAAAACAUCUUCAUCAUUUACACAAGCGAUUCCACGGUUCAUUUGGGAAUGAACCACUUGUGGCCUUUAAUUGAUCUUUGAAAUCAAGAAAACCUUUUUUUGUCAUCAUUUAAAUUGUGAUCAAGGUGAAAGAAUAAGAGGAAUAUAUUCUUUUGCAAAAGAAUAUUACCACAAAGAUUGUACUCCAUAAUUGAUCAAUUUUAAUACAAAUUUUGUUUCGCAUUAUUUUUUUCUAUUGUUUUACUUCCAUUGCAAGAUUUUUACGAAAUUUGUGCAUACAGUAUUAGUGCGUGAAGGAAUAGCAAAUGAUUUAAUGAAAAAAAAACACGACUAAUCUAAUAUGUUUAGACUCCCUAUCGCUUUACCAACUGCCAAAACUGCUUUAGUCUUCAGGUCUUGUAAAACAUAAUAGGUAUGAGAAAAAAUGAAUCUAAUAUGAACUUAGUCAAAAUGCUUAGAAGAUCAAUUAGGUUCAAAUCAGUGCACAUAUGGUUUGAUGUUUUUAUGUCAAUAAUCCGAAUUACAGGUUCUAAUAAAUCAAGAAUAUUUAGUGUAUACUUAAGAAUGGUACUUGCAAAUUCUCCUAAGCGUGUGAGAUUUAUGUUAUUGCUAUCCAUAACUGAUUUGCCCUUCAUGUAUUUAGCUAUCUCCUAUUGAAUAAUUUUUGCUAUAGAACUUGUCAAUUUUGCAUCUUUACCAAUCCUUCGAUCACAAACAACAUCUAGAGGUGUGUCAAUCACAUUGGCAGUCAAUUUACUUGGUACCUUUUCCUUUUGCUUCUAUAGUUGUUUAAACUAAUCUAAAUAACCAUGUAGCUUAAAACAAAUGUCUCUUACAUGUCCAUUUGUAUUACAGUAUUCAUAAUGGUUGUCACUCUUUUUCCUAGCAUCUUUUUUCUUAAAAUUUCCUCUAUUAGCUCCAUCUUUCUUAAAAUUUUAUGAUCUCACAAACAUAAAACUAUUUCCAAUAUUAUCUUUAAAGAACAUUUGCACCUGUCUUUGUUUCUCAACUCUUAAAACCAUAGAAUAGGCUUUGUUAACACUUGGCAGAGGAUCCAUCAACAUAAUUUGAUUUCGAAUAUGAUCAAAACUAUCAUUUAAUCCCAUUAAGAACUGCAUUAAAUGAUUAAAAGUAGUAAUUUCUGCUACUGAUUUAGCUACUUCAUAGGUGCAUUGAGGAAUAGGCAUUAGACAUGUAAGUUCAUCCCACAGUUUCUUUAGUUUUGUAUAAUAUUGUACCACAAACAUUAAACCUUGUGAAAUAAAACUAAUUUCUCUCUAUAAUUGAUACAAUAAAGGUCCAUUAGAUUAACCAAAUCUUUUUUCUAGUUCCUUCCAUAGUUCUCUUGUAGAAGUAGUAUAUAAAAAAGACAUAACAAUUUCCCUAGAAAAUAAAGUUCAAAAUCCAAGAAGUUACCAUACAAUCUACUCUAUUCCAUUGUUCAAAAUCAAGAGAAUCUUCAUCUGGUAUCUUAUAUUUGUCAUUUAUGAACCCUAAUUUCACCUAAGCACCUAAAGCAAUUUUCAUAGAAUGAUUCCAAGAGAGUUAGUUAUUAUCUGUUAACAAAGUUGAUACCAACACCAUUUCUAGAUGAUCCAAGCUCUAUAGAUAGACAAUACCUCUAUUAUUGUACUAUUUUACUUCCAAAACUUCAUUUGCAGCUGAAUCUUUUCUAGAUCCAGAAAUUGAAUUCCUUGAAUCACCACCCAUGGUUAUGCUAAGAAACAAAAGAGAAUACCUAGAAAUUAUAGCAAAGAAUCAAGUCGGAACUAUCAAAUCAUGGCUCUAAUACCAUGAAAAAUUAUCAAUUACUCUGCUAUUGAUGCAAACAAAAAACAAAGGAAAGUGUACAACAAUAAAGAAAUGAAGAAAAAAUAGUUUCUUAUUUUUCUCACUCUAAAAAUGUGUAGACAUGUGAGUAUUUAUAUACAAAAAACUGAGAUAAAUGACAACUAGAAAAUAACAAACUACAAUGACAAUUAAAAAAAUACCAAACUACAAACCAAAAAACUAAUUGAUAACUAACUAAAACUAAGUUCAGACUUAACUACUAACUUUCUAUAUAUUUAUAUAUAUAUAUAUAUAUAUAUAUAUAUAUAUAUAUAUAUCACAUAGCUCUAUAAUAAAAUAAGCAUCACUAGAAACAUAUGGUGUCACUUUAAAAUGUGUCACCAAUGAUAUUCUUAUGGUGUCACUUUCGAAUGUGUCACCAUUUAUUUACUUUGGUGUAGCUUACAAAUAUGUCACAAAUUGAUGCUCUUUAUGGUGUCAUUGGAUAAGGCGAUGCUAUAUUGUAACAACACUGUAUGUUUAUGAUAACUCAUUUAAACGUCACCAUACAUCUUUUUUCUUGUAGUGUUAGUUUGAAGGAAUUCAAAUUAGCAUAAUCAAGUUUUUGGAGUAGUGUCGAGGAGAUAGUUUGAGUUUUGUUCACAUCUCUUCCAAAAGUAGGUGAGCAUUUGAUGGCUCUAGUCAUGGUGGUAUCUCAAAUCUUGGAUUCUUAAUUAAUUCCUAAAUCUUCAACAUAAUAAUUGUUGUUAUUAAAAUAAUUAUAUUUUGAAAAAUUAUAUAUAAUUAUUAUUAUUCAUAAUUUAUAACUAAACAUGAAAAUAAAUUUACUUGAUUAGUAUACUUUCAAAAUCAUGUAUAUUGGUCAGAACUAAGCCACUUAAUUGGUACCAUCUAAUCAACGAUUACUAAGCAUGUAAUGACCCACACUCAACCUUGUAAUUAUAGUCUGUUUUGGGCCCAAGGAGACCCUUACAACAUUAAAACAUGUCUAUAUGGUUAAGAAGAAUUCAUACUUAUAUAACGUCAAGAACUUUCUCCCAUAUCUGAUGUGGGAUAUAUCACCCCCUCCUCCCCCCCUCCUCCCACCCCCCUCCCCACGUCUCCUCUAUGCAAACAUAAUAUUUUCGUUAUGUCUCAUGGGAUUGUGGGACCAAACAGAUAAAUACCCUUCACUAGACUAAACAAACCUCCACAUUGGGGUCGGGUAUUGGUUUUGAUACAAUUUGUAACGACUCACACCUAACUGUGUAGAUAUUAUCCGUUCUAGGUCCAAAGGGGUUUUUACGGCUUUAAAUACGUCUAUAAGAUUAAGAGAAGUCUAUUCGAUGUGGGAUAUCACAAACACCCCCUCAUGUAAACACAAUGUCCUCGUUGUGUCAUGUGGGAUUGCGAAACCAUAGUAAUAAACACCCCUUACAAGACCAAACAAACUCCCACAUGAGAGUUGAGGAUCAAUUCUAAUACCAUUUAUAAUGACCUUGACCCAACCAUGUAGAUAUUGUUCACUCUUGACCCAAAAGAGCUUUCAUGGCUUUAAAUCAUGUCUAUAGGGUUAAGAGAAACUCAUUUAUAUAGUGUCAAAAACUUUUUUCCCUAUCCAAUGUGGGAUAUCACAAAGUGAGUAAUGGUUAACAAUAACAUCCUCAUUAAUUAAAGCCAAAUAUCAUAGUAUAGAAACAAAAGAUGAUAUUUUUUCAAAAUAUAAAAUUUCUCAAUAUAAGUAAAACAUUUGUCUAUCCUUUGAAAAAAGUAAUAUUUUUUAAAAAUAUAUAAGAGAUAGAAUUUUGUAGAGAAAUUGACAAAAACUUAGAAGGCAAAUAAAAUAAAUCUCAUUAAUACAAAUAUAAAAUUAUGCCCUAACCAAUGGAAAAAUCUACAUUAAUCGGUAUUAUUAAUUUACAUUUUUUUUCUUUUUACCUUUACUAACAUUAGUUAACAUUUAAUUAACAAUUUGCAUACUUUUAAUCUUAAUUUACUAUACCGCAUCAUUUCAUUUUCUUGCUAUCACGUACAUCACUAUAUUUCAUGAAAACACGAUGAAGUUUAGGGAAUAAAAGAAUCGAAAUAACCCUAGAUAUCGACAUCUCACCCCUAUUCCUCAUUUUCCCAAUAAAACUUUUUAUAUUUAAAAUUAUUUAAUGUCUUGAACUUUUUAUAUUUAAAUAAUUUAUUAUUUUUAUUAUGCUCAAAGUUGACUUUCAUUUAAAGCCCAAAGAUUUAGGGUUUGUUUCCAAACUUUUCUUCAAACACAAUUUUCCUUUUUUGAAAACAAUUUUUUGGUCUCUACAAUAGAAUAUCAUAUUUUUAACUUAGAAGCAAAUUUUGUUAUCCAAAUAAUUUUUUUUAAUAAUUUAUAUGAAAUUUCUUUCUUUCUUCUUCUUCUUCUUCUUCUUUUUAAUUUUUUUUAUUUUUUAUUAUUUUUUUAAGAACAAUUUUAAAGUAUUAUAGAGUGUUUUUGAGGACUUUAGAGUAUUUUGAGAAAUAAUAAAAAAUAUAACAAAUGUUUUGAAAAAAAUUUAAUUAUAAAGAGGGAAUUAAGUUUGAAAACAUAUUUUAUAUAUUUAGGUACCCAAAUAAAAUUCUAUUCUUAAAAUAAACACAAAAUUAUUUUUAAGAAGUGUUCUCAAAAUAAUAAAAUGAGUUUUGAGAUCAAUGACAACAUAAAAUUUAAAUUUUAUAAAUUUAAAACUCUUUAAUAAAAUAACUUAUUAUAAAUAAUAAUAUGAUAAUAUUUAAUUUUAAUAAUAAUACAUUAAAUUUAAAUAGAAGGAUCGAGAAUAUGAGCCUAUGUUGGGUCAUGUGAGUUAAAAACAAUUUUUUGUUUUAUUUUAAAAACAAAAAAUUGUUUUUAAAAAUUCCUGACACUGUUUGGUCAUUGUUUUCUAGAAAUAAAAUUUUAAAAUAAAUUGAAAUAGAAAACAAUGUUUAGAAAACAAAUAAGAGUUUUUUUUUCACCAAUUUUUAAAAAUAAAAGAAAAAUAUAGACCUAUUUGGCCAUGUAUUUUUAAACUUGUUUUUAAAAAUGGUUUUUUAUUUUUAAAUUUAAAAAUAGUUUUUAAAAAUAAGUUUAUGACCAACCAGGUCAAAUUUUUCGGAAUAUAGAUGUAUAAUUAAAAAAAGUACUAUAUAUAUAUAAAAAUGAAUAUAAGGAAGGUGAGAUGAAAAUAUUAGUUUUGUAAAUAAAAUGAGAUAAGAUUUGGUAUAAUAAUAAUUUAAUGAUUUUGAAAAUAAGGUAAAUAUAUUAAAAAUAUUUUAAUUUAAUUUUUAAUAAGAAAAAAAAUUAAAUAUAAACAAAAUGAUUGAGAAUGUUAAUAGUUAAUUUAAACAAAGAGAAAGUUUAAGCAUGGAAUGAGAAAUAAAACUUCAAACAAUAAGGUACUUAUUACUAGAUAAGUUUACAACAAAAUAAUGAAGGGAAAAUUAAGUUUUUGGUGAUAUAAAUAUAAUAUUAAGUUAAUUUCAUCCGCUUCACUUGAGGUUUCGGUUAAAUAUAUUUUAUUUUUAUAGGUUUAAAAUUUCGAGUCCGUUUGAUAGUAAUUUUAUGAAGCGUUUUUAACAUUUUUAAUAUUUUAAAAUUUUUAUGAUUUAAGUGUUAAAAAUAUUAGAAACGUUUCGUAAAAUCAUUAUCAAACACAUUCUUCAUCAAACACCUCUCGUAUUAUUUUCAUUUCUUAUUUUUAUUCCCCUUCUUUCUUACUCAAAAUAAGAGAGGUGUACAACGAAAUUUUAAACCUAUAAGAAUUAUAUGUAUUUAAUCAAAACUUGAAUGAAAUUAACCCAUGCAAUAUUAUAGUAAAUAUUUUAUAUAUGAAAAAAAAAUAUAUAAAUACAUUAUUUUUAAAUUUGGGUGGCCCAGGCACAGGCUCAGCCCAUUUUCACCAAGGAUGAAAAUAUCGGUAAUCACGGAUAUAUCGGUAACUUGAUUUUACGGAUAUAUUGGAUAUAUCGGAGAAAUAUCGAUGGAUAUUUUGAAAAAAAAUUUUGAUAAGCAAAAAAUUGAUCAAAACUUAUGGAAAUGUAAAAAAACCUCGUAUUAUUGUAAUUAAAAGUAAAAUAAACAAUUUAAAGUUGUUUUGGUGAAGAAUUUGAUAUAUAUAUAUAUAUAUAUAUAUAUAUAUAUAUAUAUAUAUAUAUAUAUAUAUAUAUAUAUAUAUAUAUAUAUAUAUAUAUAUAUAAAUANNNNNNNNNNNNNNNNNNNNNNNNNNNNNNNNNNNNNNNNNNNNNNNNNNNNNNNNNNNNNNNNNNNNNNNNNNNNNNNNNNNNNNNNNNNNNNNNNNNNGAGAUUUUACACCCAUAAGAGAUAUAUGUGUAUACACACAACGCGAGAGAGAGAAACCCACGCACUCUUAUAGUGAAUAUUUUAUAUAUGAAAAAAAAAUAUAUAUAUACACUUUUUUUAUAUUUGGGGGGGGCGCGCGCGCGCGCACCCCCCUCUCCCCCCGGGGGAAAAUAUCGGUACUCGCGGAUAUAUCGGUAUCUCGAUUUUACGGAUAUAUGGGAUAUAUCGGGGAGAUAGCGAGGGAUAUUUUGAAAAAAAAAUUUGAUACGCACAAAAAAGCGCAAAACAUAUGGAAAUGUAAAAAAACCCCGCGUUUGUGUGUAUAAAAGAAAAAAAAACAAAAUAAAGAGGUGUGGGGGGGGAGAGAGAUAUAUAUAUAUAUAUAUAUAUAUAUAUAUAUAUAUAUAUAUAUAUAUAUAUAUAUAUAUAUAUAUAUAUAUAUAUAUAUAUAAUAUGAUUUGCGAUAUUAAACAUAAUUAUAUUAUGUCAGUUGUACUUAUACACUCAUUAUGAAGUUUCAUAAAAAACUUAUUUUAGUAAAUAUCAAUGAUUUAUACAUAUUAUCACAUAACUUGAGGUUCAAUUCUGACUAUUGGAUCACAUCCAGUUUCAAUUUGGACCAUCAGAUGCACUGGGGUCCAAAUUGAAAUAUCAAUAAAAUAUUUUAUUUGAGAUCUAAUUUCUAAAAUUUUAUUAAAAAUAUGUGAUAACAACUUUCUUUUAUUAACAUUAAUAUAUUUAAAUAAUUAAAAUUAUUAAUAAUUUAUCUUAUCAAAUUAAUUUUAAUUCAUAAAAUAUUAUCAAUAAAAAUCAAAUUUUAAUCCAUAGUAGUGAUUUAAUCAUGGAUAAUUAAUAAUUAUUUAUAUAGAGUGAGGAAAAUUGUUCUCAUGAUAUGUUUCCUUUUUUUUUUUUAAUCUCUACUAAAUCUAAAACUAAAAAGGGCCACCCACUUCUCUCACUCGGGCAUCAAGAAGCCCGAAGCCCUUUUCUGAAGUUGCCCUCCAGACGAGAGAAUCCCUAAAAAGUCCCUAUUUUCCUCUGCCACUCUCAAUCCUCCCAGGUACUAAUCUAAUCUUGUUAUUUAUUUUUAUUUUUCUGCAACCCCGUUUGAUUCCCAAGAAAAUCCAUCCCCCAUUCGAUUUCUGGGAAAAUUCAUCCUCGUUUGAUUUCCGAGAAAAUCCAUGCAAAACCCCCAAGGAUAACCAGAAAGAUUGCUUUUGUUUUUUGCUUCCUGUGUUUUCUGGAUCUGUUCUAGGGGUCGCUUUGCUUUUGUGCCAUUGGAUUUAAAUUUCACGAACCCUAAAUCCACGAUUUUUGAGCCAGGCUAAAAAACACAACCUUUGCCUGCAAAUCAUGAUCAGAUUUUGUCACCUGUGCGCGGGCUGGACUGGUAGGAAAUAUCGGGAAAUUUUCAGAAAAAUCGGAAAAAAAUCGGCUAUACAAACCGAAAAUUCGCCGAUAAAUUGCAGUGUCCGGCUAUUUUUUGAAGAUUUCGCCGAUUUUUCGUCUGCAUCCAUUUUUCAGCGAUUUUAACCGAAAUUUGGCGAAAUUUCUCCCAUCGACAUUUCGCCCCCCUCUUUCGUAUCGCCGACCACCGAAACCCGAGAUUUCGGCUAAAAAAAUGGAAACUUUCAUCCUUGAUUUUCACCGAAGUAAUGCUGAACUCAUGUUGUAGUUGCACUAGCAUUAAGGUACGGCUUGAGCACGAGACGCAAGCUCCGAUCUCCGUCAACACAAAAGCAUUCGGUCAUUUUUGCUCCAAACGCUGCGUUUCGAUCGAUCACUGAGUUAAAGGUACUGCUCAGUUUCCAUUUCUAAUCCAGUAAAUCGACUUCUAGAUUAGACAUAAUCGGUUAUGAAAAAAAUUAAAAAAAAAGUUGAAUCGUAAAUUUUCACAAUCCAAUAAAUCGACUUUUAUUUUGUUUUAUUUUAAAUUUUUGGCAGCAAAGAAACUAGGAGUCAAUAUGUGAUUUUCUUUUAUUUUUCUUCAUUUUCUUGAUAACCAAGGGCUUGAAUUUCAGUCGGAGUGCUAGAUAAUAGCUUGGCAUGCUAUUGCUGGAAGUUUCCAAUUUUAGGGUUUCUGUUUGAACAACCGUGGAAGUGUAUUGCAAGUUUGGAUUACUGCUCAGACUGAAUUCUUUUUAGAUUGACGGUCUUUGCUGUUUGGGAAUGUUUUCUUGUACAAAAUAGAAAUAGUGUAGAUGCAGAGAAAAUAUGGGAAAAGGAAUUGCAAUUUUGAGUUGUUAAAUUUUUACCACUGAGAUAGGGAAUACAGAAAAAUGUCAUUUAAAUCUUACACAGGUGGGGUUUUUGGUUUUUGGUUUUUUGGAUUUUGUUUUCUUAAAUUUUAUUUUAAUUUUUGGCUUUUGUUUUUAUUUCUUUGAAGCAAAAAAUGAGAGAUAACAUGGGAAUGGAAAUAUCAUUUUCUUUUAUUGCUCUAUUUUCUUGGAAACCAAUGGGCUAGAUUUCUCUUGGAAUGCUUUAAGCCUUUACAAGUUGUUGGUUAAGGUGUUGGCAAAUAGAAUUAAGAAGGUUAUGGGGAAAGUGAUUUCGGAGUCUCAAAAUGCCUUUGUGGAGGGUAGACAAAUUUUAGAUGCAGUUUGAUUGCAAAUGAGACAGUGGAUUCAAGGUUGAAAAGCAAUUAAGAGGGUGUGCUGUGUAAGUUAGAUAUAGAGAAGGCUUACGAUCAUGUAGCUGGAAGUUUUUGUUGGCAAUGCUUAAAAAAAUGGGCUUUGGGGAGAGAUGGUUAAAGUGGAUAGAAUGGUGCAUUUCUACUGUAAAAUUUUCUGUUCUAAUAAAUGGCUCUCCUUCCGUUUUUUUCCAAAGUUCGAGGGGAUUGAGACAAGGAGACCCCCUUUCCCCUUAUUUGUUUGUGAUAAUCAUGGAGGUGUUUAGUUGUUUAUUGAGAAGGGCUAUUUAUAGAGGCUUUUUAUCUGGGUGGAGGGUGAGAGGUCAGAGUGGUGAGGGGAUUUUGAUAUGACACUUGUUAUUUGCGGAUGAUAUUUUGGUGUUUUGUGAGGAGUCUCAUGACCAGAUGACUUAUCUAAGCUGGCUUCUCAUGUGGUUUGAGGCUUGUUCAGGGUUGAGAAUCAAUUUGGAGAAGAGCGAGUUAAUCUUGGUGGGGAGGGUGCAUGGUAUAGAGGAUUUGGCUUUGGAGUUGGGUUGUAGAGUGGGUGGUCUCCCUUCUUGUUAUUUGGGACUGCCUUUGGGGCCCCCCUUCAAAUCAUCUGCGGUUUGGGAUGGUAUUAAAGAGCGGUUUCGAAAAAGACUUGCAAUGUGGAAGAGACAGUAUAUUUCAAAAGGAGGGAGACUCACUCUAAUUCGGAGCACUCUCUCUAGCAUGCCUAUAUACUUCAUGUCUCUCUUUUAUUUGCCUAGAAAAGUAAGGUUGAGAUUGGAAAAGAUUUAAAGGGAUUUUUUGUGGGGUGGGGGAGCUCUUGUGCAUAGGCCACACCUUGUUAGGUGGAACCUGGUUUGCUUGGAAAAAAGGAAAGGUGGUUUGGGUGUGAGAAAUUUAGUUCUGAUAAAUAUCGCUCUCAUAAGUAAGUGGAAUUGACACUUUUCCAAUGAAAGAGAGGCUUUUUGGAAGCAAGUUAUCAGUCAUAAAUAUGGUGUGGAGGAGGGGGAUUGGUGUGCUUGGGCCGUAAGUGGGAGGUAUGGUGUUGGGCUUUGGAAAACAAUUAGAAAGGAGUGGUUGUUUCUGAAUAGUAGAUUAGCCUACCAAGUAGGUAGUGGUUGGAGAGUGAAAUUUUGGAAGGACAAGUGGUGUGGAGAUGAGCCUCUUUGUGAGUCAUUCCCCUCUUUAUUUUCCAUCUCCCUGUCUAAAAAUGCUUGGGUGUCGGAUGUUUGGAACCCAGACAUUGAUGGGGAGGGUUGGACCCCUCUUUUCUCAAGGAUGUUUAAUGAUUAGGAGAUUGAGAUGAUGGAGCGUUUUAUGCUCAAGAUCCAACCCUUUAGGGUGCAAAGGGAGGACAAAGAUAGAGUGGUUUGGACGACUUCAAAGAGUGGUGAUUUCUUAGUCAAGUCGCUUUAUUCUAUUUUGGAGCUCGGAGACUCUCAUUUGUUCCCUUGUAAUAGUAUUUGGAGGGCGAAUGUACCUCCUAAGGUAGCCUUCUUUGCUUGGGGGCUUCUUGGGGUAAAAUCUUAACUUUGGAGCAACUUCAGAGGAGAGGGUACUCUAUGGCUAACAGGUGUUUUCUAUGUCUCUCUGAAUUAGAGACGGUGGAUCACCUUUUACUUCAUUGUGUAAAUACGUGGGUUUUGUGGAAUCUUCUUUUCUCCCUAUUUGGUGUGGCUUGGGUUCUCUCAUGUUCAGUGAAGGAAACUCUUCUUGGGUGGCAUGGAGCUUUUGUGGGGAAAACUCAUAAAAAGGCUUGGCAAAUGACCCCCUUAUGUAUUUUUUUGUCAGUCUGGAAGGAAUUGAAUAUGUUAGCUUUUGAGAAUGAGGAGCUUUCACUUCAAAGACUGAAAUAUUCUUUUGUAUGUAAUAUUUGGUCUUGGGUUAGGGUGUCUAUAGUUUUGAGCCUUUCUUCUCUUCUUAGUUUUUUGGAUUGACUAGGCUCUAAGUAGGGGUUGGUGAAGUGUUAUUUCUUCCCUCCCCCCUUUGGUUUCGAGCCUUUGGGCUGCUUUUGUAUACUCUCUGUAUAUUUUGAGGGUACUGUUUUUGGUGCUUCCUCUUUCCGUUGAAUAUAUUUCCUUUUAUCUAUCAAAAAAAAAAUUGUCAAUGCUAUAGCUGGAAAUUUUAAAUUGUAGGAUUUUGUUUUGGACUAUAGCCCAAAACUAAUUAUAUGGGAACAUUAUCUUGUAUAGUUUUAUAUAGAAAAAGAUUUGGCUUGAGUUAAGAUUCCUUAAUUUUACCAGAAAAAAGGCUGGAACUUUCACUAACUAGCCAUUGGUUUCCAAAAAAAAAUGGGAGAGAGAGAGAGAGCGAAAGCAGGUGAGAGAGAGUGCGAUGGCGAGGAGGGGGAUGAAGGUUCGGUCCCGCGACGCAGAAGGAGGGAAUGCAAAUUCAGCGUGGAAUCAAAGGAGUUUGAGAUUAUUGGUGACGAGAGGAAAGGAAAGUUCCAAGCCCUCAUUGUGGAGAAGAAGGGAGGGGUUGCGUCAUGGAUUCGGUUGGGUCUGGACAGUCUAGGGUUGUUCUUGGAAGGUCUGAACCUCUGUAUUUUGGAUGAGAAAGCAUCAGGAUGGGGAAGGGAGUGGAAGGAACAGGGCCGAACAUUCUCUAUGUCACGAGGGACAAACAUCGCGGGGGAGUUUAUCCGGCUAGGGGUCUUCGACCUUGCGAGGAAACACUUCUGCAUCUUUGUCCCGAGAGGCAGAAAGGAAACGCGGGGGUGGAUGACCAUGGCGGACAAGAUUAAAGAGGUGAUAGGCGCUUUUGGUAGUAAAUCAAAAUUCCAGGAAGGAAAAUCUACGGGGAAAAUUGCUGGGGGGAGCUCAUACGCAACAAUAGCAAAACGUGCUUUGUUGGGCAAUCCAAAUGCGAUUGCAGUGAAGGUCAGAAGAGAGGAAUCGAUGGGAAUGUUGAAGAAGCUGGAUCACUGUGUUGUGGCUAGCAGGAGGGGUAACGCAGGGGAAGAGGACGAUCUUGAGAAGCUGGGACAGCAUUGGGCAAAAUCGUGGGAGCUCAAGGGAAGCUUAGGGCUGGCUAAAAUGGAAAAGGGGAGGGUUCUACUGGACUUUGAAGACUUGGAGGAGGCGCGUCGUGCUGUUUUUUCUGGGAAUCGCACGAUGAAAGGAGUCCAGAUAGGGCUGGAGUUUUGGAGUCCAAGGAGCGGGUGCUGGACAGAGGAGGAGAAGGCAAAGGAGAUUUGGGUGAGAUUAUUUUGACUCCUAGUCUCGUUUUGGAGCCCAGAGAUUUUGAAGAAGGCGGGGGACGCAUGUGGUGGCUUUAUCACGGCCGAUGAACCAACGAAGACGCUGGGUGAGCUUCAGUGGGCCAGAAUAUUAGUGAGGAGCAGAGGUGAUGCUCGCCCGAGUGUUCUGGAAGUCGAAGUGGAAGAGGAGGUCUAUGAGAUAGCAUUAUGGUGGGAAUGCCGUCCGGUGAUAAGGAGAUCUUCCAGUCAAGCAGAAAGCCAUUACAGCAGCGAGGUUGGGGGUGAGGUGUCCUCACGCGCGGAGAAGCGAGUGACAAAGGGGAUGGUGAGCGUGAGGAUCGAGGACCUGCACUCGUCAGGUGAAGGGACGGGUGGACAGAGGGCUGUUGGGGGUCUUUUUGUUUCUAAUGAAGGUCGAGGCCCAAUAUCCCCGUCGUGGAUCCAACCUGGGGCAGUCCAUCUUUCAAGCCCAAAUGCCAGCCCAAAGGUAUUAAAAAGGGACGGUGGGCCUGGGCUGAAGAUUGGUGCAAGGGGAUUAAAAAUGAAAGGGGUGGCCUUAAGUCCAGAUGCAGGCCCGUCGGGUAGGCCCGAUGAGGUGGGCUGUUCCAUUACAGGCCCAGUCUCGACACCAAUCAAAGGCCUAAGUUCAAAGGGAAAUGGUCCACAGCCUGUUAGAAGUUCAUCAGCAGGCCAAAACCAUUUUUUAUCCCAGAAGUCGGUGUCUGAUCCAGGUAAGAAUCAAGUGCCAGAGCCUUUUGUUGCGUGGGAGACUGAGGACUUGAGGAAAUUAAAUGGCGUGGUCAGGAUAUCAGAGACGGACAAGGCUCUCGAAGAGGAAUCAAUGAGGUAUGGUAAGGGGAUGUGGUCUUGGGGGAACAGGGUUCUGGGGAUCCCUCAUCUUAACUCUUUUAAUUUUGAUCGGACUCCGGGAGUGGAGUCUUUCGGUCAUUCUGGGGAUUGGAAUGAGGGAGCUCGUGUUGACAAUUCAAUGUGGCUAACAGUAUAUGAGGGUGGUGUUGAGAGGAGCAAUGGAUGCAGGGAGGUGGGUGUAAAGGAAAGCAGCAGUGAUACGGGAAGGAGGACUGUGGGGGAUGGUGCCACAUAUGAUUCCCAAACAGAGAGAGGAAUGCAGGAGGAUAAAUGGGAGGAGAGUGAUCUGGCAAAAUUUAGUCAUUUCCUGGGAUUCCCCACGGAGGGAUUGGAGAAGGAAAUACUGAAGUUUCUGUCUCAAAUCAGAAAGAGAAGGGAGAAAAUCCAUAGUAAAGAGCUAUUGGAAAAAUCUAAGUUUGAAAGGGAGCUAAAAAGACUGGAAUGCUCCAUUAAUUAUGAGGGGGGGCUUAAACAGAAAGGCUCGGUUCAGGGCAAAGGGCGCCAGAUUGUGAUUGUCCAAUGAAGAUGAAAAUUCUGAGUUGGAAUGUGAGGGGAGCAAAUGAUAGCUCUAAAAGAAAAGUAAUUAAGACGUUUAUAAGGAAUCAGAGGGCGGACGUAAUUUGUAUUCAGGAGACUAAAAUUCAAGCGAUGUCGGAUUACAUUGCGAGAAGCAUAGGCUCUGGCAGAUUCAUAGAGUGGAAGGCUGUGAAUGCGGAAGGUGCUUCGGGGGGAAUUUUGGUGUGCUGGGACAAAAGGGCCUUGGAGGUUCUAGAUUGGGAAGAGGGCCAGUUUACCUUAUCUUGUAGAUUCCGGAAUAUAGAAAAUGGGGUGAGUUGGAUUUUUACGGGAGUGUACGGUCCUUUCUCCAAGAUGGAAAGGGAGGCUUUAUGGGAUGAGUUGGGGGCGAUUAGAGGGCUGUGGGAAGACCCGUGGUGUAUAGGGGGGGACUUCAACAUAACCUUGUUUCCGAGGGAAAGGAGCAGCCAGAGGAGAAUGAAUUCAGCAAUGAGGAAAUUUGCGGAAACAGUGGAUGAUUUGGGGCUGAUGGAUCUCCCACUUCAAGGGGGAGAAUGUACUUGGAAUGGGGGACAAAACAAUCAGAUCUGGGCAAGAUUGGACAGAUUCCUUGUCUCCCCUAGUUGGACUGACCAAUACAAUGGGAUUAGGCAAUGUAGGCUGCCCCGUCCGGUUUCCGAUCAUUUCCCAAUUAUGCUAGUGGGGGGGGGAUAAGACGAGGCCCAACUCCAUUCAGAUUUGAAAAUAUGUGGCUUAAGGUUGAGGGCUUCAAAGAUUUAGUGCGCAGCUGGUGGCAAGGAAUUGAGGUAAGGGGCAGUGGUAGUUACAAGCUGGCUACCAAGAUGAAGGAAGUCAAACAGAAAUUGAAAACUUGGAAUAGAGAAGUCUUUGGGAAGCUGGAAACCAAUAAAUCCGUAGCCUUGCAGCAGGUGGAGUUUUGGGAUAGGGAGGAAAGUGGGAGAAUUCUGACGGUGGAGGAAACGGAGCUUAAGAAAGAGGCAAAAGAGAAUUAUAGGAAAUGGGUGACUAUAGAAGAGACCCAUUGGAGACAGCUUUCUAGGGAAAUAUGGCUGAAGGAGGGGGAUAGAAAUACGGGCUUUUUUCAUCGCAUGGCAAGCGCUCACCGGAGAAAUAAUCAGUUGGAGAGAAUAAAGAUCAAUGGGGAGUGGCUGUUAGAGGAGCAGGAAAUCAGGGAAGGAAUUGCUAGCACUUUCCAAAGCUUACUUUCAGAAGAUAUGGGGUGGAAGGCGGAUAUAAGGGGCCUUCGGCUAGACCGGAUCAGCCAACAAGAGGCGGAGACCUUGGAGAGGCCCUUUACUGAGGAGGAAAUUUAUGUGGCAUUGAUGGAGAUGAAUGGGGAUAAAGCCCCUGGCCCGGAUGGCUUUACAAUGGCGUUUUGGCAAAGUUGCUGGGACUUCAUUAAAGAGGAGAUUAUGGAAAUGUUCAAAGACUUCUAUGACCACAGUUCUUUUCUCAAGAGCCUCAACAAUACCUUCCUAGUGUUGAUCCCCAAGAAAAGUGGGGCUGAGGACCUUAGAGACUUCAGACCGAUUAGUCUUUUGGGGGGGCUUUACAAGUUAUUGGCUAAAGUGCUAGCUAACAAAUUGAAGAAAGUAGUUGGUAAGGUGGUCUCUACUUCUCAGAAUGCCUUUGUGAAGGGAAGACAAAUCCUUGAUGCGUCUUUAAUUGCAAAUGAAGUGAUAGACACGUGGCAGAAACAAAAGGAAAAGGGCAUUAUAUGCAAGUUGGAUAUAGAGAAAGCCUAUGACAACAUCAAUUGGAAGUUCUUGGUGAAGGUGUUACAUAAGAUGGGUUUCGGGUCUAAAUGGGUGGGGUGGAUGUGGAGCUGUCUAUCGUCCGCUAAAUUUUCAGUGUUGGUUAAUGGAGUGCCUGCAGGUUUCUUCCCAAGCACUAAAGGUCUUAGACAAGGGGAUCCGUUGUCUCCUUACCUCUUCAUCAUGGGGAUGGAAGUGCUUGAUGUGCUUAUCAGGAGAGCUGUGGAGGGGGGGUUCUUAUCAGGAUGCAACAUUAGGGGAGGAAGUGGCCCCUCCUUGAACAUAUCUCACUUGUUUUUUGCUGAUGACACAAUGGUCUUCUGUGAGGCCAAAAAGGAUCAUCUAACUUACUUGGGGUGGAUUCUUUUCUGGUUUGAAGCGGCUUCAGGUUUAAGGAUUAAUUUAGCCAAGAGUGAGAUCAUUCCAGUUGGUGAGGUGGCGGAGGUGGAGGAGUUGGCUGUUGAGCUUGGCUGCAGGGUGGGGACUCUACCUUCUCAGUAUUUGGGUCUUCCUUUAGGGGCCCCAAAUAGAGCGCCUUAUAUAUGGGAUGGGGUGGAGGAGAGAGUGAGGAGGCGAUUAGCUCUUUGGAAACGGCAAUAUAUUUCUAAAGGGGGAAGAGUUACCUUAAUUAAAAGUACAUUGGCUAGCAUGCCAAUCUACCAAAUGUCCAUUUUCAGAAUGCCAAAGGUUGUUGUUAGAAGGAUUGAGAAAGUGCAAAGAGAUUUUCUGUGGGGAGGGGGAAACAUGGAGAGAAAAGUGCAUUUGGUUAAAUGGGAGGUGGUGUGCACAGACAAAGAUAAAGGUGGGCUAGGCCUUAGAAAGCUAGCUUUGUUGAACAAAGCUUUACUUNNNNNNNNNNNNNNNNNNNNNNNNNNNNNNNNNNNNNNNNNNNNNNNNNNNNNNNNNNNNNNNNNNNNNNNNNNNNNNNNNNNNNNNNNNNNNNNNNNNNNNNNNNNNNNNNNNNNNNNNNNNNNNNNNNNNNNNNNNNNNNNNNNNNNNNNNNNNNNNNNNNNNNNNNNNNNNNNNNNNNNNNNNNNNNNNNNNNNNNNNNNNNNNNNNNNNNNNNNNNNNNNNNNNNNNNNNNNNNNNNNNNNNNNNNNNNNNNNNNNNNNNNNNNNNNNNNNNNNNNNNNNNNNNNNNNNNNNNNNNNNNNNNNNNNNNNNNNNNNNNNNNNNNNNNNNNNNNNNNNNNNNNNNNNNNNNNNNNNNNNNNNNNNNNNNNNNNNNNNNNNNNNNNNNNNNNNNNNNNNNNNNNNNNNNNNNNNNNNNNNNNNNNNNNNNNNNNNNNNNNNNNNNNNNNNNNNNNNNNNNNNNNNNNNNNNNNNNNNNNNNNNNNNNNNNNNNNNNNNNCCAAGAAAAUCAAGAAAAACUGAUAGAAGAUUUGAAAACCAGUACAGUGUCAACCAUCAAAACCAGCUGUUCAAACAGUCAACCUGAAGUAAUUAGUUUAAUUAAGAAAUCAGCUCUUCUGACUGAACAAUAUGAAAGGCUUGUUGUUAAAAAUAUAAUUGGAGUUGAUAACUACUCUUUCGUCAAAACCUUUUUUCUACAAAACCAAUAUAACAAAGUGUUUAAAAAUCAAGAACUUUUGUAUAAACAUUUUAGAACUAAAAAUGUCGGGAUAAAAACAGGGUAUAUGGCAUAUCACGACCCUGAAUUUUUCUUUGUUAUAGAUCUAGCUUAUGUAAAUAUGUCUGUUGUAAAUAAAGAAAAUUUUGAUUUAGUACCGCAACUUAUGGAUCAGGGAAUUUUAAAAAAUGUUUUUAUGAACCAUAUAUCUCAAAUCCUUGAAAAUUUCCCAGAAAAAUUGAAAGAUAUUUUAACUUAUCUUUUUAAAACCGAAAAAUAUAUAGAUAUUUCUUUUGAAACCAUUCCACCUUUAUUUCAACCCAAUGGAUCAGUAGUACCAGCCUAUCAUCAUGUAUAUAUAAAACAUAAUAAAGAACCACUCAUCCCUCAACAAGAACCAGAAUGGGAAAUGACCAGUUCAAAUGAAUUUCCAGAAUUUUUUACUCGCUUUAGAGCUUUUCAAAUCUAUGAUCUUAGACCAACCCGGAAUAAAUUAUUUCAUCUCAUUGGCGAAACAAAAACCAUGUCUAUAUGGAGAAUAAAACCUUUAGAACACAUCAUUGUUCCAAACCCUUUUAUUACUUCUGAAGAACAGGAUUUUAUAACCGAACUCAGUGUAGAUAUACCGGAACCAUCUUCCUACCUCAGUGAUGACGCAUUAUUUUGGGACAACCUGGACGAUGAAAGUUAUCAUAAUCUACAAAAUGCAAUGGAAGGAUGAUGUCAGCAAUGACGACAUUGAAGCAGUAAAUGCGUCUUCAACUACAAAAAUUAAACAUGGCAGUACAAGUUCAGAAGCAAUAAAGACAUCCACAAGCCACGUGUUAUGCAUGUAAUAAAAAGAGAAGAAAAGGACAAGAGAAAGAGACAAGAAAGAAGAGAAGAACGAAUGAAUUAAAGUCAUAGUCUCAAAAGUCUUUGUAUUUAUUUUAUAACCAAACCUCUGAACACCGUAAAUAUCUUUCCUACCAUCCAACCACUUGCAAUUAAUUCUCACCUGUAUUUGUUCGAAUUAGGAAAAUAAAGUAUUCUAGUUUUGGAUGAUAUUGGUCUAUUAAAUUCCUUAUUAUUAUGAUUAUUAUUAUAAUUAUCAUUAUUAUUAUGAUUAUUAUUAUUAUUAUUAUUAUUAUUGGACCCUUAUGGUUUGAGCUUUAUUUCUAUUGGAUUUUCGGCCUUAGUCUUGGGGUUAUUAUUAUUAAUGGACCCUUAUGGUUUGGGCUUUAUUUCUAUUGGAUUUUGGGCCCUAGUCUUGGGCUUUGGUAAUUAGAUUGGGCUUAAUGUUGCACUUUAUUGUAGCAUUAGGAAUGGAGUCCUCCACUUCGGAUAUUAAACUUGAAACCAUAAGUGUUGCUUUUGGAUUUCAUGAAUUCAGAUAUUAUUAUUAUUAUGAUUAUUAUUAUUGUUGUUGUUAUUAUUAUUAUUAUUAUGAUUAUGAUGAUUAUGAUUAUUAUUAUUAUGCUGAUUAUUAUUAUUAUUAUGAUGAUGAUGAUUAUGAUUUUGAUUAUGGUUAUGAUUAUUAUUAUGAUUAUGAUUAUUAUUAUUAUUAUUAUUAUUAUUAUUAUUAUUAUUUUAUUUAAUUUCUUACUAUUAUUAUUAAUUAAUUAAUUAUUAUUAUUAUCAUUAUUAUUAUUUUUUAUUAAUUAAUUUUUUUUUAAUGGUUGUGAAUUGGGGAAAGAAGCUUCUAAGGCAAGGGGUUAAAUGUGUUUAUCCCCUUCUAACAUGGAAUAUAUGUUUUCCGUCAUUUUGUUAUGGGUAGUGUAUAUUAUUAUUAUUAUUAUUAUUAUUUUUAAUGGUUGUAUUAUUAUUUUUAUUAUUUAUUUAUUUAUUUUUAUUGGUUGUGAAUUGGGGGAAGAAGCUUCAAAGGCAAGGGGUUAAAUUUGUUUAUCCCCUUCUAACAUGCUUUAACAUGGAAUAUAUGUUUCCCGUCAUUUUGUUAUGGGUAGUGUAUUUGUUGCCAUAUUAGGAAAAUAAAGUAUUCUAGUUUUGAAUGAUAUUGGUCUAUUAAAAUCCUUAUCAUUAUUAUUAUUAUGAUUAUUAUUAUGAUUAUCAUUGUUAUUAUUAUUAUUAUUAUUAUUAUUAUUAUUAUUAUUAUUAUUAUUAUUAUUAUUAUUAUUAUUAUUAUUAUUGGACCCUUAUGGUUUGAGCUUUAUUUCUAUUGGAUUUUGGGCCUUAGUCUUGGGCUUUGGUAAUCAGAUUGGACUUAAUGUUGCACUUUAUUGUAGCACUAGGCAUUGAGCCGUCCACUUUGGAUAUUAAACUUGAAAAGAUAAGUGUUGCUUCUGGAUUACAUGAAUUCGGAUAUUAUUAUUAUUAUGAUUAUUAUUAUUAUUAUUAUUAUUAUGAUUAUUAUUAUGAUUAUUAUUAUUAUUAUUAUUAUUAUUAUUAUUAUUAUUAUUAUUAUGAUUAUGAUUAUUAUUAUGAUUAUGAUUAUGAUUAUUAUUAUUAUUAUUAUUAUUAUUAUUAUUAUUAUGAUUAUUAUGAAUUUUUUAUCUAAUUUAUUAUUAUUAUUAUUACUUAUUAUUAUUAUUAUUAUUAUUUUUUAUUAUUUUUUUUUUUAAUGGUUGUGAAUUGGGGGAAGAAGUUUCUAAGGCAAGGGGUUAAAUGUGUUUAUCCCCUUCUAACAUGGAAUAUAUGUUUCCCGUCAUUUUGUUAUGUGUAGCGUAUAUUAUUAUUAUUAUUAUUAUUUUUAAUGGUUGUGAAUUGGAGGAAGAAGUCUCUAAGGCAAGGGGUUAAAUGUGUUUAUCCCGUUCUAACAUUGAAUAUAUGUUUCCCGUCAUUUUGUUAUGGGUAGUGUAUAUUAUUAUUAUUAUUAUUAUUAUUAUUUUAAUGGUUGUAUUAUUAUUAUUAUUUUUUAUUGUUUAUUUAUUUAUUUAUUUAUUUUUAAUGGUUGUGAAUUGGGGGAAGAAGCUUCAAAGGCAAGGUGUUAAAUGUGUUUAUCCCCUUCUAACAUGCUUUAACAUGGAAUAUAUGUUUCCCGUCAUUUUGUUAUGGGUGGUAGUGUAUUUGUUGCCAUAUUAGGAAAAUAAAGUAUUCUAGUUUUGGAUGAUAUUGGUCUAUUAAAAUCCUUAUUAUUAUUAUUAUUAUUAUUAUGGUAUUAGCAGUCACUUAUUUGUUCAUGAAGUGAUUAUAGAUCCUAUACUAGCUUUGUUGAACUUUGAUUUUCUAUUACUCCAUUGCCUAAUGUAAAUUGAGUUAGUCAAUAUUUAAAAAUAAGCCCAAGCAUUUCUAAUAUUAUUAUUAUUAUUAUUAUUAUUAUCACAUUUUGGACUGAUGGGUAUUGGCAAUCACUUAUUUGUUCAUGAAGUGAUUAUACAUCCUAUACUAGUCUUGUUGAACUUUGAUUUUCUAUUACUCCAUUGCCUAAUGUAAAUAUUUAUUAUUCAUUGUUCAUUGUUCAUUGUCUUAUUAUUUGUUUUGUAUGAUAAUUAAUUGAUAAAAUGAGAGUUUUGUUAUUUUGUUGUAAUAUUUCAAUUAGUAAUUGUGUUUUAAUUGUACUCAACUACGCUUGCAUGCAACCUUAGAGUUCCCGUUCAAGUAUCAUUGUGAGACAAAAGUUUCUGUUAUUACACAGUAAAGACAUUUUAGUUAUCAAAAGGUGAAAAUAGUUUUAUCUAUGCUUGUUUCACGUUGACAACUUCUAAAUUGUCUACCAUGUGAUAAAGAUCUUUUCUCUACAAAUGAUGCUUGAAUUGUCCGAUUGGACAAUGUAGGAAAACAUAAUAUCUAUGAAGUUAAUUGCUUGUUCUUAAUUCAUUUUAAAUAAAUUUUGGUACUCUUUCCUCUUGUUCGUUGGGUACAUACUUGGACAAGGUGACAUAUCAUGCCUUGUCCAUUUUGUGUACUUGGAGAACCAUAGGGAAAUGCUGCCGAAAUUUCUUUAAAAUGAAAUUAAGUACAUUGGCAAUUGACACAUAGGGAUUAUGUAUUCCUAUAUGGGAUAGGAACCAUUACCUAAUUAAGGAUGUUGGAGAUGUUAGAAUGCAUAAAUCAUGCAUAAAUCAUUUGCUUCUAUUGAUUGCAUCUUAGUUGCAUUAGUUCACUAUUUGAAAUUUGAAAUUGGUUGAUUAUAUAUUUUGAGGCUAUUAAUAGGAUAGCUAUUAAUAACUCUAAUUGUUGUGGUAUAUAGGAGCUUUGUUUCUUUUUUGGACAUAAAAUGGAUCGUUCUUGGAUGUCAAAAGAUAGGAGAUCAAAAGAUUAUACGGAUGGGGUAGAAAGAUUUAUCGUAUUUGCAUUACAACAUUCCUCAUAAAAAAACUCCAUUAAAUGUCCAUGUCUUCAGUGUGGUAAUAUGAUAUUCCAUACUUCUCAGAAAAUUAGAGAGCAUCUAUUUUUUUAUGGAAUUGAUCAAAGUUACCAGACAUGGUAUUGGCAUGGAGAAACUGCUCCUAGAGGACCACCAACUAGUAAAGCAGAACAUCAUGAUAAGGUUCAAUUUAAUGAUGUGGAUAGUACAAUAGAAAUGGUCCAAGCUACACAUGAUGAUUGUAAGAAUGACCCAGAAUUGUUUCAAACAUUACUUGAAGAUGCUCAAAAACCUUUAUAUCCUGGUUGUAGAAACUUUACAAAGUUGUCUACAUUAGUCACAUUAUACAACCUAAAAGCACGAUAUGGAUGGACUGAUAAAAGCUUUUAAGAAUUCUUGGAGAUAUGUUUCCUCUAAACAAUGAGUUACCCUUGUCUAUGUAUGAAGCUAAAAAAACAUUGAAUGCAUUGGGAAUGGAAUAUGAGAAAAUACAUGCUUGUCCUAAUGAUUGCAUACUGUAUAGGAAUGAGUUGAAUGAUGCAUCUUCAUGUCUUACUUGUGGAACUUCAAGGUGAAAGUUAGAUAGAACAAGAACUAAAAAAAGGAAGAGAGUCCCUGCAAAAGUGAUGUGGUAUUUUCCUCCUAUUCCUAGAUUUAAAAGAUUGUUUCAGUCCCGAAAAAUAGCAAAAGACUUCAUAUGGCAUGCCUAAGAAAGAGAAUUUGAUAGAAAAAUGAGUCAUCCAUCCGACUCCCCAUCAUGGAAGCUAGUUGAUCAUAGAUGGCCUGAUUUUGCUUCAGAACCUAGAAACCUUAGACUUGCCAUUUCAGUAGAUGGUAUAAAUCCUCAUAGUUCAAUGAGCAGUAGACACAGUUGUUGGCUUAUUAUAAUGGUCAUUUAUAACCUUCCUCCUUGGUUGUGCAUGAAAAUGAAGUUUAUGAUGUUAUCUUUGUUAAUAUCAGGUCCUCGACAACCUGGAAAUGACAUUGAUGUUUAUUUAGCACCAUUAUUGGAUGACCUAAAAAUGUUGUGGGAGGAAGGGGUUGAAUCUUAUGAUGCGCAUCGGCAAGAGCUCUUUACAUUAAGAGCUGUUCUACUAUGGACAAUCAAUGAUUUCCCUGCAUAUGGAAACUUAUCUGGUUGCGUAGUUAAAGGAUAUUUCGUAUGUCCUAUAUGUGGGGACGAUACAUACUCUCAUAGAUUAAAGCAUGGGAAAAAGAACUCAUAUACGGGUCACAAACGUUUUCUUCCUUGCUAUCAUCCUUUUAGGAAACAAAAAAAGGCAUUUAAUGGUGAGCAAGAGUUUGGGUCAACUUCACAACCAUUGAGUGGAGAGGAAAUUCUAAGGAAAAUUGAUACAUUUGUAAUUCUUGGGGAAAAAAUAAGAUCACUCGAGGUAAGUUGAAUGUAAAGACUACAAAUUGUUGGAAGAAGAAGUCCAUAUUCUUUGAUCUUAAGUAUUGGAAGUACCUACAUGUUCGCCAUAACUUGGAUGUCAUGCACAUAGAGAAAAAUGUUUGUGAAAGCAUCAUCGGUACCUUACUCAACAUUCUUGGUAAGACAAAGGAUGGACUCAAUUCUCAUCUAAACCUUAUGGAGAUGGGCUUAAGGUGUGAAUUAGGGCCAAUGUUUGAAUCAAAUCAAACUUAUCUCCCGCCUGCAUGUUAUACACUAUCUAAAGUAGAGAAAGAAGAUUUUUUGUCAAACUUUAUCCCAAUUGAAGGUUCUUGAAGGUUAUUGCUCUAACAUGAGAAACAUUGUGUCAAUGGAAGACUUGAAACUUUAUGGUCUUAAAUCCCAUGACUAUCAUGCAUUAAUGCAACUAUUAUUACUAGUGCCAUUACGAUCAGUUUUGCCGAAACAAGUAAGGCAUGCUAUUUGUAGAUUGAGUUUUUUCUUCAAUGCCCUUUGUAGCAAAGUGGUUGAUGUGGCUGCAUUGAAUAAGUUACAAAAUGAUGUAGUAGUGACAUUAUGCUUGCUUGAGAAGUACUUCCCACUAUCCUUCUUUGAUAUCAUGCUUUAUUUGACUGUGCAUCUUGUAAGAGAGGUAAGACUUUAUGGACCUGUUUACUUAAGAUGGAUGUACCCAUUUGAAAGAUUUAUGAAAGUUUUGAAAGGUUAUGUGCGAAAUCAUAAUCGCCCCAAAGGUUGCAUUGGUGAAUGCUAUAUUGCAGAGGAAGCUAUUGAAUUUUGUACAAAGUACUUAUCAAAUAUAGAUGCAAUCAAGAUUCCUAUUAGUGCAAACAUUGAACAAAAAGUUGGGGCACCCAUACCUGGAGGCCAAGUUGUGGCAGUUGAUUCCAAUUUGUGGUUGCAUGCACAUCAUUAUGUUUUAAAGAAUACAACUAUCGUCCAACCUUAUAAUGAGAAAGAACUAAUACCACUUAAUCUUGUUAUACUUAAAACAACUUUUUGACAUUAACUAUGAAUUUCUUCUAAAUAAUUACAUAGAGAGCACAUGGAAUGGUUGAAAUCGAAAAAUCCUUGUCAAUCUAAAAGACAAAAAUGGCUUCAGGAUGAACACCUUCGAACUUUUACUUAUUGGUUGCGAAAAAAGGUAUUGGAGUGGUCCUAAAAUAUGAACUAUUGUUUUUAUUAAUGUUGAACACAUGUACUAACAAUUAUUUAUAAUUACAGAUUGAAGAUGCAAUUGGUAACAAUGAACCCAUAUUUGAAACCCUUAAGUGGAUAGCUCAUGGUCCUAGCCAUUAUGUCUCCAAAUAUCAUGGAUAUGUCAUUAAUGGGUGUCGAUACCAUAUGAUUCGUGCCCAAUUGGUGUCUCAACUGAUUCGUGUCCAGCUGGUGCUCCUUGAUUAAGGGAGUAAUCAACAAAAUUUAUAACCUAUUACACCAUGAAUUAGGGUAGCAAAGACAAAGCUACUAUAGCAUAGUGGCUCUAGGAUUGUUCACUGGGAUGGGUUUUCACUUCACAAAUGAUAUUAAUUCAAAGUUGAAUUGGUGUCUUUUCAUUUCAAGGUUAGCUUUAAAAGAAAACAUAAACUUGAGUUGGAAAAGGUUUGGUUUUAAACUAACCACAAAUAGUAACUAAUUUUACUUACAAAGAAAAGUGUUUCUUGGAGUUUCAGAUCACUAGGCUCAGAUUCCUCAUACAAAAAGGGAGUUCCGGUCACUUGUUUCUUUUCCUCACAUUAGAGAAUUAACAUAUAGUUCCUUCUCCAACCGGUGUUGUAUAGAUGCUUCCCAUUAAUGGGUUCAAACACUAAAUCCCUCUCAUUAAUGCAUCUUGCAAUGGCUCGUGCCUCUCACCUAGCAUUUGCCAUUCAAGGUGAUCUUUAACCUUGGAUUACCUGUUAAAAGCUCGCAAGAGAUAACUAAUGGAUGUCUCCUUGGAGUCCAAAAGCUUACCAAGUGUUGGCUAUUCUAGAAAAUCCUACCUUUAAGUCACCUCCCAAAGGCUCGCAAGAGAUAAACUAGUGAAUCUCCAUGGACAGAGAUCACUUGCCUUACCAAGUGUUGGCCCAGGUGAUUUAAAGGCGUUUUAAGUUAACUAAAAAGAUAAAAACCAUUAACAGGUCACACUUUCUCUUCAUUAAAAGCUGAAACCACAAAACUUCCAAUUUAUGCAUUCGAAAACUUACCCGGUUACCUUAGCUCCAAGAGACGAAGAGCCUAGCCUCUCAUCCUCUGAGGAAAAAUCCUCAGAGUUUGAUUGGCUAGAAAUAAAAAGUAAAUAAUAUACAAAACAAUCAAAAUUAGAAGGUAAGGCAGAGCAAAGACUUUGUAUUUUACUUCCUUGCAAAACUAUACAAAAGGAUGCGUCGUCCUCCUCCUCUCGAGAACAGGCUCCCGAGAGCUAUUUAUAUGAAAAUUACAAAACAAAAUAUCUGAGGUUAUUCACCCCUUUUCCAAACUUAAUAACUAAGGAAUCCUAUAAUUGGUGGGUUACAAGGAGAAAAUGGGGAUUUAGACAUAAAAAAUCUGAAGCAAAAUAUCCAAAAGUGUCGGUCGCAAAUAUCGGGAAACUUUAGGAGAAAUUCCACAGCACUGUGCAAAAUGGCUGCGAAAUCAUUUCGCAACAAAAGGGUGAUUUCGCAGCCGUGCAAAAUUCUUCCUUCAGCUUGGAGUGAUUGGCUUCCAAUGGCUGUAACUCUUUCAUUUCAACUUCGAAUCGUGCACCGUUUGAAGCAUUGGAUUUUUUACUUCCUGAGCUUCGAAACGACAUAUAGCAUGAAUAAAUUGGACUCCAGGAAGUGCUCCAAAAGUGUCUGACAUGACUAUCAUCAAGAAUGCUUCAUGGCAUAUUUCUCUUUGCUUCCCCUCCUUGCAUUCCGGAUUUGCUUAUGGAAAAGGACUUCAAAGCUUUGGUUCUUCAUGUUUAUGAGCUUUCCAUUGCUUUUCCAUGGAUUCCAAAUAACUCUCCUGAAUCUCGGAUUGCUUUGGUGAUCAAAAAGCUAUCAAAACACCAAAACUUAACACAAUUUGAUUAGAAUUGAUUGCAAGGGUCCUUAACAUGUUAAUUGGGUUAAAAGGCAAUAACUACUACUCAAAAGUGUUUAAAAGAGUUAAUUACAAGCUAUCAAAUAGCACUUUUUGAGUAGUAAUCAUCAUACCAAGGAGCGUGAUGACUUACAAGGUACCUAAAAUAGUGGAGUUAGUAUUAUAGCUUCAACAUUGCAAAUUGCAAGUGCUAAGGAUCAAAAUCCAAUGUUUGGUGAGCUUUAUUUUUAUGGGAUUAUUACCGAGAUCUAGGACCUUGAUUAUACCAUGUUUAGGAUACCGGUUUUCAAGUGUGAUUGGGUUGACAAUAGGAAUGACAUAAAAGUUGAUGACCUUGGGUUUACAUUAGUUGACUUUAAUAAAACUGCUCAUAAAUCAUAUCCUUUCAUUUUGGCAUCCCAAGCUAAACAAGUAUUUUAUGUGCAAGACUAACAUGAUCCAAUAUGGUAAGUUGUUUUGUCAACUCCUCAAAAAGAUUUCUUGGAUCGGGAGAGAGGUGAUGACCUUGUGGACAAUUUCAUUGAACACCAUCCCUUUAUAAGGGCAUUGCCACAAGUUGAAGUGUUUGAUGCAAUGGAUGACUCAGAUGCAAUAUGUAUGCAAGAUGACUGUGAGGGGAUUUGGAUUGAAAACAAAUCCUUUAUGUAGCUGAAUUGUAAACUUUUGAUAAUGAUGUACGAAUAAAGUAUGUGGAAUGGGUUGCAGAUCCCACAAAACAGGUAACUUUUUUUCUUUAUGUUCUUUUUUUUUUUUUUUUUCUACAGAACAUUGAGUUGAUUUAUUUUGAAACAAAAUUAUCAUGAAGAAAUUUUUAAACAUAUUGAUAGUGAAGUUUUGGAUAUUUUAAACUAUCAAAUGGUGUUGCUAAAGUCUCUCUCUAGGCCCACUACAAUUCGUGUAGUUUAUCACCAUGAAUAUUAAAUUUAUAAUAAACUUUGGUUAUGAAUAUUAAUUUGAUUUAGAGAAAUGUAGGAAUUGGUAACCUUUUAUGUAUUGUUGUUUUGAUGACUUACAAUUCAUUUUUACUCUUACUAGAGGUAUAACAUUAGUAAAAGCAAGGCAUGUAGGUGAUGACUACUAAUUUAUACUUUGUAGGGUAUGUGUGGUGAAUACAAAAAAUAAAGGGUAUAUGGUCUUUUGGAAACUGUAAAAACUAAAAUUUAGAAUUUUAUUUAUUUAUUUCUUUAUUUAUUAUAAUGAGUAUGCAUGUUGUGUUGUCCAAACUUAAUCCACAAAUCAAUAGUCCAAAAACCUUUAACAAUUCAUGUGGACUAAAUGAACCUAUACAAACCACGUGCUCCUUUCAUGUUGAUUGUUAUAGGAAAUUCCCAUGGUAGAAAUAACCCUCUUAUAUAUAGGCCCUUGGAGUUGUCUAAGUUGAUGCUAUUUGGAUGUUAUUUUUUUAUUAGUGGCAUUAUACAUUGGUAGUAUUUCAUUGUGCAAUGAAUAGGGAUUGCUUUGUCUGAAAUUUUCUUUUUACAACUCUUCUAUGAGAAGGUUAUAUCUAAUAUUAUUUGAACUAAUCUUGAUCAGUUUUGUUUUUGCUAACUAUUUUUUUUUACAAGAAUGGAUGUAGAGGAAGGAGAAAAACCUACAAAAAAGAAGCACAGAGGAAUGACACGGAAGUCAAUGCUUAUAAAAAAUAGAAGCAAAGGGAUCAAUUUGUCGAUUAAGUACAAUCUUGAUGGCAUUUUUAUAGGAGAAUCAGUUGUUCAUCUAACAAGCUACUUAGGUGUAUUAGCACGCACUAUGGUGGCAAUAACAUAUAAAACUUGGCACGUUGUACCUAAAGAGUUGAAAGAUAAGUUAUGGGAUUGCAUUGAGGUAACCCUUUUUUAACUACAUCAGCUUUAUGCAAAACAUCUAUCAUUCUUAACCAUAUGAAGUUGCUAAUAAGUAUGAUAUUAAUGUGUAGGCUUCUUUUUCAAUAAAUCAAAAAAACAAGAGGAAUUGUAUGCUAACAAUUGGAAAAUGCUUUUGGUCAUUUAAGAGCAUGCUAACUGUGAAGUAUAUUCUUCCUUUCAAAGACCACCCAAAGCUCCUCAAAAGACCACCAAUUAAAUAUACUUUUAUUCGGGAUGAAGAAUGGACAAUGUUUGUCAAAGAUAGAUUGUCCGAGAACUUUAAGGUAAAAUUACAACUCUUUGCAUGCCUCUUAUUUACAUUCAUUAAUUAUACAUUUUUAAAUUUAUAGGACUAUCGAGAAGUUCAAAAAGAAAGAAGAAAAAAACACAUUUAUAAUCACCAUCCAAGUAGGAAAGGAUAUGCUGGUCUUGAGGAAGAGAUGGUACACUUAUACUAAUUUAUAGUUUCUGAUUUUUUUUUUAUACAUAAUACAUACUAGGGUUAUAUGCUCAUUACAUUAUACAUUGUUCACUUUUAAAAGAUGGUUGCAAGUGGGUUAAUUGAAACUAUUGAUCAAAGCAUAUUGUGGAAGAAAGUAAGGGAAAAAAAGGAUGGCACCUUUGAUGAAGUGGCCAUACCAGUGAUUGAGAAAAUAGUAAGUAGACAUUUUCAAACCGUAAUUUCAUUUAUUUAUAAUAGCUUAUUUAUGAUAAAAAAUUUGUAAUUGAACUUCAUAAUAAACAUUUGUUUUUAAGGACAAGCUAUUGAAAGAGUUUGAUGAGAAUGGUAGAAGUGUUAAUGGGAGUAAUAAUAUACUUGUAGAAGCAUUGGGCACUCCUGAGUAUAGUGGUUUUAUAGCAACAUCUCAAGAAGAACAGAGAAGAUUUCAGGCAGAAGUGCUAGCAAAACUCUCUCAAGUAGGAGUUGUCACUCCCCAUUCAGAUGUUAGUCUUUCGAACAUGAAAUAAAAACAGCUUUUCCUACCAAAAGUAGUAGAGAAGCCAAUCCGUAGAGUUGAAUAUGCAACCCCACCAAUGCCAAUAUAACCCUAAAGCAAGGUAUUUAUCUAAUUAAAGUUAAUUUGGUGAUAGAGUUUGGUCCAAUAGGAGACAUAAUUUAUGUAAAUUUUGUUGUUUGAAUUGAAUUCACUUGUUGGUGGUAGCAUAUAUGGUCUUUUUUUUUAUGUGUUGCAAUAUAAGAAAAUCAAGCAGUCCUCAAAAUAUUAUUUUACCAUUUUCUUCUUUCACAAAAAAGAUAAUAUAAUUAUGUUGGCUACAUAAUUGGAUCCUAUGGGAUUUUUAUUUCAUAUAUUACGAAACUUUUUAAUAAUUUGAUAAUUAUUUUAAUUUAUUAUGCAUUACUAGCAUCUUUUAUUUUAAGAAUAACUAUUCUUUAUAUAACCACAUAAUAAUUGGCAUGUAUCAUUUCAAAAUUUUCAAUGUUAUUUCACUUACUUCAUAUUUCAAAAUUUUUACAUCUCCCUUGUAGAUGGUUUUUAAUCUUCACUAGUGUUAAUUUGAAGAUGUAGAGUUGAAGGUAUGGAAUAAGGAAAUAAUGGCUCAUAUCUAAUAAUAUAACUUGAUUUUAUAGGUUAGAAAAUGUGAGCUGGCCAUGGGGAUAAAGGAAAAUAAAGUGGGUGGCAGAACAAUUAUACUUGAAUGUGGUCCCAACUAUUUAGUAGUUGCUGAUGUUCCUUAUGAUGCAAGUGCACCACUUCCCAUUCCUAUUCCUGGACAAACUACUACUGUUGGGGCUACAAUUGGUUACCAAGUUUUGUGGCUAGCUCAUUUGGUCAGCAUCCAUACUCCCGUCUUGGUAAGUAAAUUUAAUUACCAAGCUUUAUUAUAACCCCAUAUAUAUUCAAUUAACUACUUAAUUUGAUUUGUACCAUGGUUCUUAAUUAUACAAGCAUCUAAGAAAGGAAAUAAACAAACAGUAAAUGAAGUUGAAGUGAAAUUCAAAAGUGAAAAACCACAAGAUAUCAAGAAUUUUGAGGCAUUGGUUGGCCUUAUGCUUGCAACCUCGAGAACAGAACCUAUAAACUUCCCAAACGAUGUUUUUGGUGAGAGUUUCAAGACCUUCCUAAUGAAAGAAGAUAUGGACAUGAUUAUAUCAUCAACAAAAGUAUCAUCCAAUUGUAUCUUAUACUACAUCUGGUAAGGGAUUUUAUAAUUUUUGAAUGACUCUUCACACUCUUUUGAGGUAAAAAAUUAUUUACUAAUGACCUAUAUUGAUUGUUGAUAACUUGUUAUGUGAGGUUUAACUAGGCACUUGCAUAGAAAGUUGAUUGAUGCAAAGCAAGUUGAACGAUAUGUUUUUGUCAAUCCAGUAUUGGUUUCGAAAGCUGGAAUGGGAGAAGGAAGCAAGGAAAAUAGGUCAAGAGUUAUUGCAGAUCGACUAAGGAAUACAAAGCAUGCUGAAUAUAUGUUUAUUCCAUACAAUCCAGAGUAACAUUUUACCCUAAAUGUCAAUAUGGUGUAUGUAAGUUAGUUUGUGAUGUAUUAAUUUAUGGAUAAUAUGUUAACACAUCUGUUUUUUUUUUCCUUUUUAUUUAGUUUCCAUUAGGUCUUAGUGGCACUAGAGAUGAAGAGAAUGAUUGCAUAUUACCUUGAUCCAAUGGCUUCUCAACCAUGUGAUGAUUUUAAGGAGAUAGUUAACAUGUAAGUAUGUAUCUUCUCAUAUUUUAAUACAAUGCAUAGGGGUUGAAGAACAUUUUUUUAUUUUUUAUAGGGCAAUUAGAAUCAACCCACUAGAAAAACAAAAAACAUCAAAGAGGGAGCUAACUUGGGUCAAGGUGGUUGUAAGUACUUAUUCAUUUAGAUUAAAAUAUAUUGUUUGACCACUUACUUUGUUACACAAAAUUAGGAAAUGGAUGGUUAUUAAUAUGAUCAUUGGCUAGAUAUUAAAGAAGUAAGAAUAUCAUUCUAUUGUUUGUUGUAAUUGUUGAUACUUUUAUCAUAGUGCCCAAGAUAACUGGGUAGUGUGGAAUGUGGGUGUUACGUGAUGAGAUACAUGAAGGAAAUCAUUGCUAAUCCAAACCAACUAAUAGCAAAGGUUUAUACUCAAUUCAAUUCAUUUGGUUGGUCAUUUUACUAUGGCAUUUGAGUGGUCAAUGAAACUUAAUGAAUGGUUUAUGUUACUCCAAUUCAGUUUGAUGGAAGAAAAUCAUUCAGUGAAAUGGAGAUUAAUGAAAUUCGCUCAUAUUGGAUUAUGCUAAUGACUCAAUUAAUCAUUACUCAUGCUUGAAGGUACCCCUUGUGACCUAUAGUCUAAUAUAACUUCCUAUUAUUUUAAAGAUUUAUUGAAUAUUUUGUGAAUGUUAUUUCUGUAUAUAAUGGAUUUAUUCUUAGUCAUAAUUUUUUAAAUAUCUUGGUACUCUUAGUUGGCAGUGUUUUCAAUGUGGAUCAUCCAAUGGUUGCUCUAUUUGGAUUGAUGUGUAAUUGGCAAAUUGAUGGAUGGAGCUUAGUAGACAUGGUGGGUGUCACAACCUUUCAUCCUUUCCUCUUCACAUUCUUGUUAGUUGGAUUUAUUGAAAUCUCAGUAUUGCACUGGUACAAAAAUUCUUGCAUUUUGAAGCUCAUUUUUGUGAAGUCUUUAGCCUUAUUACAUGUGUGUGUAUGUAUUAGGAAUAUGUCUAUCCUCUACAAAAUCUUUUUGGGUAUUUGAGAUCACUUGCUUUAUAAAUUUCUUCAAUCUAAACUUGUAAAGGCCUCCUACUAAACUAAUGCAUGGGCUUAAAGUCUAUAAUAUCAUGUACUUCUAUUUUCUUUGACAUAAAAAAUAAAAUAAAACAAAUAGGAAGUUAGAUUAAGACUUCUUACAAAUUAGCCUAUGGGAAAAAUAACACUUUUUUCUCCCUAAAUAGGGCCUCUAGAGCUUCCUUGUCUAAGUAGGAUAUCAACUUGAAUACUAGUCCCUUAACUUGAAUACAAUUGUAGGAGAGGAACUAGUCAUUUUGACAUAAUAGUGUAACCAAGGUCAUCUUACUUUUAACCUAUUAAUGACUUUUAUAAAAAGAACCAUUUUGUCCAUAUGAUCUUUUUUUUUGUUGUCUUUGGUGUUAUUUUAUUCUUUUAAUCAAUAAAGUGUUGGCCAUGUAUAAUUCUUCAUGGAUUCAUUACAUGUCAGAUUGAAAAAUUAAUUUAAUAAUAAUGUUAUAGCUGAAAUUAAUUUCUCUUUAGUAGCAUUCCUACUUUAUUUAUCUCAAUUAUUGUAUUGCCCUUAGCUACCAAUUUUCUCUGAAACUAAUAAGUAGUUUGAAUAUAAUAUGUUAAACAAACUUUUAAGAAUCUAAUUUGUUGCUAAAUUGUUUAUUAUAUAUUCUUCAGGUUGUACAGAAAGGCAUAGGUCAUUCUCUUCAGUACAUCACUACUGCUCUUGCUUAUUCAGACUUGAAAAUGAUUAGUGACAUGAAGAACACCCCGAAGCAGUUCAAAAUUUUGCCCAAAGAAUUUUGAGGUAACAUGUUUGGGUUAUUAUUAGUUUUACAACAUGAAUUAUAACAUGAGCUAUACAAAAUCAAUUAUUGCAUUCAGCCCAAGUUUGAUAUACUAACAACAUAUUUUGAUUACCGUGGUGCAAGGCAUCAUUUACUCUUGGUUAGAACAUGAAUGAUAAAAAGAGUUGGACAAAAUUAAUUAUUGCAUUUAGCCUAAGUUAAAUAAAAUUUAAUAUUGCGUUUGGGAAAGCACUAGCAAUAGUUUAUUGUUGGUUUUCUUAAAAUCAGAAUAAGAGUUAACUACAAGAAAAAAGUGAAACAAUGAUGCUUUUUAAGCGUCGAGAAAGGUAAAAGAUGACGCUUCCCCAAAGCGUCAUCUUCUAGCCCGUCAUUAUAUGUUAUAGUCAACAAUGACACUUUCAGGGAGUGUCAUCUUUAUUAAUGCUUUCAAUGGCACUUUAAAAGGUGUCAUCCUUGAAUAAUAUUAACAAUGACACUUGUGGACGCGUCAUCUUUGGAUAGUCUUUUAUUGAAAUAAUUUUUAUAAAAUUACCAAUCUUGACACUUAUACAAGUGUCAUUGUUGAUUAAUUUAUUGAAAAUUUUCUAUUAAAAAUAAUAUUUUUAUCAUAUUAAUAAGAUAAUUGAUUUCUUAUAUAAUUAAUAAAAAAACAAAAACAACCAAUAAAAUAAAAUUGAAUUUUAUAAAUUAAAAUAUCUCAAAAUAUUGAUAUACAUUAAAUUAGUCUAAACUAAGCAAUUAAUGUAACUACCUAUAUACAUUAAUGAUACAUAAACUUGUUAAUUAUAUCAAAAUAUUUCAAUAAGAAUUUCUAAAAUUUUCAACAUAAGAACAAACAUUGGUACCAAGACUACUAAAAUAAAUCAUAAUCUUUAAAAGCAUAAUUCAACUUCCUAAUGAGUUCAUUGAUGUAAUCUUCAUGAUUUUUGGCAUCGCCUUCUUUAACAUAAUGAUUUUGAUCUCUUCUUUUAGCAAACAAGUAUCCUUUGCAACCUGUAAAUAAAAAAAAGGAAGAAUAAAUAAUAUCUUAAUUAUGUAUACAAUAACUAAUAAGUAUAAAUGAAAUUAUAACCUUCAAAAAAUUAAUUUAGGUUAUUGAAAUUUCCUUACAUGAAUCCCCUUAGUCUCUUACAUGCAUGGGUUGUGUUCCUUUCAAUUCAUUACAAGAAAAAAAAUUACACUACAAAGUGUUUUCGAAAUAAAAUAUAACAAAUUAUUUUAAUGUAGACAAAAAAAAAACUCUCCAUUGCCAACUCUAUGUUGCACCUUUAGAGCAAUACUUCAAAAAAGGACCCUAGACAAAAUUUAUCAAAGUAAAACAAGCCAUACAAAACUUUUCAUCGAGGAGACCUAAGAGUUGAAACUAAAUAAAUAAAUCCUACUUUAUCACCAAUAAGAUUCCAUUUAGAUCAUAGAAGGUACUAGAGAAAGGAAAAGAAUAGCAAGGAAUGCAAUAUUCUUUUAUUUGGUUCUCCAUAGAGAUUAAGAAGGAAAAAAUGGAAUAUAAUAAAAUUAUCUAAAACUACUAUAUUUUUAAAUUCUUUAUUCUCUUUAUAAAGAAGGAAUAAUAUUAGAGGAGCAUGCCAAAACAAAAAAACAAAAAAAAAAGGAAGAGAAAUGCUAUAAUAUUUUCUCCAUAGUGAAAAAAAAAAAGCAAGUGGAAAUUCUUUUCGUUUUUGUUUAGAGCCAUUAAGACAUUUACUUGAUUAUAUUAUAUUCCCUUUUUACCUUUUAUAAACCUUGAUAUCUAUUAAGAUUUUUUUAAAUCUCAUGAAUUAGACAAACAAACAAUUAUUUAAAAAUAUUACAUAUAUUUGCCCCCCAAGAUAACCAAAUAUGAAAUGCAGUAAGUAGAAAAAUGACUUUUUUAUUUAUUUUUAUUUUUUUUAUAUUGGUCCACUCUAUGUUCUAGCUUCACCUAAUAUGUAUAUUGGGACACAUGAUUUUGUAAAUAUAUUUCUUUUCCUUUUAAACAAUAGAGAUUUAUAUAAGAAAACUUGGAUUCAAGUUAAAUGAGCCUAUGCAUCAAAACCUACUAACACGUGACCAAGAAUAACAAGAAUACUAGAAUCUACUUUAAUUUAUCCUUACUCAUUACCACCAUAUCCCAACACAUUGACAUGGUUUCCAUGCAUUUUCAAUUAAAGGAAAAGAAAAGACAUUUUACAUUAAUUAAAAAUUCAUCUAUGAAGAUAAACAAAUACUUGGAUAGAAAAACCCUAUUUAGGGAAGUAUCCCAAAUGCUAAAAGUAGACAUUAAACAAUACCAAAAAUGGUUUGGAGCAUUCUACCUUUCCAAAUGCCAACAUCUUCAGGGAGCUACAGUUUAACUGGAAUAACAACCACACAAAGGAAACACUAAGCCAUAGGACAUGGUUCAAUUUUAAGAGAAGUUUACUAUCUACAAUUUUCCAUUAAAAUGAAUUUCUUCAUCAAAAAAUAAUCUUAAAAGAAACAAAGCAAUUUGAGUCCAAAGUAGACAUCACCUUCUAUAUGCCAAUGAACCCUAUAACAUGUACACUAGACAAUGUCAAGGGGAAUGCAGCCUAUUGGUUCCCAUGAUAGCUAAGCUUUAAAUUUAUUUUAAUUAAAUCAAAUAAAAAUUACACUCUCAAAAUCUAGCAAAAUGAUAAUUAAAAAAACCACAACAAUUAUAAUUCUCAAAUAGAGAUCAAACUGAAUAUGGAAUUUAACAUUUAAAACUCAAAGAAAUUGCUAUAGAAUUUAAUUAAAUCAUAGGAGUUUCUUUUAACUUGACUUGAGAGGUUUAAUUAGUCAUAGUAGUAAUUGAUAUCAGAGCAAUUGUUAAGAGGGAGAUUCUCUAAAAAGAAUAAAAAUACUAUAGAAGAUAAUGAUGAAGAUGGAUAGAAAACUCUGCUAUUUAAUGUGAAUGUUACCAUUAUGUCUAUGAACUUACUGUUAGUGCCUUGUGGCAAGGGAAUGAUUGAACUCAUAUGCCAACACUUAAAAAGUUUUAUUUUAUAGCAUCUUGGAUGAGAUGAUUGUCUAGCAUGGAAGGACCCACAUUCCAGCACCUCACCUGCUAGCCAAAGAAGCUUUCUUUAUUUUAUUUUUUUUCUCAAGAACUAUUAUCUUUUUCUAACAAAAAUCUAGAUGAAAAAUUAGGAUCAAGUUACUUGUUUUAGCAUUGAAAAAUCCACAAUCCAAAUUAUCCAGAUUUAAUGAUAAGAGAGCAAAUACAAUAUCAACACCCAUCUUCAUGGACCCUCAUCUCCAUGCGUCACAUGCUACCCACUAGCAUGUACACAUCAGAACCAUUUAAUGGGUUUCACGCUUUGGAUGGUUUAAAAAAGUUCUUGGUAAAUAGACUAAUGGAUAAACCCACUUGAGAAAAAUCAAGUAAAAGAAAAAUCCAUCGCACAUUGCAUUCUGCUGAAAAUUUGCAACGCUUUACACGAUCUCGCUUGAGGAUAUUGAAAAAUCAUAACCUCCUCUAAAAAAAAGUCCAUUGAUAAGUAGCAAUUAAGGGUUUUCUCCCUUUUUCAAAGAAAAUAGGGUUAGACCAAAAGGUAGAUCAGAGAAAAAAAAACAAAUUAGGGUUUAACUUGAAAGAAAAAGAAACCCAUCUGAAUAUGUGCUUGUGCAACACUUACCCUCUUCCAAUUGGGGGACUCCUUUAUUCGAUUGGUCCUCCAAUCUAGACUACAUUGAUUGAAUCUCUCAACUUUUGAAAUGAAAAACCUUAAAUCUUGGCUUUCUGCUUGUUACUUCAUGAGAAGAAGGCCAAAUAGCUGCAAUUAUUGACCACUGGUAUGUCGUCGUGAGUGAAAGCUUAGAGUUUUUGUUGCUUUGAUAUCUUACCACUGUGAGAUUGCAAGGCUUGUGGAGGAAAAUCGUGUUCAAAUGGGUAGGAAAUCGUGUGGAGGGGAAUGAAAAUUUUAGGUAAAUAUAUAUACUAUACAAGAUAAUGACGCUUUUUAAAAGCACUAAUAAUGCCAAAAACGUAUGUAUAUGAUGACGCUUAAUUUUAAGUGCCAAGAUUUCUAAUAUUACCCGUUCAAUGACACUUGUAGAAGUGCCAUGGUUAACAAACGCCAACAUUUAUUCAUAAGAAACUAAAUAAUGGCACUUUUUCUUAAGCGCCAAGAAAAAGAGCGUCGCUAUUUUUGUUUUUUGCAGUAGUUUCAAAAGUAUUUUGAAAUUUGGCAUAACAAUAUUAUUGGGGUUUGUUGACUUCUUCCAAUAUUUUGAAAUGUAUUGCAAUGAAAGAAAUAUAUAUAUUGGAAAUUUUAAAAAUUGGCAUAGACACAUUUCAUUUACAAAGUUGUUUUUUAUUAACUAUUUGUCAAUACUAAUAUGUAACCCUUUCAAUUAUUUUUGAAGAUUGAGCAUCUAGAAAGUGAGUUGCAACCAUCUUUAUGCACUUUGAAGAAAAAUGAUGUAGAACUAGAUGGAACAAAGGACCAUGAACAACUCAAUGUUGAAGAAGUUGUAAAAUUUCUAGUUUAUUAGACAACUUUUAAACAAAUUCAUAAUUACUUAUGUAUGAUGUUAAUAGGUAAAUUUUACUAGUGAAAAGAAACACCAGAAUAUUGCUACUUUUUGUCUAUGCAGUUUCUUAAAUUAAUUUUUUAUUGUUGAAUUAAUUGUUUGUGGAAACUUAUAAAACAAGGCAUAAUUAGGACAUUUCUUUUUCUGGCAUAUUACAAUUUCAAAUGAGAGAAUAUGAUGCUUUUUAAAAGCAUCAUGGUAAUUAGAUAAAGGUAGAAGAUGACGCUUUUCAUAAGUGUUAAGGUUAAGGAUACCAAUAAAAUGAUGCUUUUCAUAAGCAUCAAUGUUGAAGAUCCAAGAAAAUGACAUUUUUUUAAGCGUCAACGUUGAACAUGCCAUAUAAUGACACUUAUUACAAGUGUCAAUGUUGUUCCUACCUGUACAAUGACACUUAUUAUGAGUGUCAAUAUUGCUUCUACCUGUACAAUCACACUUAUUACGAGUGUCAAUAUUGUUGCUACCUGUAUAAUGACACUUUAUCGAGUGUCAAUAUUGACAUGAAUGGAAUUAUAAACAUAUGAUGAUACUUAAAAAGUUCCAAGGUUUAAAAUUAUGACACUUACUAUGAGUGUCAUUGUUGAGCUGAAAAUAAUAUGGCGCUUCUAAAAAGCGUCAACAAAUGGUAAUUUAUAAGAUGACAAUCUAAAAUAUGACACUUUUGAAAAGCGUCAUCUUAUAUCUAUCUUGACUUUUAAAAAACAUCAUCUUUUGACAUUUUCCUUGUAGUGCAUAAAUGCAACAUUGCCUAGAAAUUAAGAUCUUCAUCAAUAUUUAACUAAAAUAUUAUGAAAAAAAAUAGGUUGAUGUUAGUGCAAGCAAGAAAAUUAGAAAUACAAGAAAUAUAUGCUCAAAAUUAAUAACUAUAGGAAAUCAUUAUAGAAAACAUUAGAAUUGAUGAUAACUUGAAAAUUCUCAUUCAAAGUAUCUUCUAGAACACACUAUCAAGCAUCAAUUACUAAAAGAGAAAGAAAUUCAAAAUAAGAGGGUCUACCUAAUAGGACUUGUUAGUUUGGAUAGUUAUAGUGCAUGAGUGUAAAUAAUCACCAAUCACAACUUCAAAUUUUAUUUCAACAAAAUGAAGAGGCCUAUGAUGCUCAAAUGAAAGCUUGAUAACUGAGGCUUAGAUAAGUAAGGUUAAGAUAAUAUUCAGACAAUGCAUUUAUAAAGAUGAAAAGAAAAAAUUAGUAUACAAUAUAUAAUAUAGAAUAUACAUAUGAACAUGGGUACCCUAUGAAUUAAGUUCUUUGAUUCUUUUGGGCUCUUAGAGGAAAAUUUGUAGGUUUAGAUAGUAUACUCACAAGCCUCUAGCAAUUAGUAUGUUUAUGUCUAGUGGAUGUGUUGGUUCCAUGUUUGCAAAUUAGAUCAAGAUGAAAAAUGAUAAAAUAAGAGUAAGUUUAAAGGAAUUCUAAUUUAAUUAAGGACCAAUAUAUAUACCACCUAAAUUUUGCAUAUCUUUGUUCCCUACAACUUGCAAGUUGUUGAAGGCAAAAUGGCAACACCACAUUGGACUGUAAGAUAUUCAAACCAUUAGACUCCAAAUCUUUGUAUUUGCAUUUUGUUUUUCCAUUUUAAUUUGGAAUGCGUACAAAAUCAAACCAACAAAAAAAAAAGACAAAUAAUUUUGGGGUUUGGAUAUGGGUAGCAGAAGUACAAUGAGUGGGAAAGUGUAGUAGAAAAAUGUUGGGGUUUUACUUAAGAAAAAGGAUGCUGGAGACUCAUUAAAUGCUUGAACCUUUUCAUUGGAUGCACUGAGUUAGUCAGUUCAUCACAUCUUUUUAGGCUCCACUUGCUAUGUGGAGUUAGUUCAUCAUACCAUGACUUCGUUUCUCACCUCAUAGUGCAUAAAAAUGUAAUUAAGAAAUUGCAAAGUGGCUAAUACAUGCUAUCUAAUUUUAUAUGAAAUUAAGAGUGAUUUAGUGAUUAUAUCCAAGAUUUUUGUACACCUUUUCAAAUUUUUGUUGUUUCUUUUAAAUACAAAAGAAGAUACGAGUUUACACAAAUUGUGUCAUUUUCUUCCAUACCACCAAACCUUUUCUUCCCACUUUACCUUAAAUUCCACUUCUAUUUUCUUAAUUAAAAAAAGAAAAAGAAAAAAAAAAAGAAAGGUAAGAAUGGAAGAAGUGUGAUGCUGCCAUGGGCAUGCAAUUGUGAUAGUGGAUUGCUUAAAUGGGUGCACAAAGAGAAUUUUCCUUGAAGAAUCUUUUAACCUAUAUUUGAUUCUUGGAAAUUUUUUAAAUAUAUAUAUAUAUAUAUAUAAAGGAAAUGAAAAAAAGAAAAAAAAAAACUGAAAGGAAGGAAAAAGUGAAAUAAAAAUAAAAAUAGAUAUAAAAUUAAAUAUUAUUUUUACAAACUUAGUGAAAUUUAUUUAAACUAUUUUUUUAUUUUACAUAAAGAUUAAAUAAUUUAAAAUAUAUAAGUUUUUAAUUAAUUGAAAUUUUAUUUGACUUUAUUUUUCAUUUUUUAUGAUGAAUCAAAUAUGAGAAAACAUUUUUUUUAAUAUUGUCUUUUUUCUUUUGUAGUAGUUUUUUUUUUUUAACUCAAAUAUAGUAUUAAAAAAAGUUACGACAUAAACCCUUCUAUUUAGAAAUCUUAAGUUAGUAUUUAUUCUAAAGAAAUAAAUGCACAUGAAUAUUUGUACCUUAUAAGUUUCAUAAUAUAAUAAAAUUACUUAUUUAUUGUUUUAUCUCAAAUUAUCCAUAUUAAAAGUAAAGUAAAUAAAUAAAAUUUCUUUUGAGAAUGUUGUUAUUCAUAUAACUUUUUUUCUAAAAAAAAUAUUAUUUUCAUGGGGCUAAACAAUAUCUUAAUCUCCUUUUAUAUGGAAAAUACCGUAUUCUAUUUUUUAUUUUAUAUUUUAGAAAGAGUAUAAACAAUAAAAUUAAUCAAUUUUAAAAUUGCAUUUGCAAUCUUUCAUUCUUUCUUCCAUUUAAUAACUUGACAUUUCUUAUUUGACAUAUUCUUAUUUUAAAAUGUUAUUUUAAUUCUUUAUCUUCUCUCUAUUUGCAUCAUCAACUUAUCACCCUUCUAAUAAGUCAAGAUUAGAAAUCAAAAAUAAUUUUUUGAAUAUAUCCAAGAAAUAAACAUUAAUUUAAAAGGAGUCUAAAGGCAAAAUAUUUAUAAAAGUUUACUAUAUUAAAAAAAAAAUUAAAGAAUGAAUAUAUUUUAGACUUAUAAUAAUAUAAACUACAAGAAUACAUUUGUGAGGCCAAUAAAGUUAUCAAGAUGAAACUUACCCUAGAAUGGGUGACUUGUAAAACGUUGAAUGCAUACAUUCAAUUAAUGAAUGCAUAUUAUUAAGAGCAAGCAAAGAUUCACAUAAAUAAAUUAUGAUUGAGAAAGAGUCAAAUCAUGUGGUAGAAUAGAAGGAGGAUUUUCAAGGAUAUUAUAAUAAAAGAAUUGAAGCUGUUAAGUAGCAAUCUUUUUUUCUUUUUCUUUUUCUUUGACUUGUUUAGAGACAUAGGAAUGCAAAACAACAUUUUCCUACAUGAUUACUAAAACUUGAGUUGUGAUAUGACAUUUCCCAAUACCCAACAACUUGGCCAUGCUGAAAUCAGAAACCUUGGCAUUGAAAUCAUCAUCAAUCAAUAUAUUGUUUGAUUUAAUGUCAGAAUGCACCAUUUUUUUACUCAGACUCGUGCAAGUAAGAAAGACUACAACCAGUAUAUCAUGUGAAAUGAAUAUAGCAAUGCUAGAAAGGAAAUAAAGUGCAUAGCUCCAUGAAGCCAUUGCUCCAAAUUGCCAUUUUGACAUACUCAUAAACUAAACAUCCUAAAAUUUUAAUGAAAAUUAAACUUUUUUUUUCCUUAUAUUAGUAACCUAGAUCCUAGAAUUUGGGUGAUGAUGCUACAUGCCAAGUAUAUAAGCUAAACAUGGAAAACAAGCAAACAAACUAUUUAACUAGAUCCUAUAGAAAAAGGAGUACCUAUGGUUCCUUUCAAUAUAGUAUACAAGCAGUCGAACCCAAUUCUUAUGGUGCACAUGGCCAAUAGCUUCAGCUUUAACUCCAACUCCAAAUUCUUUCUUUGCUUAACCCCUUAAGAAAAUAAGUUUAGAAGUUAAAUUCUAGUUGACAUUACCAAAUGAAUAAAUAAGUAACCAUAACAAAGUUGUAAACACCUAAUGCACAAUUACAGGAACACCUACUUCAACAAAUAAGCACUAUUUCCCUUUCUCUACUAGCACUGCAAAUAACUUCUCCACAUCCCACCAAUGAUGGAUGAGCAACAUUCUUGCAUGAUGUUCUUUUAAUGAUAACAAGUUCAUUGCUCUCCAUAAAUCAACCCUCUACAUGAAUGUAAACCAGCUCAAAAUAACAAUGUCAAGAACAUAGAUUCAUUUAAGUGACCAAAAAAGGUAGCAAAGGGACUUUACUUGCAAUACUUAGAAGGGAUUCUUUUGUGAUUACCUACAAAAGGUCCAAAAGGGAUUUUAGAAAAAUAUUGACUUUGAAAAAUUAAAAAUUGAAAGAAAACAUAAUGAGUAUGACAAUUCUAACACUUUUUGGUACAUAGUAUUUUUAUUUAGACUGUAAAUGAGAAUUAACAUGGCCAAGUUUCCUUUCUACCAUUUUCCUUUCAAAAUUGGGGGUUCAAAAUUUUCUUUAAAAUUGUUGCUUGCUUCUUCUUCUACUAAUUUCAUUGGCUAUUAAUAAAAUUCUUCUAGGGUGAAAAUACCUAAAAGCAUUAGAAAAGAACAUCAGCAUACAUAGAUUUGAAAUUCACUGGUGCUCACAAAGCCAUGCUCCAACAAAUAUAAACUUUUUCCCAAUGGCUUGUUUACAACAAUUAACAAAUUUCCAAAUGCUGAUAAAUUAAAAGAUAGAGAAAAAAAAAAAAAAAAAACCAACAACAAUGAAACUGACAUCGAUUAAAAUGACAAAAAUUAAUAGUAAUAACAAUAGGUAACACCUUAUAGAAUUGAACUGAUCAAAUAGGCCCAAAACUAUUUUAUGCAUCUUUCCCCAAAAGAACCAAUCUUGCUCCAAUUAAAGCCAAAAGAAUCACUAUAUCAAUCAAUAAAACCUAAUAUAUUAAUAAAAAAAAACCUAACAAUCCUAAUCUUCGUCCAACAAUCCUAUACCAUAAGAUAACAAUAAUAAAAAGAUAAGAUCCAUCAACACUAAAUUGACUACCCAAAAAAUGCCAUUAUUCUCACAAAAUUGGUCCAACUACUUCCUAUUUGGUUGCUAUGAAAAUCAAAGAAAACAUAAUAAAUUAGUAUUACCUAGGAAGCUUAAAGCCACCAUGCAACUGUAGUUUAUGCAACCAAUAUUAACUCAAUUGACAUGGUUUUUCAAUUGUUAAACUAAAAACAAAAGAAAAACUCAAAAAUUUCCCUUUUUGUUCUAAUUUAGAUUUCUCAAAAACCAAACAAAGGUUUCAAGAAAGAGAGAAACAACCAAAAGCUUCUAAACCACCAUAGUAGGGACUGAUUGAAAAACCUAACCAGUUUCAAUUACUUGACUGGAAAAAACCUUGGAAGGGACCCAUUGAAAAUCAGAUUCCUUAUUUACAAGCCCAUCGAAUAGUAGUAUUCUUCAUUGUUGUUUGCAUAAUUCUCCAUUGUUGAUUAUAUAAAUAUACUAUAUGGAUGUAUUGAUAUGUAGUUUGUUCGAUCCAAUAAUAGAAUCAACAAUUCAAUUGGAAGUAUCAUUCCUAAUGAAGACAAAAGCUGAUUUUUUAGCAAGAUCCUAGUGAAUUCUAGUGCAAUGGUUGGUAUUUUUUUGGGUUUGUAGGGGAGUAAGGGUUUUAUGUUAAGAGAAUGAGAAAUGAAAGUUAUAUAUAGAAAGUGAGAACAUGGAGCUUCUAAAAAGUGCCAAGGUUGCCUAAAAGCUGAAAGUUAUUCUAUGACACUUUUAGAAAGUCACAAGGAAGAUAAACACCAUUGAAUCCUUUACCAAGCAUCAAUAUUAACCCAUAUUUAGCGAGUGCCAAGAUUAACCUUUUUUUUCCGCUUGAAUCUUGACGUUUUUAAAAGCGCUAAGGAAUGAAGCACCCUUAAAUUUGUUUUUGGUAAUAGUGCAUACACCAUCCAUUUAAUUAAUUACCCACCCCACUGCGUAUUGUAGGGAUGCAAAAAUCGUCUAAUAUAUGUAUCAAAGUCAGAAGGUAAAAAAAAAAUGAAAUUUCCAUAAAAACGUCAUCUUAUUUCUAGAAAAUAUUUGACUACACACAACAAAAUCUAUAUAAAUACUAUGGCAAUUCUCCAAGUGUAGGGUGUGGUUGCACCUUUAAAAAAAUCAAUGAAUCAAGUCUUCAACCUCAAGGAAGGGAUCUUGGAAAGCAAGUAAAGUGAAAAUAUUAAGAGGCUGAAAGAUGGUGAUGAAAAAGAACACUUUCUUUAAUUUUGCUUUGAGUAAGAAAGUAGUUAGAAAGUGGUUUUAUGUAAAAUAAGAAUUUGUUAAAAAUAUUAACUAAAUUGUAACUAAUAGUUGAGAAAGGGGAAUUUCUUGGGUAUCUUCCUUACCAUGGAAUGAUCUUUGUUAAUGAUCUCUCAACCAAGAUACUUGGGGGUUACCUUGGUUGGAAUACCUUCAAUAAAAGGAUUUAAAUUAACUUCAUAGAUAUUAACCUAUCAAUUGGAUCCCCCUAUACUUAGCUCAUUUUUCCUAAAGUAUUUGUGAUUCUAAAAUUGUUGUCCUUGCUAACAUAGGACUAUUCCAAGUUAAAAUGACUCUCUUAUUAAGUGCUUGGAAUAUCCUAUGGGGACCUUAGGUUUCAAUCUCUAAUUAGGUAUAAAACUAUGGUGGUUUCUUAAACCCAAUAUCCCAACCAUCUUCCCAAUUGUGAUAUUUAAGGUCAUCCCAAGUUAAAAUGAAUUUACCAUUAAGUGCUUAGGAUACCCUAUUGGGACCUAUAAUCCCCAAUUGUCAAAUGUUGAAAUGAGGUGUUUUAUAUUGAAUGAAUAAGUUUCUCUUGAUAGGUUACUUUGAAUUAAAAAUUAAUAAUUAUUAAUGAAAUGAUAUAUUCCAAUGGAAGAAUAGGAAACCCUAGGGUACCCUUUCCCCAACCUAAAUAGCUAUUCAAUAAACACUACAUUGAAAUCACUUUGAAAGAAUAAAAUGAAAAGUAAGAAAUUGAACAUCAAACCUUAAUCAAAUCUAAAAUUGCAAUGAUCAAUCAUAAUAAAUAGAUUCAAUUAUGCAUUUAAUAAAACCAAUACAAGACAAAGGAAAUAAAUAAAAGUAGGAACAAGAAAAUAAAGAAAACCUAACAACGAAAAUGUAUCAAAGAUCUCCCCAUCCCAAGGUUGACUACAAGAAUUAGCAAGAAAGUGCAAGAACUCCCUCUCUAGGGAAAAGAUCUGAACCCCAUGAAUAGCUACUCAUUCCUCCUUUUAUAUCCUUUCCAAGCAAGCCCAAAGUUUUCUCACAUGAGAGUAUCUCUUUUUCAUGUGAAAUAGGCCCAAGGGUGAUAGGGAAUUGGUAAGAGAUUAAACCUAUCCCAUUUCCUUGGGUUUAAACAUUAAAAAAAAAAAAAAAAAGGUCACUUGUAGUUUGCAAUCACGUGCUCCUUAAAAGAAUGGGGCAACACCACUAGGAAGUGGUGUACUUAUGGAGCCCUUGGUGGCACCAUCUUGAGCUAAAACACUACUCAUGGAUUUUUUAUUUAUUCCUUAGGAAAACAACCUCUAAAAAUUUUAAAAUUUGGUCAAGUUUAAUUUUGGAAAUGAAAGAAUCCAACAAAAUUUUUUGUAACUCAAUUGGACAUGUAUAACCCUUUUAACCACUUCAAAGCAUUUUAAUGGUUGGAGAGAGUCAACACCUGAGAACUCCUUGCAAAUUCAAUCUUUUGGUUCAAUUCACCUUUCAUUCUCACAUUUGGGAUCUCCCAUGAGAAUUUCAAGGUCAUCAUUAUUUAUUAAAUAUGUCUAUAAAUAUCAAAAACCUAAAGAAAAUAUGAGAAAUUUGGAUAUACACGAGAUGAAAUACUAUUGCUUAGUUGAAGGGUGUUUUUAAUGGUAAAAUCAAGCCAAAGAUGUGAUCAUUGUCCCUAUUUUUAUACAAAAUAUGGCAUUAAUCAACAUCAUUUGUUAUUAAUGCUUUCAAUAACAUUUUAAGAAGUGUCAUCUUUAAAUAAUGUUAACAAUGACACUUGUAGAUGUUAGGACUAGGCCCCUAAAAGCAAGACAUGAUAUAACAAAGUUAGACUUAACCAUUCCUUUGUUGUCCUUUUGGUGUAUUGAUAUUGAAUUGAGCAUUCAAUCCAUAUCUCUUGCAUUGCACAUGACUUGGGUGCAUUAGGAGUUGCACAAAAGAUACAAGUCAUGGGUUCUUUGUAAGUAGAUAAGUUGUCCAUAGUUGAUUCAUGGAUUUGGGCAAUCUAGUAGAGACUGUAGUACACCUCCUCCUAAUUGAAUAUCCUAUAAGGACUUGCACAUAGUGGACCUAGAAUCUAUCCACAAAAAAUUGUGAAAUCUACCACUAAAUAUUCAACAAUGAAAAAGUGAUGUAUACUUUUCUUUUUUCCUUUAGGUAAACUGGGUAUUCCUUUUCUAGUGUCCUAAAAUGUCAAAAAAGAAUUACUUGCCCUUGAGUUUUAUGUCUUAUUCUUUCUUUUGAACCUUCCUUAUUUGUUAUUGUUUUUCUUCUUGAGAGAAAAACAUGAAAAACCUUUAACUUCCAUAUGAACACCCUAAUUCUUUAAGAAUGCCCUUAGCCAUCCUAAAGAAAAAUGGCAAGGUCUCUAAGAUCAUAUGAAUAUUGGUGUUCAUAACAGUCCUAAGAAUAGCUUGUCCAAGCUGGCCUACCCUUAUCACCAAAUAAUCAUUGCAAACUAGAAAGAGAAUAUCAAAGUCUCUAGUAAUAGACAUGUGUUGCUAUUGCAACACAUUGUCCAAAAAUCCAAGUAUUAGGCAUUUGGUCUUCUAAUCUAUCUAAUAUCACUUUGAUACACCACUUUUUCCUUUUGCUAGGUUAGUUCAUAAGGAAUAGCUCUACCUAAAUUAGCUUCUAUGAAAUUUAUUACUAUAUCCAGAAUAAAAUUAGUCCAAUUGAUUAUUUGUUCUUAGCAUAUUGUGAGAAAGAGAGUGAUAAUAAAACUAACAUGAUAUCUAUAACAAAGAAUAUAAUCAAGCAUAUGACAUAAUUGAGCAUUCAUGGCAUUUGGUAAUUAAUUUAGCAAAAAUGUAGUGCUCUCAAACUAUAUAUCCUUUUGCAUGGUAUCCUAGUAGCAUGAGAAUCAAGCCUACGUGGGGUAGGUCAUGACCUUAUUACUAAUUAGAGACCUUAGAUUGAUCUCAUUGCCUUAACCAUAAAGGUAUCUAAAGGCAAGAUCAACAUACCGUUUAGUUGGCCCAUAGACUAUGCAAGUGGGACUGCAUGGGCUAAUUCUACCACUUCAUAUCCAAUGUCAAGUGUAUAACCAUUGUCCCUAAACUAUCAAUGUCACUAAGUCAAGAACCCUAUUAGGGGGGUGGUCACUCCCACUAUAGACAUAUUUAGUCUCGUCCAUACAGAGAGUCCAUAUCUCCUAAUUUUUAAGGCUAACCCACUAUAAGGGUGGUGAUGAACUCAAAUCAAGAUAGGCUCGACAAUGAAGGCAAUAGGCUUGCCUAAGACCCUCUCCCACUUAAUCUUUGGAGAUAAAUAAGAUUAUUUUAAAACCAUUAGUAAUUUCCUUAAUAAAUAAAUUAUCUAGUUUGAAAAUUUCCAAAAAUAUUUAUUUCCUAAUUAGAAACCUAGUGUGAUAGGAGAAUACCAACAUGAAAAUUUUAAAAUUUUCAUAAGAGUAAUUUUCAAAAAGAAUUUUGAUAAAAUAUUCUCUCAAAAUUUUAAAAUCCAUUUUCAUAAAAGUCUCCUUUUGUAGAUAAUUCCAAUCAAUAAAUAUUUCAUUUAGGAAUGUUUCAAAGAAAUUUAUUUCCAUCAAAUUACUAAGCCUUUUAGUAAUAAUCUUUUAAAGAUAAAUUAUCUUUAAUGAAAAUUUCUAAAAUAUUCAUUUUCCAAAUUGGAAACUCUUGUGUAAUAAGGAAUUUACUAAUUUAUGAGAUUUUAAAUAAUCUUGAGAGCAGUUUAUCCAAGAAAAGAACUUUUGCUUCUCAUAUUCAAAAAUCCUCAUAAGAUUUACUUUCCUUAUUCCUUACACUUUUCCAACUCGAUAAAUAUUUCCAUGGAAAUCUCAUAAUAAUUUAUUUAAUAAAAUACUACCAAAAAUAGGACCAUUUAUUAAUUCCUUAAUGAAUAAAAUAUUUUCUAUGAAAAACUCCCAUAGAUGUUUAUUUCCCUUAAGGAAUUAAACAAUCCAUUUUGAAAAGUAUUUUCAAAAUAUUUUAUACCUCCAUUAAAUUACUAAUAAAAAUUUCCAAAGUUAUUUUGGUAAACUUUCUUAUCAUAAAUUCUCUAUCAUGAGAUUUUCCAAAUCCAUUAUUUACUUUUAAACCGGGACUCAUGUGCUAAAAGAAUUGCUCUCUUAUUCCGUAUCAUUGAACUUCCAAAUAGAAUGGUUUCCUCAUUUUCUUUGGUGGGGAGAGCUUGGAGAACCAACUUUAGGAAUAGUUUUCCUUCUCUCAUUGAGAAAGAACAGAAACACCUCCUAAAGUUUAAUAAACAAAUAGUUCUAAAGAAAUAGCAAUUUUCUUAGGAAUAACCAGUUUUAAAAAAUAAUCUUGGAAAAUAUCUUCUCAUAAAAAUUUACUAAUAAUACUAAAAAAAAAAAACAUUUCUUUGGGUUUUAAUACUUAUUUUGGUAACCAUUCUUAAUUAUAAAUUAUAUGUCAUGAAUUUCAAAAAUUAACUAAUUUUCUUUAAAUCAGAAUCCUGUGCAAAAUAGGAAAAAUACUAUUUUAUAAAGAUUUGAAAAAACAAGAGCUUUCCUUAAAAGAAAGAUUUUAUUCUUAGAGAUCUCAAAGAUUUGAGAAGAUUUCAAAUAAAAUUAAAAUUUUUAAGAAUUAAUUUUUAAAAAGUAAGAAAGCUCUUAAUCCUUUUUCCAACUUAUCUUUUCUUUAUAAAAAAUUUCCUAACCAUGCACAUUCUAAUUCAAAUAAGCUUUCCAAUUUUGAAAAAAAAAACAUGAAAAAUUAUUUCUAAUUAAGAAUGCCAAAAUAUAUAUCUUAAGGCCACAUAUACAGUUAAUCAAAAUCAUACAAUAAAAAUGAAGGAAUAAUUAAAUAGAAAAUUUCUCAUGGCUUUAGGGAUCCUAUUGCAUAUUUGGUAAUUAAAAUUUUAAUAAAAUCUAAAUUACCAAAAAUAGUCCUACAACUAAAAAUAGGAUUAGUGAAAAUAGAAAACCCAAAAAGUCUAAUUUCCACAAAAAAAGAAAUUAAGCCUAAGAAGAGGCAUAAAAUUCAUCCCAAACAACUAAAAAGAAUUGGACUCGUAUGCAAUCCCGUACUAGCAUGCUCCUUGGGCAACAUUGAUUUGAUUGGUCAUAUCUCUCUCGUUUCAACUCCGAAUUGUGAUCAGUUUAAACCAUUCAGUUCCUAACUUCCUAAGCUUCAAAACAUAGCUGACUUGCCCUAGUAAAUUUACUAAAAGUAAACUUAAUUUUGGCUCAAAGUUGACAUCACUGUGCUGCCAUGCACUUUGCGUAACCUUGCUUCAAUCAACCAUAUCUCCCUCAUUUCAGCUCUAAUUUGCAAUACCACUAUAAAAGAAAAAAAAAGUAUGUUUUUAGUGAAGAAUGGUCACAAAAUCUUGUCACCAAAGAUAUCAUUUUGUCACGACCAUGAUAACACCGUGGCUAUAUAUGUUUAUCAACUUUCCAAAAAAAAAACUAAAAUGGAGGGAACAUUUGGCGUCAAUAUUUUUAGUCACGGUGAUUUUAUCAAUUGUCACCAAAGAAGGUAUUUUAGUCAAAGUUUUAUUUGACACUGUGACUAUAUGUAUAUUUGGUGCAGGGAAAUUUUGAUGCCAAUAAUUUUAGUCACGAUUAUUUUAUCAACCGUGACAAAAGAAGUGAUGAAAGAUUAUUUUAGUCAUGAUGAUUUUAUCAAUCGUGACAAAAGAUGUGAUGAAAUGAUUUUAUCAAUCGUGACAAAAGAUGUGAUGAAGGAGUGUUUUAGCCACGUUUUUUGUGAAAUCGUGACUAUACAAUAUUUUUUAAUGACGUUUAGUCAUGAAUUUGAUUGACCAUGGCCAUAUGUGAUCUACAGUUGUGAAUUUUACAUUAACUGUGACCAAAGGUUAUAAUAAUUUAUCUUAGAUAUUUUGAACCUAUGGUGACAGGCUCACUCGACCGUGACCAAAGUUUGUUAUUUAUUUUAAAUGAUUUUUAAGAUAUCUAUAACUACAAUUUCUUAAAAGGCCUUGUACAUAUAUACGUGCAUACUUACAGUCAAUGCUUUGACAAAAGUAAAGUAAAGUUUAGUAUAUUAGUAUAAAAAUAUGAUGGUUCAAUUUAAUAUUAUUUGAUAAAAAAUUAAAUGCAAGUGUGGGUUAAGUAAAUCAAAAACAAUUUUGAUUUUAUAUAUGAUAAAUAAUUCUUAUUGAAUUCAAAACACCAAUAAAAGUGGUAAAUAAAUUUUAAGUAAUAAGAUAAAACUAUUAACAAUUAAAAUCUAAUUAACCUAUUUAUUGCUAAUAAUAAGUUUCAUAUAAAAGACAUUGGGAAUCUCAUUGUCAAUUGAUAUUCUUUUUUUUUUGUCAAGAUAAUAAUAAGAUGAAUUAUAUAACCUAUACAUUUGGUAUAGAAAAUCAGAGAUUUGAAACUAAUAAUAAACAUUAUCUAAUUAUAUUAGAAAGUUUUCCUUUUUACAAUUACUCAAAUUAUUAUUUUUUUUAAGUUCAAAUGUUUUUAAUUUAGAAAAAUAUUUAGUUGUCACAAUUUUUAAUUUGAAAUUUUAUCAACAUUAAUAUUAUCUAUUAAUUCAUGGUCAUUCAAUUCAAUCUUAUUUCUCAAUUUCUAAUUACUUAUUUCUUUUGCAAACUCAUAUUUACUAGACAUUUUCACAAAAAUAAUGCUUUUAGUUAAUUGAAAUUUUAUAGAUACAGAAAUAUUUAGAAAAUAUUGUAUUUUUUUAAAUAAAAAAUUAAUGUUAGUUGCUUUCAAUUCAAAUAACUUAUUUUAUUUAAACUUCCAUUUCCUUUUCUUUUUUUUUUCCUUUUUAGAAAGAUUUUUUUUUAUUUUUUUAAUAAUUUUUAUAUUUGAUUAAUUUUAAAUUUUUAUUUUUAAAUUUUAAUUUCUUUUAGUGGAAGUAUUAAUUAAUAAAGUCAUUUUAUAUGACAUUAAAAAUUUUAAAUAUGCAUGACAAAUUGAUGUUCCUUUAGAAAGUAAUAUAAGGUUAAGAGGGUCAUUGUUAUACUAUUAGUAUAAAAUUACUUAAUCUGAAAAUACAUAUCAAUAUUAACUUAUUUCAUUAAAAUGAAAUUUCAAAUGUUGAAAGCCCAAUUUGAAAAGUUCAUCCAAGCAAACCAUAAAACAUGUAUCUUGAAAAAAUUAAUGAGAAAAACAUAAACAAAAAAAGUUAUUUGAUUUUAGAAUUAAAUUAAACGAAUUUUAAAAAUAAUAUAAUUUUAAAUUAAAUAAAUAAAAUAUGAAAGUAAAUUUAAUAGAGUCUAUUUAUUUUUUUAUAACUUUAUGAAAACAUCUCUCAACAUAAAAAAAGAUUAGAGCUUUUGGCUUGAAAAAACUUAAUAUAAAAGUAUUUUUAAAAAAAAUUUAAUAUUAUUAAUAUUUUCACCUUUGCCAAACCUAAGAACUUUGAGAUUAUGAACUUCUAGCAAACUUAUAACACUCGGUGAUGCAUAGAACCACAAAACUAGAAUUAAGGGUUUCUUCUCACUUGCAGAUCUCUCUGCUCUUCACAUCACUCUCUGGUACUUCUUCAACCCACUCACCCUUUUAUCAAUUAUCUUCCUUUAGUUAUCAGAAAAACUCAGUAAUAGUAAACAAAAUUUGUAGUUUUUUUUUAUUAUUGUUUUGAUACUUGAGAAAUCUAAAAAGUUGAUUUUUUUUCUCCUCUCAUUUUAUGUUGUGUCUUUAGCUUUAACUUUAUUAUUUUGAUUUUGUAAGUUUUCAUUUGCUAAUUCCUAUAUAAGUUCUUAAAGUUUCAUGCUUUUUAUGUUAGAAUUUUUUGGAGAUUCUUUCUUGAAGAAUAUAAUAUGGCAUUCUCUAACAUAGUUUCUUCAAUAAAAUACACAACUCACCUCCAUUAUAAUCCAAAAGUUAUUUUCUUGGGAAAAUCCAAAUGGAUUCUAUGUGGCUAUUUUUCUCACAAACCAAAUAGAAAAAGUAUGAAGAAAAAUGAGUAGGAGGUGAACCAGUGAUGGAGUAGUGGGUGUUGCAAAGGUGAGAUAAGUUUUCAUGGAUGCAAGUGAAAAAGGCCCAUAAAAGAUUUAGCUUGUUUGGUUUUCAAGAAAAUGAUGAAAACUACUAGGGAUUGAAUUUUUGGGGAAAUUUAUUUCUUGGGAAACGUGCAAGACAAUAAUCAUAACGGGUAAUGGGUUUCUACUAGUUUAAGGUAUGCUGUGGGGACAUUCUGGUUGCCUUCACAUCUCCACAACAUAUACUUUAUUUAAUUAUUCUAAAAUAUUUUUUAUUUUAAAUAUAAUUUUGUUUUAAAAAAAAUUCAUGUUAUGUUUAUAAUAUAUAGAAUAUUUGUAAUGAUUUUAGCUAUAAAAUUAUAUUUUUUUAUGGUGGGAACCAUAUAUGUUGAAGGUAAAAUAAUAAAUUUUGGAUUAUUUUUGUAAAAAUAAAAUAAAAUAAAAUAAUUUCAAUAGGAUAUAAAAACAUAAUGUAGUAAUUUAUAUAAAGUCAACUUGCUUACCUAUUUUGUAUUUUUAUUUAAAAUUUAAAACUUCUUUUAAAAAUAGAUGCAUGUUCACUUUUAAUUUAUGAAAUAUUUGAUACUAUAUUUCCUAUUUUAUAUGAAAAUGAAAAAUGAAAAAUAAAAUAUAGUAAUGAAACUCCUCUUAGACUCAAAUUUCAAUAAUGCAAUGUAAAUUCAUUAGAAUCUUAUCGGAAUGAUAAAAAAAUAUUAAAAUAAAAAACAAAAAAUAAUGUAAAGAAAUAGAAUCACAAAAGAAAGCAUGAAGAUAAACAUAUUUUUAAAUUAAAAAUUAUUAAAUUUGAUAUUUUUUUGCUUUUUUUUUUUCCUUUUAAGAAUGGUUAUUUACCCAAGAUUCUAAUGUGACAAAAUCAAUAGAAUGAUUCUAAAAAUGUUAAAUUAUAUCCUACAAGGAAGGAACAACCUUCCAAAAAUCCUAACCAAAUUCCAAUUGCACAUUAAAAGUAAACAAAUAACAAUAUUUAUUUUACCAUUAAAAAAUAAAUUUGAAACUUAAUAGAUGAAACUGACCUAGGGAUAAUUAAUGUAGCUAACUUUGAUAAUUGAUAUUAAUUUUAAGUGUUAAAGAAUUUUGGUAGUGCUUGGUAAUUGAUAAAAUUUUGUUGAAUUAAAAAUCCAUUAUAUGUAUGUGUGCAUUGUCCCUUUAUAUUCAAACAUAGGCUUGAGUCUAAACCUAGUUAUCACUCACAUGGGAAAGUCAAAGUAGCUAACUUUUGUAGGUGGAUAUUAAUUUUAAAUGUUAAACAAUUCUGAUAGUGCUUUGUAAUUGAUAAAAUUUUAUUGAAUUAAAAAUCUAUUAUUUUAUAGAUUGAUAUUAAUUUUAUGUAUUAAACAAUUCUAGUAGUGCUUGGUAGUUGAUUAAAUUCUAUUGAAUUAAAAAUUCAUUAUUAUUAUUAUUAUUAUUAUUAUUAUUAUUAUUAUUAUAUAUAAUAACAAUUGAUUUUUCUAAACCAAGUUCCCACUCACGCGGGAAAAUUAAAGUAGCUAAAUUUUGUAGGUGGAUAUUAAUUUUAAGUGUUAAAGAAUUCUAACAUUGCUUGAUAAUUGAUAAAAUUCUACUAUAUGUUAUUGGGAAGUCUCAUUAGUAUUGGACUUAAUAUUCCAAAAUAUUAUAUUGAACAGUUUAAUAACAAAUGUUUUUUAAAACAAGUAGAAGAUAGAAAUAAUUUCAAUAAUUAAAUAUCAAAUUUGAUUUUGUAAAUACAUGAAUAUUUAGUAAAAAAAAAUUGGGAAACUUAAGAAUUAGGUAUAUAUGGAAAUUAUAUUAAAAAUUUUGGAUUUUUAAAAUUUUAGCUUUGAUAUAUAGGUUAAAGCAUAAUUAAUUUAGAGGCAAUGGUUAGUUAACUCUAUUUAUCAUAAUACUCUCACCAUUUUUUCCAUUCUAAUUUCAACUUUUUCUUUAUUUUCAUCCUUAAAUUGAUAGUCUAUUUUAGCACAAUAUUUAUCAUACGAAAAAAAAAGGAGUCUAGUCUUAAAGCAAAAUAGUGUAUGUUACAGGAGUGAAGUUGUUAGAAAUAUAUGUUGUUUAAGAAUCGUGAUGAAAAUUUGAUUUUAUGGACUGAAUCAAGACAUAUUUUAAAAUAGUAUUUAUGUCCAAUUAUAACCUUAGUUUUUAUACAUAAAAUUCUAAGUUCUCUUAUACUUCCAAAUAAUAAUAUAACUUGAUGUUAUUUUAAGUUUAUAUAUUCAUUUCUUCAUUCCUCACUGAUUUUGAUUACCUUUUCAAUUUUUAUUUAAAUUUUCUUUUAUAGGUGUUUCUGUUUUUAUUUUUUCUUUCCUAUUCAUUAUAAUAUUCAAUUUAAUGUUAGCAUCUUCCUUCUCAAGUUUACUCAUUUUCAAAUUAGAAAACCCUAAAUAGCCCGUUCAAGUAUCUUUACAUGACAAAUGUCUCUUUUAUCAUAUAUUUAAAGCAUAUAAGUUGUACAAAUGCGAAUAUGAUUAUUUAUUAUGGUCAUAUUCAAGUUUUCAACCUCUAUGUUUUGCAUAUGAUUGGUAAAAUUAUCUACAAAUGAUGCUUGAAUUGUCUAUUUGGACAAUUUAGGAAUAUAUAAUGUCUAUUAACCACUCGCUUAUACUUUACCAUAUUGAUAAAUUUUGACAACAAUUCCCCUUGUUCUCUGGAUGCAUAUUUGAACAAGGUGACAUAUUAUUAUCAACUUAGUUAAGCUAACUAAUAGUAUGUUUACACCUUGGCCAAUUUGUGUACUUGGAGAACUAUGAGAAAAUGUUGUCUAAAUUUUGUCAAAAUGGAACUACGCAUAUGGGCGAUUGAUUCUUAGGUAUUAUAUAUUUCUAAAUGUGAUAGGAACCACUACCUAAUAUAGGAGUUUGAGAUGAUAGAAAGCAUAUCACAUACAUUAUAAGUUCAUAUGAAGAUUCAAUGUUAUGUGAUUAAAGGUUUUAAUUUGCAGAAUUACAAGAAAAAUGCCAAUAUAUAAGAGUUGGAUGCAAAAGUCAAGAAUAAGUAGUGAGUAUGAUAAAAAAGUUUUGGAGUUCUUAGACUUUGCCUUCAACAAUGCACUAGGAAAGGAAAUGUUCCAAUGUCCUUGCAUUUGUUGCAACAAUUGUCUUAUGCAAAAUCGAGGAAUUAUGUAUGAUCAUUUGUUAGACAAUGGGAUAGCUAGAAAUUAUGUGCAAUGGUUGAUGCAUGGGGAAUACAAGUUUUAUGAACCUACAAAUACUAACACUAAUGAGUCUAAUAUGCAUGAUGAGAUGUAAGAAAUGUUAAAUCAUGCAUUUGGAGUGUCAAAUAUUAAUGAUUCAAUGGACUUUGAAAGAAGUACACAUGUUCAUGAUGAGUUUGAAAAGCCAAAUGAGGAUGCAAAAAUUUUUUAUAAUUUGUUGUGGGAUACUGAGCAUGAGCUAUAUCCAAGGUGUAAAAAAUCACAAAGUUGUCUUCUAUCAUGAGACUAUUUCAAAUGAAGUGUCUUAAUUGAUGGAGCAACAAGAUCAUUAUAAUGUUGCUUGAAUUGUUGAAGGAGACACUUCUUGAGGGUGAGACAUUGCCAAAUAGUUAUUAUGAAGCAAAAAAAAUACUUUGCGACCUUGGUCUUCAUUAUAUUAAGAUUGAUGCAUGCCCCUCAGAUUGCAUGUUUUAUUCAAAAGAGCAUGCAAAUGCAAAUGAGUGUGUUGUUUUUGUGGUGUUUCUAGAUAGAAAUCGAGUGAUGUUUAUUCUAUAGAUGAGUUCAAUAAGUCAUCAAAGAAGAAGAAAAUUCAUACUAAGGUCUUGCAUUAUUUUCCUUUAAAAUAAGACUUCAAAGGCUAUAUAUGUCAUCUAAGAUGGUUUCUCAUAUGAAAUGGCAUGUUGAUGGUUGUGUAAGAGGUGAGAUGAUGAGGCAUCCAGUGUACUCUUUAGCUUGGCAAAACUUGAAUAAGGUAAACCCUUCAUUUGCACUAGACCCUCAAAAUGUUAGGUUUGGUUUAGUAAGUGAUGGAUUCAAUCACUUUGAAAAUAUGUCAAUUUCCUAUAGCAUGUGGCCCAUGAUUCUUAUUCCAUAUAACUUACUACCUUGGACAUGUAUGAAGCAAAAAUUCUUCAUAUUAUCACUACUUAUUCCUAAUCCAACUGUACCUAAGAAUGACAUUGACAUAUACUUGAAAUUAUUAAUAGAUGAGUUGAAUGAUUUAUGAAGGUUAGUGUUGAAACAUGUGAUGCUUCAACAAAAUAAAAUUUUUGUAUGCGUGCAACUAUAUUAUGGACUAUCUAUGAUUUUCUUGCAUAUGCAAAUCUUUCAAGUCGGAGCACUAAAAGAUAAUUUUCUUGGCCUAUUUGUAAUAAGGAUAGUUGCUCAUAUCGAUUGCAAAAUGGACAGAAAUUAUGUUACAUAGGUCAUCAUCGAUUUUUGCCAACUAAUCAUAGAUUUCAACAUUAUCAAAGGUCUUUUAAUGGAAAUGAUGAACAUAGAGUAGCACCAAAAGAAUUUGGGAAUGGAACAUAUUACUUUGGGGAAAACAUCAAAAAACAAGAUGUCAGAAAAAAAAAAAAAAAAACAUGCUAAACUUGAGCCUAAUUGGAAAAAAAAGAACAUUUUUUUCCAAUUGCCAUAUUGGAAAACCUUUAUUUUGCGUCAAAAAUUGGAUGUAAUGCGUAUUGAAAAAAAAAUAUGUGAUAGUAUAGUUGACACCUUAUUAAGUAUGGAGGGUAAAUCGAAGGACAACCUAAAUAGUUUUCUUGACUCACAAGUUAUGGGUAUUAGAUAUCAACUCCACGCCAUGCAAAGAGGGAAUAAAGUUAUAUUACCUGUUGCAUGCUAGUCACUAACUUCAAAUGAAAAAAAUGAAUUCUGUAAAUUUUUUAAAGAAAUAAAGGUCUUAGAUGGUUAAGCUUCUAACAUCUCUCGGUGUGUACAAGUGGAUAAAAGAAAGAUUUUUGGAUUAAAGUCUCAUGAUUGUCAUAUUCUCAUGCAAAAACUCCUUUCACUUGCAAUCCGUGGAGUACUACAUAAGAAUGUUUGUGCUAUCAUAGUUGAGUUAUGUAGCUUUUUCAAACAAUUAUGCUCCAAAGUGUUAAAAACUAAUCAAUUAGAGCACCUUGAGAAUGACAUAAUAGUCACACUUUGCAAAUUAGAAAGAAUAUUUUGUCCAUGACUUUUUUAUGCUUUGGGCCAUUUACUUGUCCAUCUUGCAAGUGAGGCAAGGAUCAUUGGACCAAUGUAAUAUCGAUGGAUAUAUCCUAUCAAGAAAUAUAUUCUUAUUUAAUUAAUCUUAUAUCUAUUUGGUUUCAAAUAGUUCAUGAUACAUAUCUAUCAUGGUGUGAAAAAUAGGUAUUUACACACAUUGAAGUCUUAUGUGCAUAAUAAGAGUCAUCUAGAAGGUUUUAUUGCAAAAGGGUACAUAGCAGAAGAAUGUGCAACCUUUUGUUCAAGAUAUUUGCAUGAUGUUGAAACAAAGCAUAAUCGUGAAGAAAGAAAUUAUAUCAUUGCAAAUAACAUGACAAAUGGAGGGUUAACCAUUUUCAAUUGUAUGGGACGGGACAUACAAUAGGAAAAUCAACAUCUCGUGUUCUUAGCACAAAAGAGUGGUCUUAAGCACAUUUAUAUGUGUUAACUAAUUAUGAGGAAGUGACACCAUUUAUUAAGAUAAUUAUUUCAAUAAUUAUCAUGCAAAAAUUUAAUCUUGGUCUUUAUGAGCAUUAUAAUUAUAAAUCUUUGUUUAUUAGAGAGCAUAAGCAAUCUAUUAAGGCUAAGCCUCGUGUUCAUACAUGAGAUGUAGAUUUGAUUUACACAAGAGAGUUCAUUAGUUGGUUUGAAGAACGUGUAAGCACAUUUAAUAUAUGAAUUUUUUUUGUUAACUAAUAAACAUGUAUUCAUUAUUGUAUGAUAUUUGAAUAUAAGUUAUACAAAUGUGAUGUGAAGAUUCAAUUUCUAAACACAUACUAUCACUGUCUUGUGGACCAAGUACAUCAGUUACAUGUUGUAAAGGAUACAUCAUUAAUGGGUUUAGAUUUCACACAAAAAAACGAGAAAAAAAACUCCAAAUAGUGGAGUUAUUGUAACCGUAGCGAUAUCAAUCUUUGCAAAUGCAAGAGAUAUGAACCCAAUCUCUAGUCGUGUUUCUUACUAUGGUAUGCUAACUAACAUAAUCGUGCUACAUUAUCUCAAUUGAAAUAGAGUUAUUUUAUUCAAGUGUGAUUGGUGGGAUGUAAUCAAUAUUAGAAAGGGGAUAAAGACUGAUGAAUAUGGAUUCACUUGUUUGAAUUUUUAAUGAACCAUAUGCAUAAGAACCAUUUGUGCUUGCAUCUCAAGUAAAACAAAUCUUCUAUGUUCAAAAUUCAAAUGACACACCGUUGUAGAGAUACAAACUCGAGGAGUUUAUGGUAUGAAUUAGAAAAUAUCUACUAAUGAUCCAGAGCCAUAUCAACAACCUAAAACACUUCAUAGUCAACGUUAUGUGCAUGACUUGAUUGAAAAUGAUUUAAUCAAUUGGGAUAGAAAUGAUAUUAUAGGAUAAAUUAUCCACAUAGAUGUUCUACUAUCAUGACAAAGAAAAAUUGUUGAAAGAGAUAAUGAAUUUAUUGAUGAUGAUGAUAUAGAUGAUGUGUAGCUAAUAAUAUUGGUAAGCACAUAAUAUAUAUUAUUUGGUAUAUAGGUUGAUUUAUUUCACACUAUUUAUAUGACUUAUUCUAUACUAUAUUUUAUAAUUUAUUUUAUUAUGCAAGAAAUGUCACUUCGAAAAGAAAGAGUGCAGAUAGUGGCUCCAAAAGAUGAGUUAAAAAAUUUACAACAACUCUUAGACAUGCAGCCACCUAUGACCACUACUCCUAGUAGUUUUGGUCCUUCUAAUUCUUCAAAUUCUUCCACUAUUGGCAUGAUUAAGAAAAAUUAUGUUUUACUUUAUAUAUGAUAAAUAUGUUUACAUAUAUUUAAUUUUUGUAAUGAAAAAAAUUAAUGUUUAACUUUAUAUAUGAUAAAUAAAUUGUGUUUCUUAUAAUCUCAUUUUUGUUUUUAACAAGUUCCUCCUCUACCAAGAAAAUAACACGUAGGCCAAUAUGUAACUUGGAUUUAGUUAGCAUGAAACCAAGGGAAAAGAAAUCUUCAAAAUUUGAUAACAAAGGGCAAGUUGUUUAUGAUGGAAAAAAAGGAAAUACUUUCAAGUUAUAUGGGAACAUUGGUUCAAUCUCAACAAAAUGUACCCAUCCAAGUUCAAGAUUGGAAUCAUUUUAGUGACGAUGCGAAGAAAAGAUUUAAGCUUUAGUAUUGGUAUAUAUCAAUUACUAUUCAUCUAAAUUUUAAUGUUACUAUUUAAAAAUGAUCAUUUUUAUUUAUACAUGAUAUUUUAAUAAAAUAGAGGAGAAAUAAGAAGUAGAUGAAGAAUGCAAGAGCUAUAUUCUUAAAUGUUGUGGAAAUUUAUUCAAAAGUUAUAGGAACAAAAUGAAGGCCAAAUCUUAUGCCCCUCAUGAUACAGAUGAGGAAAGAUUGUGCCAUCGACCUCCACACUUAUUGAAUGAUGAGUGGAGGUGACUCAUCCAUGUUUGGGCAACGUUUGAGGCAAAGGUAAACAUAAUGAUCUUUUUUUAAUAGUGUAUGUUGUGAUACACAUCUUGACAUAAGAUAAUGUUUAUUAGUUAUAUUUAACCUAAUACUUUAUAUAUAGUAACUUUUACUAAGUUUCAAGUAUCUAUAUAAGUGACAUGCUAUUUUUUAUUUGAUCUGGGAUAUAUAUAUAUAAAAAAAAAACAAAGCAAAUAGGGCAAAGCAAGUGAUAAAACAUACAUCAAGAUCAAAAAGUUAUGCCCAAAUUUGAUAUGAAUAGGUUUAAAAUUUAUUAUUAUAAGAUUUGUUUGUAUAUAGAUAGUUCAUAAAAAAUAACUAAAUUGUUUCACUUGUAAGAAUAGGCAAAGAGGGAAGAUUGGAGCAAGCCUAACAAAAUUUAGAUGUUUGCCUUGACACAUACAAAAAAAUGAUGGGAUGCUUGUUGAUGAUUGUUCUAAGGAGAUUAUGGUAAUGAAGCAAAUAAAUUUUAUAUACUUAUAUUUCAAUCAUAACCACAUAUAAAACUAUUUUAGAAAUCUAAUAAUUUUUUUUUUGUUUUUUUGUUUUUAAUAAUUUCAGGAUCAAUUUCAAUAGUUACUUACCUAGCUUGAGAAAAUAUCUUCUUCUUCUUCUUCUUAUACAUUAUUUGUAGCAUCUACAUCUAUAGAUGAGAUAUAUAUCCAAGUGAUAGGCCCAGAGAGGCAUAGACGUGUUUAAGGGUAUAGGUUUGGUCUUACUUCUACUUCAGCCUUUGGUUUUACUAGUAGAAGACGAUUAGUAGGUACUUUUGCAACACAACUGGAAAAUGCUCAAGAGUUACUAGUAGCUGCAGAACAAAAGUUUACAAAUGCAAUUGGAAAACUCUCACAUGUGAAAGAAACAUUUGAAGAGAUGUUGAUAGAAGUUCAAAGAAAAACAUAAGAAGAGGUGAAAAAAAGGGUUUGAAGGAAAAAUGAUGGAAAUGCAAAGACAAAUGCAAGCAUAGCUUUAAGAAUAGAUGAUGUAACAAUUUCAACCAAGGCAGUAGAAGCUUAGAGAUAAUGCUACAUCUUCAUAUGGUAGAUUUUCCUAUUUUUUUGCUUUUUAUGACUGUUAUAUAUGUGAUGUUUGGUUGGUUGACUUUUUACAUUAUGUUAGAAUGUGAAACUAAAUUUGAAUCUCUUUUGUUGUUUUUUGUCAUCUUAUGUUUUGGUUAUUUGAUGAUAGAUAUUGAUAUAUUAGUUUUAACUAAGGAUGAAAAUAUCGAUAAUCACAGAUAUAUUAGUACUUGGAUGUUAAGAAUAUAUUGGAUAUAUCAAAGAUAUAUCGACAAAUAUUUUGAGACAAAAUAUUGGUGGACCAAAAAUUAAUCAAAACUCCUGGAAAUGUUAAAAAAAAAAAAAAAAACCUUUAGAAAUGAAAUUAGAAGUAUAAUAGACAUUUUAAAGUUGUUUUAUUGAAGAAAUUGAUAUAUGUAUGAUAUGAUUUGCGAUAUUAAAUUUAAUUAUAACAUGUCAAUCGAUAAGAAAUGUGAAUUUUGUAAGUAUACUCAUUAUGAAACUAAAUUAUUAUAAAUAUAUCAAUAAUGUGAUUCAAAUAUAGUACUAUACUAAGUUAAUUUACUUACAUCUAUUGAAAAUAUAUUAAUUAAUUGUAAAAAUGUACUAAUUUAAAUUCAAUGUUCUACUAAUUUAAAAAUGUACUAAGUUAAUUUAUUCUCAAUAGCCUAUUAUUACACUUGAAUAUCAAAAUAAAAUAAAAUUAUUAAUUUAAAACUAAAUUAUUGUAAAUGCACUAAUUAUGUGAUUUAAAUGUAUUUAUUGAUUUUUAUUUAAAAAUAUGGAAAAUAUUUUGACAAAAUAUAUUUUUAUUUAAAAAUAUUUUUAUAUUUAAUUAGCAUACAAAAUAGAUUAUAAGAUAAUAAAAUUAAAUUAUUUAUAAUAAUUUAAUUUUUCAUCGAUAUAUCUUGAUAUAUCUAAUAUAUCUCUGAAAUUUCAACAAUAUUUUUUCUUUUAGAGUUGAUUUUUUACUUGCAUUGUCGAUAUAUCUGUGAUUACCAAUUUAUCACUGAUAUAUCAUUGAUAUUUACCGAUAUAUUUGCUAGUCAAUAUAUCUUACCUAUAUAUCAUUUCUAUCUUCUCUGAUAUAUGAUAUAUCGACAAUAUAUUACCAAUAUAUCAUGAUAUUUUCGUCCAUGGUUUUAACUAGCUUGUGAUAAUUAAUUAUAAUAUACUACAUUUAAAUUUUGAAUUUUGAAAUUAUUUUAGAUACUUAAUUGCAUAUACAUAUUUAAAAUGAGUUUGUUAAGGUAUAUAGUAGGUUUGGAAAAUGUGAAUUUAUUAAAGACUAAUUGUCUAAAUAUAGAAAAUUUUAGUCACGAUCAUUAAAUGUCGUGACCAUAAGUUUAUAUUUAGUCACAAUACUAUUUGACUGUGACCAUGAGUUUAUAUUUAGUCAUGUUUAUGUAAGAUAUCAUUACCAUCAUUCUACAUUUAGUCACAAUCACUUACUUGACCAUGGCCAAAUCAUUAGGAAAAUCAAUAUGGUGUCUACAUUUAGUCACGGUCACUUACUUUACCGUGACAAUAAAUCCACAUUUAGUCACGAUUACUUACCUAACUGUGACCAUAAUUCUACAUUUAGUCAUGGUUACUUACUUGACUGUGACCAAAUCAUUAGAAAAACAACAUAGUGUCUGCAUUUAGUCACAGUUGCUUACUUGGUUGUGACCAUAAUUCUACAUUUAGUCAUGACCACUUGACUGUGACCAAAUCAUUUGGAAAAAAAAUAACAAUGUCUAUAUUUAGUCAUGGUCACUUACUUGACUAUGACAAUAGAUCUACAUUUAGUCAUAGUCGCUUACUUGGCCAUGACCAAAUUAUUUGGAAAACAAACAAGGUAUCUCUUUUUUUGUCAUAGUUUUUCUACGACCAUCAUAAAAAAACAAACCAAAUGGUCACACCCACAUAAAAAAACAGUGACCAAUACCUUUACCUGCACUUACUAUUGUGACGCUCGGUCAUGGUUUCAUAGGACCAUGACAAUUGGUUUUAGUCACGAGGUUGAAACAUAUGGUGACGAUUAUUGUCCGUGACCGAAAGUGUUAUUUCUUGUAGUGUCUGCUUAAACCAUUGGAUUCAUGACUUUCUAAGCUUCAAAUCCAUAUGUGGCAUACCCCAAGAAACUAUUGAGAGUUAGUUCUGAUUUUGAGUUCAAAUAAACUAAAAAAGAACUUUCAUAGAUCUCAAACCAAGAACUUCCAAGAAUGAUUCUUCUUUCUUUAACCAUCAUAGAAUCUCAAAAAGAACUUUCAAGAUACCUUCUUUUCUCCUGGGUCACCAUAGAUGGAUACAAAAAGCUAAAAUUUUUACAAUAAUAAAAAUUUCCAUGCUCUUUUAAUGGAGCUUACAACUCAUCUAUUGAAAAGUAAAGUUUUUUAAAACCAAAUAAAAAUCUUAUACCCCUUAUGGGGUUUACAACCCAAUCUAGAGAACAAUAAUCAAAUAUCAUAUCACAAUUAUAAUUAAUCAAUCCAAAUAUAUUGAUAUAUUUAAUUGAAUGAAUAAAAACAUAUCAUUCAUUCAUCUCUUAGGGAAAUGGGAUGAAUAAAACAAUCCCACAAAAUAGAGUUGACUUAGAACAGAUCUAACAAGUUAGAACCUACCCCAGGGCUCUGAUACAAAUUAUUAAGAACCUCGGAUUACUCAAUUCCCAUGCCAUAGAUUGCAUAAGGUGCAUGUAACUUUAGGGCUCUCUAGAUCUAUUGCAACAGAUAAAAAAUUACUAAAAAACAAUAAAGAUACUGUAGAAAAUAUAGAUAUAGAGAAUAAAGCUAUAUACCUUUGAUCUAAAUAUUCCCUGAUCAAUUCCAAUUGGUGUAAAUAACUCCAAAGUCGUAAUGGAUCUCGUAAACACCAUGACCCUCCCUUCGAUGAAUCUUCCUUGUGUUUAUGCAUUGAGAUGGUAGAGAUCUCAAGAUUGAAGGGUAGGGUUCUCUCUCUAAACUAGAGGGGAGAAUGACAAGACUUAGAAACCGUAACUUCUAAAGGGAUAUUUAUAAGCUUCCUACUAGGAUUAAGUGACUUAAGCUCACCAUGGGCUUGGAUCACUUAAUCUAGCCCAAAAAGGUUGCUAAUUGAUUAAUUAACCAUACAAGGCCUAAUUAAUCAAUUAGCUUAGCCCAAAGAUACCACUCACUUAUUUCUAUGCAACCUUGCAUAAUUACCAAAAUGCCGUUAUGCACAAAAGUGAACUAAAAACCCAUCCAACCCUUAUAAACUAUGCCAAUAAGGAAUAUGAGCUCAGAGCAGAGACCACUAGGACCCAUAAGUUGAGGGAGUUAUUCUCCUAAAAGUUACAACUAAGGGAUGAUAAAAUUUACACUAAGUUUGGUAUGAAAUGAGUAAUAGGAACCUUGGAAGAAUGAGAACAUUGGGAGGAUUAACGAAUCAUUAAACAUUUGUUGCAUGAUUUUCAUAACUUGGUAAAUUGAUACACAUUAGCAAUUAUUGCUUAGACUUAACAAAUACCUAACUUUAUGAAAAUACAGCUGAAAUAAAAGGUGGUUGCAUGAGGGGUGAUGAAAGUUUGUAAUUUUAUCUUUUCUAUUAUUAGGGACUAACAAUAUUUAGGUUGAGAGGUGUGAUUAACACUCAAAAUUUGUGUUCUUCCAUAUAUAAAAAUAUGUUUUUGAAUAACCUUUGAGUGCAAAUUAUUAUUUUUUAGGAUAAAUAUAUGCUAAGCCUUACAUUGAGGACUAAUGUACAUAGCUAGUGAAGAAUACAAUAAAAAGAGAAAUUUUGAUACAAGACAAUAAAUUUUUAUUCUAUUAAGAUUGAGCCCCUAGAAGUAAGACAUAAUGUAACAAAGUUAGAGUUAACUAUCCAUUUACUAUACUUUUGGUGUAUUGACAUUUAUUUUAGCAUUCAGCCCAUGUCUCUUACAUUGAACACGACUUUGGUGCAUUAGGAGUUACAUAGAAGAUACAAGUCAUGAGUUCCUUGUAAGUAGAUAAGUUGUUCAUAGUUGGUUCAUGGAUUUGGGCAAUCCAGUAGAGACUGAAGUGCACCGCCUUCUAAUUGGAGGGAUGACUUGUCUUGAUUUUCGGGAUGGAUUUCUCAUGUGAGUGCACUAGUGCAUGUGAUGCACACUAGAUAGGACCUAUGGUGAGUCAUGACGCAAGGCUAUCAAUUGUCAUGAUUCACCAAGCUAGUAUACUGCAUGGACUCUCAACCUUGAGAGGAUAUUGAGCUUGUGCCAAAAUUAACAAGAGGCUUUAACCUAUGGAUGAGACCUUAAAGUGGUCAUAUAUCCCUAUGGAUUGGGUCACUAUUGAUGGAGGUUGGCGAGAAACAAGUAUUAUCAAUAAAGGCACCAUGAUAUCUCAUGGGAUUAAGAUAGUAUGUUCCCUUGGGUAAUCCAAAGGACAUGUGAUCAUGAAAUCUAUGGUCGCAGUAAUUCCUUUAAUGGAAUUUAACAUAUGCUCCUUGGAGCUAGAGUAUGUCAUUUGAUCAUAUAAUAAGUGAGAUUUGUAACUCAAUGAUUUAAGAGGUAAUCUUGAUAGGUGAUAGCACUACCUUGUUAGAUUAUGGACACUAGUUCAUGGGGAGUCUGCAUGUAAUGGAUAGUAGGUCACAGACCUGAACACUUGGUGCUCGUUGUAAUAUACAUAGGGUCUAGAGUGCAAUUAACUCUCUAUAGUGGGAUGUUGAGUCAAUUUCAGAAUUUGAUUCUGAGGGAGCCAAUACUUCUAUGGGUCCUAGUGGUCCCCACUGAGCUCAUAUUCCUUUAUGGCACAGUUUAUGAGGAUUGGAUAGGUUUUUAGUUCACUUUUGUGCAUAAGUGUGUUUUGGUAACUACGCAAAGUUGCACAAGAAUAAGUGAGUGGUAUGUCUGGACUAGGCUAAUUGAUUAAUUAAGAUCUUGUAUGGUUAAUUAAUCAAUUAGAAACCUUUUUGGACUAGAUUAAGUGACAUAAGCCCAUGGUGGCCUUAAGUCACUUAAGCCUAGUAGGAAGCCUAUAAAUACCCUUUUAGGAGUUAAGGUUUAUAAGUCUUUCCAUUCUUCCUUUAUAGUCCAGAUAGAAAACUAUAACCUCUAUCCUUGAGAUCUCCACCAUCUCAGUGCCUAAAUACAAUGAAGAGUCAUCGGGCGGAAGAUCUUGGGUGUAUGAGAAACACACUAGAAUCACAUAGGCCGCAUGCACGAGAACCACAUGGGAUUUGCAUAGACUUACCAUUUUGAUAUAGUGAGGUAUCAAAAUUUUCCUAUAGAAGCAUUCCAAAGAAACACUAAGUUUAUAGGAUUUAGGAAAUGGAUUUAGAUACAUUGCAAUACAAUUUUGAAACAUUAUAACACAUGUUGACACUAAUUUGACAUGACAUUAGAAGUAUGUUAGAGGUCCAAAAGGUUUGGGCAUUUAUCAAAAUCAUUUUGAUACCACUAUAAAGGUAUCAAAAUAUUUUAUAUAAGUUGAAUUUCUUAAAUCUCAUUAUGAGACUUUCCCUAUUUUGUAUUUUUGAAAAUUUUUGGACAUUUCAGAAAUUUUAUUAUGUUUUUAGGUUAGUUUUAUGGGAUAGUAUAAAUAACAUAGAGAAGAUAAAUGAUAUUUAUACAAAUGAAAGAGUUGAAUAAGUUUUUGACAUUUUUUUUUAGUUUUUAAUAAAAUCUCAUUGUUUAGUUUAAUUUAAUGCAUGGUGUCAAUAUGAGUAUGAGUGGCUAAAUCCUCUCAUUAGAGAUGUAGCAAUGAAGGUGGAUGAUCUAAGAGAAAGGUAUGAUAAGAAAAGGUAAUAUCUUUUCAUGGCGAUAAGUUAUUAAUCUUUAGUUUUGUUAUGCAAGUUAAAUCUUUGCUAAUUUAUUCCUAUUAGAAAUACAUAGAAUGCAUGUUAGGGGUCCCUUGAUGCAUGAGGAAUUAUGAUUAAGGGCCGACUUAGUGUGAUUUUAUGUGAUUGAUAACUAAGGAGAAUCUACCAAAUGAAUAUAAGGUUUUAAAUGCCUUAAAGAUUAAAACUUUUUAUUCUAUUACUUGCUAGAAAAUUGUUAAUGAAUGAAUUUCAAGUUUAAAAACAUGGUUCCAAACUUAGAUGACCUAUAUCAGUGAUUCAAUCUCAAAAGACCAAAAAUUUGUUUGAUGAAUACUUGUUAUCCCUCAGUUUUUGGUAUAAAACUAGAUUUGUGAAAAUCUCCAAAUUUAAUUGUCAUAGUUUCCUCAGUUUAUCAAUCAAAUCACAAUUUCAAUUUAGUCACUUUUUUUCAAAAAAAACCACUACUUCAUUUGGUUUAGACAAAAUUAAUUAAUUUUUUUUUAUUCCUUGAGAACAAUAUGUCAAAAUACUACAAAAUCGUGUUAACUAUAACUCUAGUCUUUUUUCUUGGUCAGGGUUAUUACCUAUUUAGGCUUUAAUAUUUUAUUUACAAUAGAGAAUUUCAGCCAAAUGCAUCACUUAUGCUACAUUUGGAUUAAUCCACAUGUCAAUAGAGUAUUGUAGCCUUACAAUCAUUAAUGAUAAUAUUGGAUGAGGAGCAAAAUUUUGGCAUUAAUAAAAAUGUUUGGUAAGAAAGGGUAUACAAAGUCUUGAUUAACAAAGUGUCAAAGAAAACCUAGUGUGGAUAUAAAUUUUUUAACACACACCCACAAGUGUAUAGUAAAUUAAAAUUAUAUUAUGUUAAAAUUUAAACUAUAUUUUGUCCCUAAAAAGUACUAUGGAAAGUAAAAAAAAAAUACUAAGGAAAAUGGUUUUCUCAUAUUUGGUUUCAUAAUGAAAAAUAUGAAAGAAAAUCAAAUAUAAUUAAAGUUAGUUAGACAUUUAUAUAUUUUAAAAGUAUUUAAUUUUUAUAUAAUGGAGGAAAAUAAGUGAAAUGAGUUUGAAAAAGAAUAUAAAAAUAAUUUAUUAAUUUUAAAUUAAUUUUUUUCUUUUCUUUCACAUUUUUUUUAUUCCAUUUUUCCUCCCUAUUUUAUUUCCUUCAUAUUUUUCCUCAAAUUUCCAAGAAACAAACAUAGCCUUAAAAUCAUGUCUAGUAAAGUGAAAUUAAAUUAGGUCAAAAUUAGGAUUAGAGGAUUUUUGAUAAAAUUUAUAGUAAAUCAACAAAAAAAAAAAAAGAAACAAAAAAAAAGGGUGGUUUCAAAACUAUUAUAAUGGUUUGUGCCAUAUAAGCUUCACAAAAAUGUUACAUCACAACUUAUCUUAAAGUUUUGUCUUGAAGACAUGAUUUCAAUGUAUUAUCAUGAAAUUGUGUGUUCAAGUUCUUUUUUUUCUUUCUUUUAUCUACUUUUUUUUCAAAUACCCUUUUUUUAUGUAAAUUAAUUUAUUAAUGAGGCCUUUUUAUUUUUAUUUUUAUUUUUUUUUGUCUUUUCUUGUUCUUUAGAAAUUUAACUUUUUUUAUAAUUAGUUUUAUAUAUGUGAAAUGUGAAAAGUAGUAUGAAUGUUGCAAUUGGUUUAUUUGCAGAAGUUUGUGUUGGAAAAAAUCAAACCAAAAAAUGGGGAAAAAAGGCAACUAAAAAUAAAUAAACUUAAAAAAUUGAAAAAUGUAUAUAAAUUUUGAACAUAAAUUAACUCAAUUAUUUACAUAAAGUCUACAUAAAAUCAUUGUCUUGUUCCAUUUAUAAUUUAAUAUAUAUUUGGAUAAUUAAUAUAGUGGGAGCAACUACCCCACUGGUGGGGUUCCUUACUUGGUGACAUUGAUAGUUCAAGGAUAAUGGUUAUACACUUAUGAUUGGAUAUGAAGUGGUUGAAUUGCCUACCGUGGUCCCACUUGCAUAGUCCAUGGGCCAAAUAAAAAGUAUAUUGUUCUUGCCUUUAGAUACCUUUCAUGGUUAAGGGGGUGAGAUCAAUCUGAGAGGGUCUCUAACUAGUAAUAAGGUCAUGACUGGCCCACCAUAGGCUUGAUUCUUAUGAUACUAAGAUACCUUGCAAAAAGAUAUGUAGUUUGAGAGCACUACAUUUUUGCUAAAUUAAUUAUUAGAUACUUUGAAUGCUCAAUUAUGUCGUAUGUUUGGUUAUAUUCUCUGUUACAAAUAUCAUGUUGGUUUUAUUGUCACUCUUUUUCUCACAAUAGACCAAGCCCAAUAAAUCAAUUGGACUAAUUUUAUCCUGGAUAUAGUAACUAAUUGCAUAGAAGUUAGUUUAGGAAGAGCUAGCUAUUUCUUAUGAACUAACCUAACAAAAAGAAAGAGUGGUAUAUCAAGGUGGUAUUAGAUGGAUCAAAAGACCAAGUGUCUAAUACUUGGAUCUUUGGAUAAUGUGUUGCAAUAGCAACACAUGUCUAUUACUAGAGACUUUGAUAUUCUCUUUCUAGUUUGCAAUGGUUAUUUGGUGAUAAGGGUAGGUUAGCUUUAACAAGCUAGUCUUAGGACUGUUAUGAACAUCAGUAUUCAUAUGAUCUUAAAGACCUUGCCAUUUUCCUUCAGGAUGACUAAGGGGAUUCUAAAAUAUUAUAUGGUGUUCAUAUAGAAGUCAAAGGUUCUUUAGGUUUUUUGUAAAGAAAAAGAACAAUACCAAAUAAAGAAAGUUUAAGAGAAUGAAUAAGAGAGCAAGCUCAAGAGAAAGUGAUUCCUUUGUGACCUUUUAGGGCACUAGAAAAGGAAGGCCCAGUUUACCUAAAGGAAAAAAAAGAAAAUACACAACAUUUUCUUGUUGUUGAAUAUUUAGUUAUGGAUUUCACCAUUUAUGGUGGAUAGAUUUCAACCCCAUUGUCGGUGAAUCCUUAUAGGAUAUUCUAUAAGUGAGAAGGUUAAAUGAUGGGAUUAUACUUACCUUAGAUUAAAAUACAAGGUUAGCUAUGCAAGUCAGUGGGAGGUAAUAUCCUCUUCUUUUAUAUGUAUUCCAUUAUCACUUUGCCAAGUGAUGAGAAUAGUCGGAUUUUGGGAUUGAACCUAGCAUUAAUUAAACAUUUGGUAUCUAGACCUAAGUCAUAUUAAUCUAAAUAGGAUCUAAAAACUAGUAAAGUCUGGACUCUUUGAUUCCAGAAGAUCUUUUAAUCUACAAAUAUUGUAUAGAUGGUAAAAUGACCAAGACGACUAGAGCCAAUGAAUGUUUUGAGUUAGUGCAUACUAACAUGUAUGGAACUUUUAGUGUCCAUGCAUGGAGAGGGUAUGGGUAUUUCAUUACUUUUAGUGAUGAUUACUCUAGAUUUGGAUAUGCACAUAGAAAAUCCUAUGCCUUGGAUACAUUCACUAAAUUUCAGGCAAGAUAAGAUAACCUAUUGGUUAUACAUACCAAGUCACUUUGAUUAGAUGAAGGUGAUAUGUCUAGUAAGUUUGAUUCUUUACAUUGGAGCAUGGGAUUAUUUCCUAGUUAUGUGCACAGGGGCCUCUAUUGCAAAAUAGAGAGGUGGAAAGAAGAUAUCAAACUUAGAUGGAGAUAGUGAGAUCGUGGAUAGGUUUCUCAUUUUUUUCCCUAGAUUCUUUUGGGGAUAUGUCUUAUAGACUAUGUAAUACCUUUUUUUCUUAAGAAGUAUAUCGGUUUAUAGGAUAUAUUAGAGGAUUUUUGGGUUUUACCUUUAUAGUCAGGAUCAUCAAAAGAUAAUUGUUAACAUAAAUAUCAGAUUUUUUAUGAGGACUAUAUGAUAAGGAAUAAGACAGAGAGUGAUAUAGAUUGGAGGAUAUAUUAGAAGAUAGUCUCACAUUACAUAGGAUACUAUGGAUCCAAAGAGCUAAAAGCAUACCAUUCCUAUGAUUUCUAGUACACUAGUGUCUCAUUGUAGUAGUGAGCAGUGUUUGUGCUCACUUAAGGCAAGGAGCUAUGAAAAGGUAGUUAGAAUCUUUGUAUUCUAACAUAGUUUGGGUUAUUGUAGAAGCACCUAAAGGUAUAAAACCCAAAUGUGAAAGUUGGUGUACAAGAGGAACAUAGGAGUAGAUGGAAAGCUUGAGUUUUAUGUGGCUAAGACUAUAGGUAAAGGUUAUAGUUUGAAACUUUGUUUCAACUAUGGAAAACCUUUUCAAUAGUGGUCAUACUCAAAUCCAUCAUAUUACUUCUAUCUAUUGCAAUGUCUUAUUUAUGAGAUAUAGCAACCAAACA